rnacentral:lncRNA from 1 species
UUUUUUUUUUUUUUUUCUAUCAGGCACAAUAAUUUUGAAGCUGCCACCAAGUUGGUUUUCUCUUGUAGCAGAAAGCAAGGGGCAUGUUGACACCAGUCGCACACUUAAAGAAAUUUUAGGUUCAAAAUUGGUGUUAAAGAAUUAGCAGCAAACUUCUAUAUCAUCUCAAGGGACACGAAUAUGGACAUGAACAGAAACAUGUCAAAGAGGUUUCCCAAUGGUAGCUUCCAUCCUAUAUGAGGCCAAACUUUUUAUCCUCUCCACAAUUGCAAUUCAACUUUCCUACUUUGUCUAUCCUAAGUCCUUUUCUGCUAGUAAUGAUUGCAUAAGAAGCUGAAUGGUGAUACAACCUUAUAUUUUGAGAUAGUGAACAUAAAUUAUAUAACUCAGUAAACCCUGAUUUACAAACUAAAGAAUACUUACUGUGUCUAUGCUCCAAAAUGCAGUCAGUGAUGGCAACUGUAUCAUUUUCGCUUGGCUCAACAUCUAUGCUUUCAUAUUCAGAAUGCUUAUCAGGAAGUUUGUUAGUUAAUUCAUCUUGACUGAUGGCUUGGAAAGUAUCAUAGAUGCUAUCCCACAUUCCACUUUUAAUAGAUGUCACCUGCAAUAUGUAACAAGCAACUUAUCAUUUGUGUUCACAAAUAACCACAUCACAAUCAACUAAAACAGCAACGGUCAGUUAAUACAAAAUAUAGAUAAAAAACAUCUGUGACAAUCAAUAAAGCAGAGAACCAAAUAAGCAUAAGCAAAGUUUAGUAAUUACACAAGCACUCUACUCUUUGGAAACACAAAAACUGAUUUUUGAAAGCCAUACUUCGCCAUACAAAAGAAGAAUAAACAGUGCCCUUCCAUAAAAGGAUAACGUUUCAUCAAGAUCCCAUUGUCAAGAGAAAAUGUGAGCUUGGAAUGCUGGGUAUAGGUAAUUAAACAAGAAUUAUUGACAAUACAAUAUCAUCAUUCUGAAUGCAGGUUCAGUGGUUAACAAACAAGAUUUGCAAGGAGUUCAUGUAGCCAUUUUCAUACUGUACAAUGUCUACGAAUAGCUAAGGGUAAUAUUUUAACAAUUACCAUUGUGGUAAAAGGUUGUAGCUAUGGUAAAAUAACAAAAUUGUCUGAUAACUUUAGGCUUUGGUACUAUCUAUUCACACAAGUAAGGAUUGAAUAGGUUCCACCAAGGAGUAUAUGUGAUAUGAUGUUCAUUUCAUAUAGGGGUUUGGGGACUCCAUUAGAGGAAAGACCAUUUGGCAAAUUGUUUGUCUCACUUUGCUUGGAUUGAGUGGCAAGAGAAUGCCAAAUUUUUUCAAGUAGAGAGGUUGUGGACUUUACUUCACUUCUAUUCCUCUUUUUGAGCCUCAUCCUCAUGCACCAAAGCUUUAAAGGCAUCCCUCUCAGUGUUAUUCAACUCAAUUGGCAUUCAAUGUGUAAAUCAAAAGGCUUUUGACAUUAUUGAGAGGAGCUUAGUCAGAAUUUCAGGAGAAAACAUCUUUGUAUAUUGUGUUGUAGUCUAAACCUUUUGUAUAGACUCCUUGUACAGCGGAGGAGUUCAAUCAUAUUUUGAUAAGAUUUUUUGUAAUUGUGGGGAGGACUUCUCAUCCUUCUUAUGUUUUCUUUAACAUUAAUACACACAUCUCUUGUUUAUAAUAAAAAAAUUGAUAAAAUAAAUAAAUAAAAACCACAGACCCGAAAGAAAAAUGGAAGGAAUAUUUAUGAAUGCAUGAACAGGGAUAGGCAACUGCUGGCCCAGUUGUUUUUCAAGCCCACGAGACUGUAGUGAUGUCGUCUUCAACACUCCAGCGAGUUGGAUCUUCUGCAAUGGCGGUCCCGCUAGUUGCACGCUCUCAAGGUCCAAUCGAAGUUAAGGCUGGCGACGAGGCUUUCUCUGGAGAGGAUGCUCGGGCCUUUGAGAUAAAGGCCCAGUCUCUUCCCAACCCUAGCCCACCUUCAGACUCAAUCGUGGGCUAUAUUUUUAAAGGCCCGUUGUGGUUGGGCCAAAGAAUAGGAGGAGCGAUGUCCUCUGUUAAGAAAGGUUGGUCUCGAAAGGAAGAAAAUGAUGCAAUGAGAAAGGGGAAAGCUUCUGAGGUUCAGACAAGAGGCUCUGCGGAGAAGGAAGAGAAGGUAGUUUCAAAGAAGAUGUGGACCACCCUCUUCCCUCCAAGUUUCGAUCGCCGACAAGGACUUCGGAGUUGCAGCGAGCCUCUUUACCUCGGGAAGUCAUCAUCGGUUAGCAAAGUUCGUCUAUUGGAAGAGGAUAUCAGGACGGGAUCUCAGAUGGAAUGAGGAUUCAGAGCGAGUCCUCUCUUUCAUUGUCAUUUCUCAAGGAAUCGAAAAUGAUGUUCGGGGGAAGGGACCCCGUUGUCAAGAGGCGAAGCGGCUUUGUGCAAUCCCCAUUUCGAAGAAGACAUAGAAGGUUUUUUAGGCCGAGUGGAGUCUGAUCUUCGUGGUUCAUCAGUCAUGGAUUCACCUUCUAGUCUAGAAAUCAAAGGUAAAAGACUCAUCUUUGAGGGGAUUUGUGAAAUACCGGGAGUGGAAAACUUGGAGGUAUGUCUGUCUUCACCUUCUCAGCCACCCGAGUCUUCUUCUAUCCCUUCUUGUGGUCUAGCACUUCCUUUGCCAAGUCCCUUUGGUUCAAAUCUUCCUAGUUCAGUCUCUCUUUCUUAGUCUCCUAUGGAAAAUCGAGUAAUUUCUUAAUUUUUUUCUAAAAAAGACGUUGUUGGCACUGUUUUCCAAAAUUAUGUUGGCAUUCCUGUCCGUGAUGAGGAGGAGAAACAGUUUGCUUUAUCAAACCAGAUGUCCGAGAGUUUUACCCCUAGUAAGUCUAAACCCAGCUUGCCUAAGGAGGUUUCCAACCUGGUUACAGGUAGCCAGGGUGAUACUGCGGUCUCCCCAUCGGGCGAGUUCCAUAUAGAUGGCCUGUCCCCCAGGAAAAUGGCUAAAGUGCGAGAGGUUUUAUGCUCUCUGGAUAUUAAGGUUUAUUCCAGGAGGAAGAACAGAUGCUCCACAAGUAGUUGAGACCUGUUGGCAUUGGUUUGGUGGUUUAGGGUCUAUGAGUUUCUCCAUGAAAAUUAUCAAUUGGAACACUAGGGGUUUGGGAUCAAGGAAUAAGCGAAGGGUGGUUAAAGAUUUUCUAAGGUCAGAGAAUUCGGAUGUUGUGAUGAUUCAGGAAACAAAAAAUGAGAAGUGUGACAGAAGGUUUGUGGGUAGUGUCUGGACGGUCAGAAAUAAGGAUUGGGCUGCUCUUCCGGCGUGCGGGGCUUUAGGUGGGAUUUUGAUCAUUUGGGACUCUAAAAAACUGCGUAGUGAGGAGGUGUUAAUAGGAUCCUUCUCGGUCUCAAUCAAGUUUGCUUUGGAUGGUUGCAGACCUCUUUGGAUAUCCACAGUUUAUGGCCCAAACAGCCCCUCACUUAGGAAGGAUUUUUGGGUGAAACUUUUAGACAUUUUUGGCCUAUCUUUUCCGUUAUGGUGUGUGGGCGGUGAUUUUAAUGUCAUAAGGAGAAGUUCAGAAAAAUUGGGGGGUUCUAGUCUAACUUCAAGCAUGAAGGACUUUGAUAGUUUUAUAAGAGAAUGUGAAUUGCUUGAUCCACCUUUACAGAACGCAUCAUUCACUUGGUCAAACUUGCAAGAGUCUUCCGUGUGUAAGAGAUUGGAUCGUUUUCUUUACUCAAAUGAGUGGGGGCAGCUCUUUCCCCAAGGCCUUCAAGAAGCCGUUCCUAGAAGGACAUCGGAUCAUUGGCCAAUUGUUUUGGAUACCAACCCGUUCAAAUGGGGCCCAACACUUUUUAGGUUUGAGAAUAUGUGGUUGCAACAUCCUAGUUUCAAGGAGAACUUUAGAAAUUGGUGGAGAGGUUUUCAAGGAAAUGGGUGGGAAGGUCACAAGUUCAUGAGGAGAUUACAAUUUGUUAAAGCCAAUUUGAAAGAGUGGAAUAAGGUUUCUUUUGGAGAGCUAAAGGAAAGGAAAAAAAGCAUCCUCAAUGAUUUAGCUAACUUUGAUGCCAUUGAGCAAGUAGGGGGUCUCACUUCUAAUCUUUUAGUUCAAAGAGCCUUAAGAAAAGGGGAGCUAGAGGAAUUAAUUUUAAGGGAAGAAAUUCAUUGGAGACAAAAAGCUAGGGUGAAAUGGGUUAAGGAAGGGGAUUAUAACUCAAAGUUUUUUCAUAAAGUGGCUAAUGACAGGCGAAAUAGGAAAUUUAUCAAAGUGUUGGAGAAUGAAAGGGGAUUAGUGUUGAAUAAUGCCGAGAGUAUCACAGAGGAGAUUUUACUUUACUUUGAAAAGCUCUACGCGAGUCCUACAGGAGAGUCUUGGAGUGUUGAAGGAUUAGAUUGGUCCCCUAUUUCGGAAGAGAGCGCGUCUAGGUUGGAUUCCCCUUUCACUGAAGAAGAGAUUUCUAAGGCCAUUUUUCAGUUGGAUAGGGAUAAGGCGCCGGGGCCUGAUGGCUUUACCAUUGCAGUAUUUCAAGAUUGUUGGGAUGUGAUCAAGGAGGAUUUAGUGAGAGUGUUUGCAGAGUUUCACAGGAGCGGAAUUAUCAAUCAAAGCACUAAUGUCUCCAUAAUUCUGUUACCCAAAAGGAAUUUGACAAAGAAAAUCUCAUAUUUUAGACCCAUUAGCUUGAUCACUAGCCUCUACAAGAUAAUAGUCAAAGUGCUUUUAGGGCGUCUAAGAGGGGUUCUACAUGAAACCAUUCACUCUACUCAAGGCGCUUUUGUUCAAGGGAGACAAAUUUUGGAUGUUGUUCCCAUAGCCAAUGAGAUAGUGGAUGAAAGAAGACGAUCAGGGGAGGAAGGUGUCGUCUUCAAAAUUGACUUCGAAAAGGCUUAUGAUCAUGUGAGUUGGGAUUUUUUGGAUCAUGUGUUGAAGAAGAAGGGGUUCAGUCCUAAAUGGAGGAAAUGGAUGAGUGGUUGUUUGUCCUCGGUUUCUUAUGCAGUCUUGGUGAAUGGAAACACUAAAGGGUGGGUUAAGGCAUCUAGAGGCUUAAGACAAGGAGACUCUUUAUCCCCUUUUUUGUUUACUUUAGUCGCAGAUGUACUGAGCAAGAUGCUAUUGAGAGCAGAGGAAAGAAAUUUGUAUGGAGGGUUUCAGGGUGGGUAGAAACAAAACUAGGGUGUCUCAUCUGCAAUUUGCAGAUGAUACCAUAUUCUUUUCUAACACUAAGGAGGAAGAACUAUAGUCGCUCAAGAGUCUUUUGCUAGUGUUUAGGCAUAUUUCUGGGCUCAAGGUCAACCUUGACAAGAGUAAUAUUUAUGGCAUCAAUCUUGAUCAAAAUUAUCUUUCUAGAUUGGCUAAGUUGCUUGAUUGCAAGGCUUCUGGUUGGCCUAUACUCUAUCUAGGCCUUCCUUUGGGAGGGAAUCCCAAGGCAUGUGGCUUUUGGGAUCCAGUGAUUGAGAGAAUCUCAAGAAGAUUAGAUGGGUGGCAAAAGACUUACUUAUCUUUUAGAGGAAGGAUAACUCUUAUCCAAUCUUGCCUCACCCACAUGCCCUGUUACAUCCUCUCCUUGUUUAAGAUACCCGCUUUAAUGGCUGCAAAAAUUGAGAGGUUGCAAAGGGAUUUUUUAUGGUCAGGGAUUGGAGAAGACAAAAGAGAUCAUUUAAUUAGUUGGGAUGUAGUGUGUAAACCGAAGGCAAAAGGCGGAUUGGGUUUUGGGAAGAUAUCUCUAAGGAAUCUCGCUCUUUUAGGGAAAUGGUUGUGGAGGUACCUUAGAGAGGGUUCAGUUCUAUGGCAUCUGGUCAUCUUAAGCAUUUAUGGAUCACACUCUAAUGGUUGGGAUGCUAACACUUUAGUCAAAUGGUCACAUCAUUGUCCUUGGAAGGCUAUUGCACAAGUCUUUUAGGAGUUUUCCAUGUUUACUCGGUUUGUGGUAGGAAAUGAGGAAAUAAUUCGUUUCUGGGAAGAUUUAUGGUGGAGGGACCAACCUUUGGGAUCCCAAUAUCCAAGACUAUUUAGAGUAGUCUUGGAUAAAAAUGUUCCUAUUUCAUCAAUUCUCGGUUCUACUCGUCCUUUCUCUUGGAACUUUAAUUUCCUCCGUAACCUUUCAGAUUCUGAGAUAGAAGACUUAAAAGGCCUCAUGCGGUCACUUGAUGGUUUGCAUCUAUCACCUCCGGUUUCAGAUGCCCGAUCUUGGCCUUUAUCUCCUUCAAGGCUUUUUUCAGUCAAAUCUUUCUUUCUAGCCUUAUCCCAAUUUUCUGGUUCUCUUCAGGUUUUUCCUUCUAAGUUCGUUUGGAAAUCUCAAGUCCCUUUCAAAGUGAAGUCCUUUGUCUGGUUAGUGGCACACAAGAAGGUAAAUACUAAUGACAUGCUACAAUUGAGAAGACUCUACAAAGCUCUUAGUCCUGAUAUUUGUAUUAUGUGCAUGAAGCAUGGGGAAUCAACAGAUCAUCUUUUCCUACAUUGCUCUCUGACGAUGGGGUUGUGGCAGAGAUUAUUUCAGUUAACCAAGAUGGAUUGGGUUCCCUCGAUGAGCAUCUUUGACAUGAUGUCCAUCAAAUUUAAUGGUUUUGGUUCAUCUAAGAGGGGGAUAGUUUUGUGGCAAGUUGCGAGUGUCGCUUUAAUUCGGGUUUUUGAAGAUAAAACAAGGAAUUCAGAGUAUCUUUGGGAUUUUAUUUUUUUCCUUGCUUCUCUUUGGCCUUUCUGUUCCAAGGUUGUUAAAGGAACUCCCCUUAAUGUAUUACAACUUGACUGGUUAGCGGUGUGUAAUCCCAUUGGUCUAACCUAGAGUGUUCGCUUGUUUUACUGCGCACUUUCUUGUGUUUGUAUUCUUGUAAUUUAGUUUUCUUUGGUGGGAGGAUUUCUCAUCCUUCUCUUGUACUUCUUUUUCUAUCAAUAUAUCUCUUUGUUGUUUCCUAUCCAAAAAAAAUCCCUAUCAAUUCCUAAGAUAACCAUAAAAUUGGUACCAUACAGGAUUUACACUCAAAGACAAAACUUAUGGAACUAGCUUAAACUACUAGAUCAAUGAAUAAUCACAGCAUCUUGACAUUUUUUUUAGCAUUCCAAAUACCUAAUCUUACUUUACUUAAAAUGUUAUACAAAUUCUUGGCUAAUUUAGUGAAAAACUAUAUGGUAGAACCUUCUCAUAAUUUUCCAAAAUCCAAAAUUCUAAUUUUAUCCAUGUUUUGUGCCUUUUUUCUUUAGUUCACACAGCUCCAAAUUCUUUUCCAUCUUGCCUCAUCUCAACUAGGACUGCUUGCUUGAACCCAAAUUUCCAAUUCAAUACUACGCAUAAAAGCAUUACACUUGACUGGGGUCAUGAUUUUAAUUUUCAAAUCUAUUUAUAAAUGUUUACUUUGUUGAUAGAAAUUUCCUGAAUUACACAAUUUAUGAACUAAUUUUGGCAGUCAUCUUUCUUAAUAUUUAAAUAUUUAAUUUCAAGCUUCCUAAUCCUAUUAAAUUUGUUUCCUCUCUCUCUCUCUCUCUCUCUAUCUCUGAUUCUUUUUUGGCUAACUCAAUGUAGCAGUACUUUAUUUUGUUCAUGCAUGGUCUCUUUCUCUUUUUGAAUCUAUUUUGGCAAAUUUAAUGUAGCAGUACUACUUUAUGAUGUUCAUGCAUGUCCUCUUUUUCAAAUUUACAAAAAGGGAAAUUUUCCAUCCAAUAUUUUAAUUUAUUUCAGUUGGUGCAUGGGUUCUACAACAAACAUAACAAUUUUCUAAGAUGCUAUAUAUGCAUCCAUUACUAAAUUUCAAGCUCUAAAAUUCCAAAUAUAAUUAUUAUCGUGCUAUAUAGACUUUGCCUUUAUCAUCACGCUAUAUAGACUUUGUCUUUGAAACUUUAGUAUUCAGUAUUAGGGAUUUUGUUCAAAUUAGUCUACAAGCAAUUCCAAUCCAAAAACCUCCUUCUCUUCCCACCUUCCUGGUCCCUCACCUCUUUUCUAGCCUUCAUAUAUUUAAGGAGAACCAAAGUCUUCACCUCUUAAUCCACUAAAGGCUGUCCAAAAAACCGAAACUUCAUGAACACUGAGAAACUAUUUCCCAACCACACUUCCAACUCCUCUCUUUUCCUCUUGAUUGACUGUAAUUAACCAAGCACUCUAGCGUCCACGGCUCCCUGUCAAAACAAGAGGCAGAGAAAGGCAUCCUCUUCUUGCUCAAAGGUUGCCACCCUACAACCUUUUUUGGCUUCCAUCUUCAUCAACAAGGACACAAUUUUAUUUUCAUAACCAUCCACUGGUAAUCCCAAAAACUUGUUAAAGGAGACAAAAGUCCCAAAAGAUAGAUCCAAAAGAUUCCCAUCUCCCAUAACAUCCCAACUGGGACUACCAUUUCUUAAAGCCACCUCCUCACAACUCAUUUUUAGUUCUACACUCUUGGAAUCUUUAGACUGAUGCUCCCAGAAGUCCACAACUAAACCCUCAUGAGAAAUCAUUCACAAAGGAUCAUAACCACCACCCUUGCAAUCUACUGGAAACCCCUCAUCUUGCUGCCUCCACAGAACCAAGCAAUUGGAAUCACCAGUGAUGAGCCCCCAUCGUUGGAGAAAGAAGGAGAAGAAAUAGGAGGCUGUCAAAAGAGCAAUUGACAAUAGCUUACCUAUAAAACUAUCUGCUUUGAACAAGAGAGUCGCACUAGUAGAUGGCAUUCUGUCCACCUAGCUCAUGCAAGAUGCAGAGACCAAGGAGAAGCUCCUGGAUGCCCAAGCUUCCAUAACCACACAGCAAAAUAGGUCUAUCAAAGACGGCUUUAAGCUAGCCCACACCAUAAUUUUCCAGGCCUGCAAGAGUCCUCGGCUGUCAAGGCCAAGCCCAAUGCAACGAGGGGCUCACCUUCAAUGAGAGAGGAAAGGCCCAUUGAUGGGAACUGGGAUAGGGCAACAAAAGAGAAAAAGGGCUAGAAGUUAGGCCACUGGCCCGCCAGGAACCAUAAAUAAAAGCUUAGAGGCCAUUCCCCCACUUAGCCCACUUAAUGCCACAUCUCUACUGCAAGCAAAAAAGGCUAGUCCCGCCCCUCUUGGACACCACGCCUUGACUUCGAGAGUGACGCAUACCUUUUUACUUUUGACACGCUUCCCAUCCUCUAACCCAUCCACGCAUGGCCUACCCUCACUGUCAUUCCUAACCUCGUACAUCCUAGAAUCCUCCUUCAGAGAAACCAUCAACAUCCAUGUUGGAUCUCCCACCAUAAUUGAACAACGUAGACUAAAGUCUUGGCUGCCACAUGCAAGAACCCUCCUCCUAUCAGAACUUACUAGGAUUCUAGCCCAUUGCAGAUGGAGUCUCCAUUGUAUCCAUAUCCAUAGCCACAAAUCCUCCACACACAUCACCCACCAUCUUAAAGAAUUUUUUUUUCCCACAAGUACAAUGACAACCCAACCACUCUGACCCAAAUUUCUUUUGCACAAACCCCUUCCCUUAAACACCCAGCUUGAGUUUCUAACCUCCAUUAAUCCAAUUGCAAUCCCUUUCCUUCGAAAGAGCCAAAACCUAUAUGCCACAACCUCUCAACAUCUUUAGUGUUCUCAAAUUCCGCAUAAGAGACCCCUUUCUGAGGGGAUUCUUCUACACACUCCCGUAGUUCACAAUCAUAUUCUGUAGGCUCCUUUGUAGGUUUAGGCAAUUGGAAAACACCAAUACUCUUCAAUUUACUAGCUAGGGUCCUCCAGCCCCCUAGAAAGCCCCUUCCUUUUAAAAGAUUAAGGAGAAUCUUUUCCCUUUUGCAAACAAAACAAAACGUAGCAAUAAACUACAAAAUUCCAAUUAAUAAACUCUUCCACAAUCUUUCCACUCCAUCCUUAAAGGCUUUCUAAUUUACCAACACACCAAACUUCAGCGCCCUCCAACAACAUAGAUAGGCCCCUCUCGCCAAAUCUGAUCCAAGAGGAGAGACCUUGCCCUUCCUCCACAAUCAUGUCAACUUCCCUGCAUUUAACCAUCUCCUUCGAAAUCUCAAAGGAUUUUGAUUCAACCCCAUGCCAGCAAUUUGCCCCAUUUUUACAUCUCUACCUACUAGCUUCAGUUGCAUUGACUUUGGUGACCAUAAGAACUAAUUUUUUGUACUUAGUGAUAUAUGAGUCAAUGACAAAUGUUAGCAUGUACAAUACUGCACAUGCUCUCUAAGUUUUGUCACACUUCGCUUAAGCUUGCCUUAGGUUACACCUUGCACCUAAGCCUCAGGAGAUCUAGACCAACAAACUUGGAAGCUGAUAAGUUGACCAAAUAAGGAGCUAAUCUUUUGUGGACUUCAUUGGGAUCUCAUACUCCCUUGAGAAGUCCUGGUGGUUUUUCAUAGAGUCUUUGUUUUCAUAUGUUUGUUUUACUUAUAACAAUUACAAGUAUAAUUCCUAGUUAAAAGUGGCUUGCUAUGAACUCAAUUCUUUGAGAGGGCAAUUGAGCAUCUUUGAGUCUGUAAGGCCUUGCUUCAAAUAUUUGGGCCUUAAUCACAGGCUAGGUUAAUUCCAAUAACAUUUGAGAUUGGGCAAUCAACAUUUUGAAUCUAAUUCAAGUAGAUUUAGGUCAAGGACAGCUGGUUUUCUAAUAUGUCUACCUUCCUACCACUCAUCCACACUCCAUCAAAUUUCCUAACGUUGAACCAAUUUUUCCUCCCCUAUGAACACCAAGAGGGAAUGAGUUAAGUACAUUAACCUAUCGAGUACACUUGGCUCAAGAACAAUUUCCUUCUAUUCAUGCCCUAAGUGCAAUACACUCAGCUCAAGAACGAUUUGUGUCUAUUCAUGCCCUAAGUGCAACACACUCGGGUCAAGAACAAUUUCCUUCUAUCCAUGCCCUAAGUGCAACUCCAACAGACAUCAGCAAGAGAUUUUGAAAUAACUCCCCUUGACGCUCCCUCAAGAAAUAUUUACAGGCUUCAACAAUGGGCCAUCUGAUUAACCCAGCUUUAAGUGCUCCGGGAACUUACUAGUUUUUAACAGCUAUCUCCAAAAAUGAACCUGACUAUCUAACACCGGCAACCCAAUCCCACACAAAAAGAUAUGCGCUAUUCAAUAAAUCAAUAAAUAUUUGCUUAGAUGGUGAAAAAUGGUGUGAUGCACACCAUAUCCUACAUGCUGCCUCUGCAUCAUUCAUGCAGCUGAAACCGACUCUCCUGUUGUGCUUAGAAUUUUGCAGAUCACUGCUCCCGCUCAUAUGCACACAGCAGCUUGGCUCCUCCAUUGCUUAGACCCUCCUUGUGAACCAUACUCCCAUAUGUGCUAGAAGAAAAGGCAUACUAUUCAACCUUCAAAUGCCUUUUUUGCCAGUUUACUGUUCAUCCUUCUUGAAAAAUUGUCCAGCCACUACAGUUGGACUCCUUCAAUAAUACCAUGGAAAAGAGUCUCCUAUUCAUUCAUCUAAAACUCCCUCAAAUUUACCUUCCACACCUUACAACAAGUUUCAAGUAAAUGACCCUAGAUUUACAUUUAAACUUCCAAUAGAAACCAAGAAUCUACCCAAAAAACAUUGCUUUUUCCUUUCUAGAUGCUAUUGAGCCAAGAAAUCUCAUCCUUCUUGAAGCCUAGUGUAAUCAAUGCCUCACAACUCCUCUCUGCAAUGGGGAGCCUAGUCUCCACCACCAUUUUCUUCUUUAAUAUCAAAAAGAUUUCUCUCCACUGCAGGGAAUUGUCAGACCAUGACAAUCUGGCUCCUACCCAUAUCUUAGCUUGGCAUAAGUUUCUUCCACUAAUACCUAUCAAAAAAAUAAUAAUAAGUUUCAUCCACUAAUCCUCCAUACACUUUUCAAUAUUGUAACUCGUAAAGAGACAACAUAUCAUAGUGCUAAAGAAUAGCUUCUGUUCAUGAUAUAAGAAACUUCAAAUGACAUCCUAUUAGCCCAAGAGUAUUAGUGAACUUUUUAGCAGUACUUUACAACUACCACAUUAUUUUAAUGUUUUUAGCCCAUAAGUAAUGUCAUAAUGCUUCGUAAGUUUUGAGUGAACCACCACAUAUGCAAGAUCAUAUAAACAGGAAAAAAUAAGGCAAAAGGAGAUGCAGAAAAUAUGAAUUUACGAUCAUCCAACAAAACAAAGUAUAUAAUAGUCUUACGUAUUUCUAUUAGUCAAAACAUAUUCAUUUAGAGAAACAAGAGUGAAUAGCAUGACCCUUACUACAACGUAAUAAUGUCCAAUCAACUUACAGCAACAUUUAGCAACCCAACAAAUGGGUAAGAUGAAAGCAUUGAUUUCAUUAUCUUUCUUUGUUUAGUUUGUGUGCCGUGGAACUGAAGCAUCCUCUCAAGAACCUACAAGUACAAGAAGACAUCCAUUGAGAAAUAGCAUCUCAUCUUUCAAAGGACAAAAGUUGCACAAAUAUGAAGCAUCCAGCUGUAGCCUGUGCUUAUGUACCUUAACUAGGUUCCUUAUCAAAAGAAAAAAAAAAUAGUAAACAAGAAACAAUAAAUAACAAAAAGAUAUAAUAAAUUAGAAAAUGAAAUGUUGACCUUAAAAAACCACAAUGAAAAAGACAUAAUAGAAGUAAAAAAAUGUCAAAAAUUCACGCCUAACCAAUCACUUAGAUUUUACAUGGGAUAUUGUUUUAGUUUCUAUUUAGGAGCUGAAGCAGGCAAUAUCAAAAUUAGGAAUUAAGCACAUCCCUUACCUCGAACGGAUACUAGCAGCUAGAGAGGAAAGACACACACUAGUUAUCAAUUAGGUUACACCUAGGAUAUUGUUCCAAUCUCCUAUUCCUUGGAUGUUUCAAUGCAACACCAAAAUAAGGAGUGAGAUAUGUCCCUUACCUAAUCCAAACACCAAGAAUGCACCAUUCAAUACAGGGGUGCAAUUCAUGUUGGCGGGUCAUGUUCAUGUCGUGUCAAAACCUGGGUAUUCUACAACAUAGUUUAACCUAAACCCGACACGAAUAACAAUUUUGUCAAAAACACAAACCCAAAUGCUACCUAUUAUUAAACAAGUAACACAUCGUGUAACCCCUUUAUAAUCAAGUCCUAUUUGAUAAUUAGGUUUGGUUAAGUCUUAUAUCUCAACUAAACAUUUUUAUGGAUCAAUUGACCUAUUUAUCUAAAAACAAACUUUAAAAUGAAUCAAAUAUGGGUUAAAUGGUCUAAAGUUAUAAUUAAGUUAAUUAACGGGAUUAUUAAAUGGGUCAAUUCAGGUCAAAUUCAUGUUAUACAAGUUGACCCAAAAACUACCUAUUUAUUAAACGAGUUAUGCAGAUCAACACAAAUUUGACCCAAACCCAAUUAUACUCGAUCCAAACCCACAAAAAGCAUGUUAGAUCUAAGUUAUGUUGGCAAAUCAUAUCAAACUUUACCACCCUUAAUUCAGUAUAUGCCAGCUGUCAAAAAGCUAAAAGCUAGACUAAGAUCCUUAGGCUCCAUCACUUGUAGGCAGGUAUCAAAAGAAAAAUAAAAGAGCACCACCUUCUCUUGCAAGCCAAAGGGCAUGCAGCCUCACAUAUUCAUGACACCAUGGCUUUCUAGCUUGGAGGAGUAUAAAGGUCUUUAGGUUAUAGUAGCACCAUCAGCUAUGCGUGCCUUUUAAAAUGCAAGAUCACAUCUAUGUAGGUAUCUUUAUCUUUUAACUUCAAGAGGACAUAUAUCAAAACUCAAUAACUAAGCUCCAUUUGACAAGCUUCUCAUAGUCUACAAGCUUUUCUUGACUGUUAAAGCCCUCGAAGCAUAAAGUACUUUAGUAGAAGAUAUUUGGAGCUUAAAAGCCCAUUCCAAACAGUUGGAGGCAAGUUCUUUUGCAGAAGAGCUCAAAGCAGAUUUCAAACUUAAAGUUUUAUUUUUACAUUUUACUACAUCAAAUAGGAAGGUAUUCUUUUGCACAGAUAUAUACAAAGAACUAGUUCACUAGAAGCCACAACUAUCAAACCCUCUACAGAUGGAGCUUUUGGAUUUUCAUGCUAUCAGUUUUGCACAAGACUACUUGAACUAAUAGAUGCCUUCGUUAAUAUUUAUAAACAUAAGAUCACGAGAAGCAUAGUGCCAAAAGAAAUACAAAGCUACAAAGAAAGAGAUGAUACAAAUUAAUUGAAAAUAUAGUCUGGCCAUUAAUUCAUACUUGAGUGUAGGAGCAUGAACAAACCUCAGCUAUGGUGUGCUCUUGACAUGCCUCCUUCCAGGUUGUGAUGAACAUCCUCAUAGAAUCAUUAGCAAGCAAAAAAUCCGCUUCAUUCAGAUUGUUAAGCUCCUUUUUCUCAUUGUCAUGGUCCACUGAAAGAGGAACUAGUUCUAAUUUAUUUCUUUUAGGCAAUUUGAGGUAUUUUGAAACAGUGCAACUUCGGUUGCUGGACUUUCUUUUCCUUUUAAAGGGCCCAGUAUUCUCACUGUGCAUUGAACUGCCACUAGCAGAAGGGUUUCCCUCUGUUUCACCUUUCAAUCCAAGUCGGGUCAUCUCUUCAAUUGCUGAUGGGUAGGGGCAGCUACUCACUCUGUCACGAGUUUUGGAAUUUGGUGAUGAAAACUUGCUAUUGCUGCACCCAUCAAUGUCUUCCUCACUCUCUUCAUAUUUAUGAUCAUCACUACCAUCCUCCUCUGAACAUGAUGAAACAAAUAUUGUGUGUUUACCACCAAAAUCGUCGUGUGCUGAGGCAAAUGACUUGACACGCUGGGACAUGGCACUGAAGCGUUCAUCUAACUUCUUUUUCUCUGAAGACCGAAGAGGGUGUUCCCUGAUUUUCUUAUCAGGAAUCUGUUUAAGUGACCCUUGACUCUUCUUUAAAGUCAUAUGUUCUAGCUUCCUAGCUUCACGGAUGAAACUAAUAUGCAUCCUAUGAUCAAAAAGUAGUAAUUCAAUUAGAUAACCAAUAUUUGAAUAAUUUUGAGUUUGCACUCAUUAUUUUUUUUGAUAGGAAGUUUGCACUCAUUAUGGCAGAUGAUGAACACAAGUGCACCAGCACAUACAAUGAACAACACCACCAAUGCUAAAAAAAAAGGCAUAAGAGGUUGCAUUCUGAUCCACUGCAAGUUCUGUUCUCAAAAACUACAAUACCAUAAGAAACUUAACUAAACUAUGAAAUUCAAAUCAUAAAAAGAUAAAAUUUGCAGAAGCAAUCCAUUUUUGAAAAUGAAAGUCCUAUCCUUUUAGCUGUUAAAUUAGACAUGGACAUCAUAUAUAGAUAAAGAAUUUGGUACAUAAAAAUUAGGAAAAAUAUGGCCAAUGCAUUGAAAAAGUAUGAUUCAUAAGGGGUUGCUGACUAGUUUUACUACUAGGUGUGGGUAUUUUUACGCACAUGAAUAAAAGAAAAAGAACAUGUAAAAAAAAUAUAAGUUGAGCCCUUAAGGCCUGGCUCAAGUGGUUCCAAGUUCAAGUCCCAAUGGGGAAAAAAAUUUACUUCUAUAUAUAUUUGAUAGGUAAAUUAGUAAUUCAUUAAAAAGCAAGAGCACAACAAAGCACACCGAAAGUAUACAAAGUGCGCCUAAGAAAACAACAACAAAAAAUGAGCCAAGGAGCAAUCAAGGUGGGAUUACAAAAAGGAUUAAUUGAUUAAAAGGGAUUAAAUCAUCCCAAAUUUGUAAAACUAACCUCUCCCAUUUUUUAACUUGAAGUGUAACCCAUUUUUAACAUAAAUACCUUCAACACUUCCAUUAUUUACAUGUGUGUUUUAAAAGAAAAGGUUAUUUUUGCAAGACAAAAAUGAGGGCAUUUUUAUUCAAAAUGGGUAUUUUUUAGGGUGAAAAAAAGCAGAGGGUUAGUUUACAAGGUGGGGAUGAUUUCAUCCCUUUGAAUCAAAUAACCCUUACAAAAAAUACCCCCCUCCCUUAAUACACACACACACACACACACACACACACACACAUAUAUAUAUAUAUAUAUAUACACACACAAUAGAACAUAAGUUGAAACAACCAAUAGAACCAAAAAAAAGGACAUAACGGUCACAUGAAUAUUAGACAUGUAGUUAUGUAUACUAUUAUCAUCUAAUUAUGUACUAUUAUUGUAAACAAUGCAUUAAAAUGCCUCAAAAGAUUUCAGCAUUUAUUGGAAAAGAGAAGUGAACUUAUACAUUUUGAAACAUUUAAAGAGGGAAUUAAAAGGGAGGGGGGGGGGGGGAGGGGGAAUAGACAAGAAAAAAAAAAACUGAAAAGAGGCUGAAGCAAACAUCCCAACUCUUCCACCACAACCAUUAUAGGAUACAUUAAUGGUAUCCCAGCCCCUUUUUUAUUAUUAUUAAAGUAUCCCCGCCUUUUUUUGUAAGCAAAAAUCAAAAUUUAAAAAUUUUAGUUAUAACUAUAANNNNNNNNNNNNNNNNNNNNNNNNNNNNNNNNNNNNNNNNNNNNNNNNNNNNNNNNNNNNNNNNNNNNNNNNNNNNNNNNNNNNNNNNNNNNNNNNNNNNAAAAAAGGACAUAACGGUCCCAUGAUUUUUAAACAUGUGGUUAUGUAUAUUAUUAUCAUUUAAUUAUGUAUUAUUAUUGUAAACAAUGCAUUAAAAUGCCUUAAAAGAUUUAGGAAAUUUUUGGAAAAGAGAAGUGAAUUUAUAAAUUUUGAAACAUUUAAAGAGGGAAUUAAAAGGGGGGGGUGGGGGGGGAGGGGGAAUAGACAAGAAAAAAAAAAACUGAAAAGAGGCUGAAGCAAACAUCCCAACUCUUCCACCACAACCAUUAUAGGAUACAUUAAUGGUAUCCAAGCCCCUUUUUUAUUAUUAUUAGAGUAUCCCAGCCUUUUUAUGUAAGCAAAAAUCAAAAUUUAAAAAUUCUAGUUAUAACUAUAACACAGAGGUUAUGAACACAACAAAAGAACAUUCUAUUAUGAAUAUCAAUCCACUGUAUGGUAUUUUGCAACAGUUAAGAGAUGACUGUAUGUGGUAAAGGUAAUAUAAAAAUCCAUGAAAGCCGCAAUUACAACCAUUAAAAUCAAAAAGUUGAUUCAUACAUCAUUCAGGCUUGUCAAAAACCAUGAAACAGAAACAUUAAAAACUAAACAAAGAAGAACACAGAGAUUGCCUUGAUGUGAUCAUAGGAAAUAUAUCUAGGUCACAUAUUUUGUUCAAAAAUAUACAUAGAACUGUUCAGCAGAGUAAACAAAUUGGCAGGGAUGAAAAAAAAAAGGGAAGAAGAAGAAGAAGAAAAUUGUUUGAGAAUGACUUUAACUAUGAGACGAUUCUGGGAGAUAAUUGAUGAGUUUCAAUUGAGGGAUUUACCUCUCACAGGGGGGUGCUUUACUUGGUUUGGUGGUCUGAAUAACAGUUCUUCUUCUAGGCUAGAUCGCUUCCUAGUUUCUGAAGAUUGGGAGUCAUUUUUUAAUGGUCUUUGUCAAAGUUUGCCGCCCAAGCCCACUUCUGAUCAUGCACCUAUUCUACUGGAUGGAGGAGGAAUCAGAGGUGGAAAAUCACCCUUUUGUUUCAAGAAUAUGUGGUUGAGAGUGGAAGGAUUCAAAGACUUGGAUAGGAGUUGGUGGAUGGUUACACUUUCAAUUGAUCAUAUAGUCACAUCUGAGCUUACAAGCUAAAGGCACUGAAGCAGGAUCUCAAAGUACCCUCAAGAUUCCAAGGCCAAAAGAAGGGCUGUGGAGGAUUUUAGCAAAUGGGCAAGCAUGGAAAAGAUUUCCUGGAGGCAAAAGUCAAGAGAAGUGUGGCUGAGAAAAGGGGAUAAAAACUCAAGCUUUUUCCACAAGAUGGCCAAUGCACAAAGAAGAAGAAAUUUCUUGUCGACUGUCAAAGUGAACGGAAGAAGAUUGACAAACGAAGAUGAGAUAAGGGAGGAGGUGGUUAACACUUUUCAUAGAAUCUUAUCAGAGACGGAAGAUUGAAGGCCAGGCAUCAAUGGGUUGUCCUUUUUUGCCUUGAACAAGGAGGAAUUAGGGCCAUUAGAGGAUCCUUUUUUUGAGGAAGAGGUUUUUGCAGCUCCUGCUAACUUGAGUGGAGACAACACUCUUGGUCCGGAUGGGUUUUCCUUAGCCUUUUGGCAAUCUUGUUAGGAUAUUAUCAAAAAUGAAGUUAUGGGUUUCUUUGUUAAGUUCCAUGAUCUAGGUCACUUAGAAGAAGCCUUAAGGCCACUUUUAUUGUGCUCAUUUCUAAGAAAGAGGGUGCAAAGGAUUUGAGGGACUUUCAUCCCAUCAAUUUGGUGGGGAGCCUUUAUAAGAUUCUAGCUAAGGUUUUGGUUAACAGACUAAAAAGAGUUGUCAGGAAAGUGAUUUCAAACUCCCAACAUGCUUUUGUGGAGGGAAGACAAAUCUUGGAUGUUAUCCUUAUAGCAAAUAAGGUGCUAGACUCAAGGUUGAAAAGCUCAAAAAGUGGGGUCAUUUGCAAAAUGGAUAUUGAAAAGGCCUAUGACCAUGUGAAUUAGGGAUUCUUAUUAGCAGUCUUGGGGAAAAUGGGUUUUAGGGCCAAAUGGGUAAGGUAGAUGAAGUGGUGCAUAUCCUCGACUCGGUUUACAGUUUUGAUUAAUGGGACCCCUAUAGGUUUCUUUCAAAGUUCUAGAGGCCGAAGACAGGGAGAUCAUUUUUCCCUUUUUCUCUUUAUUUUGGCAAUGGAGGCUCUUUCUAGUAUUUUGAAAGGGCUACAGAGGGUGGCUUCAUUAAGGGUUUCUCGACCAAUGGGAGAGGUGGUGUCCCAUCUUCUUUUUGUCGAUGAUACACUAGUUUUUUGUGACUCAAAUAAGGAGCAUUGGGAGGCUUUGAGUUGGGCUUUCAUGUGGUUUGAAGCGAUUUCUGGUCUUAAAAUUAAUUUGGAUAAGAGUGAGUUAAUCCCAGUGGGAGAGGUUUCUAAUGCAGAAGAGUUGGCUAGGGUGGUGGAAUGUAAAGUGGGCUCUCUCCCUUCUACUUAUCUAGGUCUACCUUUGGGCACUUCCUUUAAGUCUUUACCAGUUUGAGGUAGUGGAGGAAAGAUUUCAAAAAAAAAAAAAAACUCACUAUGUGGAAAAGACGGUACUUAUCAAAAGGGGGGAGAUUGACUUUAAUCAAGAGCACUUUAUCUAGUCUACCAAUCUAUUUUAUAUCUUUAUUUAUAAUCCCACGUAAGGUGAGCCUCAAAUUGGAGAAGCUUCAAAGAGAUUUCCUUUGGGGGGGGAGGGGGGGAAAGCUCCAAAGAAAUCCUCAUUUAGUGAAUUAGUCAUUAGUUAGCUUGGAUAAAAAGGAUAGAGGUCUAGGGAUUAGAAAGUUGUCCACUUUGAACAAAACCCCCCUUGGAAAAUGGAGUUGGAGAUUUGCUUCUAAAAAUAAGGUUCUAUGGAAGUUGGUGAUUGUAAGGGAGUAUGGAGAGGAAGAAAGGGGGUGGUGUUCCAGAGUUUCGAAGAAAGGUCAUGGGGUCGGUCUUUGAAAGGCAAUCUGGAAUGGGUGGAAAGAAUUCAACAAGAAGGUUGUUUUCAGGAUAGGAAAUGGUAGAAGGGUGAGGUUUUGGAAGAAUAAGUGGUGUAGGGAGGAUCCUUUAGCAAUGGCUUUUCUAGAGUUGUUUUCAAUUACCAUUGAUAAAGAAGCUUUAGGUAAACCAAAUGUGGGAGCAGGUUGGGGAAGGGGGUUGUUGGAACCCGAUGUUCAUAAGAUAGAUAAAUGAUUGAGAAUUGGGAAAGGUGGAAGAGUUGCUUAAUGAGUUGUAAGGACAAGUGAUCAAAAGUGGCGUUGAGGAUGUCAUGGCUUGGCGAGUAACAAAGGGAGACACCUUUAUAGUGAAAUCCUUUUACUACUCCCUAGUAGGGCGCCCAUUAAAAGGCUUCCCAUUAGGUAUUGUGUAGAACCCUUUAGUCCCAAUGAGAGUUAGUUUUUUUGCUUGGGAAGUAGUUUAGGGAAAAAAAUUAACUCUAGGUCAACUAAAAAAGAGGGGUUGGUGUCUUCCAAGCAAAUGUUAUUUGUCUAAAGAUAAAGAGGAGUCAUCAAACCAUAUCCUUCCCCACUGUCCAAAGGCGACCUGGUUGUUGCACCUCAUCCUUGCUCUUUUUAAUGUCCAAUGGGUAAUGCCUUUCUCAAUCAAGGAUGUCGUUCUUAGCCGGUAGGGAUCCUUUGUUGCAAAAAGGAAGAAAGUGUGAAGAGUAGCUCAUUUAUGAUUAUUUUGGACCCUUUGGAAAGAGAGAAAUCAAAGAGCCUUUGAAGAUUCAAACUUGACAAACCAUACUAUUUUACGCUCCUUCAUGCACAUGUUUUUGGAGUGGGUCAAGGUAUAUUUAGGGUCUAGCACUUUUGUCUUUAUUUGACUUUAUUGAUCGGUUGGGUUGUAAGUGAACCAAGGGUGUUUUUUUUUGUGAAUUCUUCCCUUUUUUUGGCCUUGUAUACAUCAUGUAUACUUUAGGAGCAUUUUAGGCGCUUUUAAUACAAUUUCUUUUACAUAUAAAAUAUAAAAAAAUAAAAAAAAUAAAAAUUAAAAAAAAAAAGAGAGAGAGAGAGAGAAAACAAGGAGAACAUUCUUGGAUGCCUAUGCUUCUGACUUUGAGUGAGAAUGAGAAGUUCAUGCACAUUCAUCAACUCCCACAAACAUAUAUAUAAAAAAUAAAUAGGAUUAGUUAUAUUUAUGUCAUGUUUACUAAACUUUUGAGGAAACGGAAUAAAAUGAAAGGAAAUAAAAAUUGGAAUGAAGGGAAAUGAAAAGAAUCAAAAUUAGAAAUCCUAUUUAAGUGUUUACUAGAAUAUCAUGAAACAGAAUGAGAAUGGAUCUAAUUAUUUUUUUAUCAGAAACAACAGAUGUAUUAAUUAAAAGUGAAUAAAAACAUGAAGGAUGAAAAACCCUCCCCAUGACAUACAAACCUGAUCAAAAGACCCGAAGAAACCUCCACUAUACAAGAAGGGUUACACAAAAGGAACAAAAAAACAUAUACAAGUAUAACAUCUCCUGAAGCUCAACGCUAGGGUGUACAUAUCAAAAGCCAACUAAGCUCAACCCCAUGGAUCUAAUUAUCACAGUGUCCUUAUACAAAGAGAUAAGAAAUUUUAAUAUUAAUAUUAUUCUUUUUAAAAUAAUCCCCAUAUGAAUGUUAAAUUUCAAGAUGAUUAUGUCUUCAUAUGUAUAUCCACGACUAGUUUCUCUGUUUUGGUCAAUGGAACCCUUUCAUGCUUUUUUCAAGGUUCUAAGGGUUUAAAGCAAGGAGACCCUCUUUCACCCUAUUUAUUUAUGAUUGCAAUGGUGGCACUCAGUUGCCUCUUAGAGAGCAAUGAAUGGAGGUUUUUUUCGGCUUGUCAAGUGAGGGGUGGAGGUGGUGAAGGGGUUUAGGUAUCCCAUUUGUUCGCAAAUGAUACAUUUGUCUUUUGUGAGGCUUCUCAAGAUCAAAUGACCUAUUUAUGCUAGUUGCUUAUGUGGUUUGAGGCCAUUUCGAGGCUGAGAAUUAAUUUGGAUAAAAGUGAGUUAAUUCCAGUGGGAAGAGUAGAUAAUGUGGAGGAAUUGGCUUCAAAGCUUGGUUGUAAGGUCGAAAGUCUCCCUUCCUCUUACUUGGCGAUGUCGUUGCAUGUUCCGUUUAAGUUCGUGGCAGUUUGGGAUGGAGUAAAAAAUAGGUUUUACAAGAGAUUGGCUAUGUGGAAGAGAUAAUAUAUUUCUUAAGGAAGGAGAAUCACCCCGAUGUGAAGCACUUUGUCUAACUUGCCUAUUUAUUUCAUGUCUAUGUUUUCCAUGCCAAGGAUGGUCAGAUUAAGGUUAAAGCAGAUUCAAAGGGAUUUUCUGUGGGGAGGUGGGGCUCUUGAGCGAAACUCAUUUAGUAAGGUGGGCGACUUUUUGCUUAGACGAAAGGAAAAGGGGAUUGGGAUUUAAAUGUCUUUCUACUCUCAACAAGGCUCUUCUUUGCAAAUGGAGUUGGCACUUUGUGAAUAAGAGAGGGGCCUUUUGGAAUCAAGUGAUCAAGGGGAAGUAUGGGGAAGAAAAAAGGGGUAUGUUGUAGGACUGUGGAAAGCAAUUAGGAAGAAUUGGGACCUUGUUAGGAGUAAACUUUCCUUUGUGGUGAGUAAUGGGCAAAGGGUGAAAUUUUGGAAGGAUAAAUAAUAUGAGGCUACACUUUUUGUGUUUCCUUCCCCUCUUUAUUUACUUUAGUCAUCUCUAAGGAGGCAUGGGUAAAGAAUGAUUGGAAUUCCUCAAAUAUAGGGGAGAGUUAGAGCCCUCUCUUCUCUAAACCUUUUAGCAAUUGGGAGGUGGAUGAAGUAGAGAGUUUCCUAUUAUGCCUUUAUGGGAAGAGAGUGCAUAGGGAUGAGAAGGACAAGGUGCUUUGAACAUAGACAAAGAGUGGCAAGUUCUCUAUUAAGUCUCUCUACAAAGCCUUGGAUUUGAGCAAUUCAAUUUCUUUUCCAAUGAAAAUCAUUUGGAAUUCGUGAGUGCAACCCAAAGUGAGCUUCUUUGCUUGGAAAGCAACGUGGGGAAAAGCUUUAACCUUGGACCAAAUUCAAAAAAGACGAUGGUCUUUCGCGAAUAGAUGUUAUCUUUGUCAAACACAUGAAGAAUCCAUAGAUCACAUCCUUCCCCAUUGUGUCAAGACAAAGGUUUUAAGGGAAAUGUUUUUUACUCUUUUUGGAGUGUCUUGGGUGCUACCUUCUUCGAUUAAAGCAACGCUUUUAGGUAGAAAUGGUUCCUUUGUGGACAAAAGCACAAGAAAGUUUGGAUAGCAAGCCCUUUAUACAUUUUUUGGAAAGUUUGAAAGGUAAGGAAUAGAAUUGCCUUCAAAGACAACACGUUUUCCAUCCAAAGGCUAAAAGGAUCUUUUGUUUACUUUCUUUAGUCGGAAACUAAGAUGUUUGUAAAAGUUGGUCCUUCGACGCUAAUUGGUUUCAUUGAUUACUAGGGCUCUCAUUGAGGAUGGGGAUGUUUUUUGCACCUCCUUUUUAGCAAUUUCUUUUUUGUUUGAGUUAUGUGGAGGUAGGUGCAUUUAUCUUAUACACUUGGGUCACUCUUUUGGCGCCUCUUUUUAAUAUACAUAUUCUUCUUUAUUUAUCAAGAAAAAAAAAUUCUUCAUAUGCAUAAUUAAAAUGAAAUUUUACACUUUAUCACUUACAAUAAUUAUUAAGAAGAUAUUUUUAAUCUUCUUUCCAACAAUUUCAUAAAUGAUUAUUAAUAUUUAUAUAAGUAAAAUAAAAUGGUUAUCAAAAUAUUGUUUGUUAAUCUACCUUCUAUGUGCUAAUCCUCACUUUUUUAAUAUUACUUAACAUACAACCAUCCUAAAUUUAGUAAAAAAAUUUAAUAUUGAGCCAAAUAAAUAAAAAUAUGAAUUAGGUUUGAACCUACCCUAUAAUAUAUAAAAUCUCUUUGAUGAUUAAAUAUGUUAUUAUAGCAGCAAUAUGUUUCCAGAGGGAGGGUAACUUUGAUUGGAAUUACUUUAUUCAAUUGACUUAUUAAUUUUAUGUCUUUGUUUUGUAUGCCACGGGUUAUUAGAUUGAGGCUAGAAUAGCUUCAAACGAACAUUCCAUAGGGUGUUAGGGCUUUAAAGUGUAAACCCCAUCUUGUUAAGUGGGCGGUUGUUUGUCGAGACAAGAGUAAAGGGGGCUUGGGGAUCAAAAGUCUUUCAGUUCUUAAUAAUGCUCUUCUUUGCAAGUGGAGUUGGCAUUUUGUGAUAGAGAGAAGGGUCUUUGAAAUCAAGUUAUCCGUGGUAAGUAUGGGAAAGCAAGAAGGGGGUAGGCAAAUCAAGAGGUAAAGAAGGGAUAUGGGAUUGGGUUGUAGAAAGCAAUAAGGAAGGAUUGGAGUAUUGUGAGUUUCAGGAAUUCCUUGGACAUGAAGACUCUAUUGAUCAUUUGUUGCUCCAUUGUGAAAUGACAAGGGUUUUAUGGAAGCUAAUUUUUGUAUUUUUUGGGGUGUCUUAGGUGUUUUCUUCGCCGGUUAAAGAUGCUUUGUUAGGUUAGCAUGGUUCUUUUGUGGGCAAAAAGCGAAAAAAGAUUUGGCAAUCAAGCUCUUUGUGUCUGUUUUGGAAUUGUGGAAGGCCAGGAACAACAUUACUUUCUUUAAUGAGAUUUUUUCUCUUCAAAAGUUGAAGAGGGAGUUUGUUUGUUUUUUGUGGUCUAAGUCUAAGUUGUUUCUAGAAAAGUGACCAUUGACUUUCGUAGGUUUUUUUGAAUGGUUGGGUACUUGUCGAGAUUGUUAAGGUUCUUUCUAUACUCUGUUGGUUGAGCUUUGAUGAUGAAGGGAGGUUUGUUUUCUUGUAUACCUUUGGGUCGUUUUUCUGGUGGCUCUUUUCUCUAAUUUAAGUCUUUAUUUAUCAAAAAAAAUGUUAUUAUCUCAAUUAAAAUUAAUUAAAAUAAUUUUUUAUCUUUAGUUGUUAUGCUAUUAUUUUUAAUUUUUUAGAAAAUAUUUUAUUUUUUUUAAUAUGUUAUUAUGUCAAAUUAAUAUAUAAGUUUAACAUAAUUAAAAAUGUAAUUAUAUUAAUCUCAAGGGCAUUUUUGUCCAAUUUUCAUUCAUGAGGAAAUAGGAAUUUCCUUAAGGAGCUUCAAGGAAACCCUUACUCCACUUUGAAGAAUGAGACUCUUUAAGAUUAGGUCAAUCCCACACCUUUCACUGAUUCCAAGUUUAAGUAAACACUUGGAAUGGAGGGAAAGGGAAUGACUCUCUUUUCUUUAAACAUGUCAUUAAAUAUAAAAUACCAUACACUUAAAGAAUACAUAUGUAGACUGAUCUAACUUAUAGGGUAUGCUUAUGGAGUUGUCGGUAGUUUCAUUCACCCUUCACUACUGCUUCCAGCGCUUUACAACAACCAACUCCAAAGUAUUUCUUUUUUUAAAUGCUUCAAAUAUUUUGUGGAGCAGUUACAAGGAAAUUGACCAUUAGCUGUAAUGCCACAAUGAGAAACACUAACACCAUAAAUGACUAAACUCUAUUAAUGCUGGUACCAAACUUUCUCAAAAAAUGUGUUAUUUAUAUCAAAAUGUAACAAUAGUAAGAAAUGUAUUGCAUACCCCAAGCUUUGAAUUCGCACACCAAGCCUUUCCCUCCCUGUGAGGGAUCGCUUCUUGGCAAUGUACUCCAGGAAUUCUUCAAUAAUAAUAUGUUUAUCUUGGCAAGCUUCCAUAAACUCAUCAAGACAAGAUAUUAUCUCUGCGCUAGUUAUCUUAAAUACUCCUGAUGCAUCAGAACUGAUCGAAAAGUAAUGCAUGAUAAGUGGAUGCCGUACCAAAGGACCCAAUUCAAGAUCUUCAAACUGCUCAACCCCCUCAUUCUUGCAGAUUGCCAUUUCCAAAUCAUACAAUGAAGUAAUUCUUCGAACCCCAACAAAGCAGUGGAUAAAUGAAUUGAUCUAAAUUACACAACAAAAAAAUCAAACAGUAAAUAGAGAGGAUGAAAGAAUGUUAACAUGAGAAAAACUUCACUUAAUUGCUUAAAGAAGAAAGAAAAAUUUGACCGCAGAAUUUUGAUUCUUAUCCUUUCUUUUGCUUUCAUUUCUUAAAAAUAAAGACCCAUUUAAAAAUGCGUAAGGAUCAUGUACAUUUGCACCCUCAAAGGUAGUCUGAGUCACACAACCAAUCAAGUUUAUGCAGUGUUUCAAAAGAAGUGUUGUGUAUAACAUUUGUGACAUAAUGCAAGAACAUUUUUGCAGGGUCCAACUUAUCUUUGCUGGACCAGGAUUCUUGAAUAUUUCCCUACAUACGGCUUUAUCAGUCUCUCUCUCUCUCUCUCUCUCUCUGAUAGGUCAAUGAAAGAACAUAUUAAAAGUGCCUAAUAAGAGAGUGCAAAAAGGUAUACACGUUGUAUACAAACAACCUCAUUCAUUUUUUCUCCUUGUGCUCAUCUCCAAACUCUCUCUCUCUCUCUUUCUUUUCUUUUCUUUUUUGAUAGGUCAAAGAAAGAAAAUUUUAAAAGCACCUAAUAAGAGAGCAUGAAAAGGUAUACACGUUGUAUACAAACAGCCUCAUUCAUUUUCUCUCUUUGUGCUCAUCUCCAAAACAAUGAAGACAAAUUCAAAAUUCUAACUACUGUUCCUCCCAUCCAAUAAAUUCAUUUUUCACUGCCAACCAAGGUUAACCUCACAUUUGCAUGCUAGAAAACUGGGGAAAACAAAAGAAUAGUAUUAUGUUUUCUGUUGUUUUGGCUUCCAGAAACUGAAGAACUUAUUCAACUAAGCCAGAUUUGAAUGCCACACAGUUGGGCGAGAGUUCAUAGUUCUGUAAAAGGCAAGACAUUAAAAGCUCUAGCAUAAAAUUUUACAUUUCUUUCCUUAACCUACAUCUCUUAAGCAACGAAACAGAACCUUUGUCACUCUCUUUAUAAUUUCCUCACAGAACACUCACUUCCUAUAUUUUAAUUUAUUUUCUUGUUCUAAACUUCCUCAGCAACCAAACACAACUUCACCCUCUACUUCGUUGCCAAGAAAACGAAGGGAAUAAAUACAAACUAAUUAAAUAUGUUCUUUCAUUGACCAGAGGGAUUUUUUGUGGGGUGGGGGAGCUCUUGUCCAAAAACCUCACCUUGUCAAAUGAAACUUGGUUUGCUUGGAAAAAAAGAAAGGUGGGCUAGGUGUGAAAAAUUUAGCUUUGAUGAAUAGUGCUAUUUUGUGCAAAUGGAAUUAGAGGUAUGCUAAUGAAAGAGAGGCGUUGUGGAGGCGUGUAAUUAACCUCAAGAAUGGCGAAGAGGAGGGGGGAUGGCAUACUCGGGAUGUAAUUGGGAGAAACGGUGUUGGGCUUUGGAAAACAAUCAGGAAGAAGUGGUGGUUGUUAGAUGGUAGGGUAGCUUACCAUGUGGGUAAUGGGCAAAGAGUGAGAUUCUGGAAAGACAAGUGGUACGGAGAUGGGCCACUUUGUGAGUCCUUCUCCUCUCUUUUCUCCAUUUCCAUGUCUAAAAAUGCUUGGGUUUCGGAGGUUUGGAAUCCCGUUGGAGAUGGGGAUGGUUGGACUCCUCUUUUUGCAAGGGUGUUUAAUGAUUGGGAGAUCAAUUUGGUGGAGCGUUUGUUGCAGAAGAUCCAUGCCUUUAGGGUUCAAAGGGAUGAGGAAGAUAGAGUGAUCUGGUCAGCUUCAAAUGACGGUGCUUUCUCAGUUAAGUCUCUUUAUUCUAUGUUGGAGCGGGGAGGUUCUUCUAUGUUCCCUAGCGAAAGAAUUUGGAGGGUAAGAGUGCCUCCAAAGAUAGCUUUCUUUGCUUGGGAGGCUUCCUGGGGUAAAGUCUUAACUUUGGAGAAUCUUCAAAGGAGGGGGUUCUCUUUGGCAAACAGGUGCUUUCUUUGUCUUUCCGAAGCAGAAACCGUGAAUCAUCUCUUACUUCAUUGUGUUAAGACGCGGGUCUUGUGGAACCUUCUUUUCUCCCUUUUUGGUGUAUCUUGGACUCUUUCGUGUACAGUGAAGGCAACCCUUCUUGGAUGGAAUGAAGUAUUUGUGGGGAAAAGACGCAAGAGGGCUUGGAAAAUGGCUCCUUUAUGUAUAUUUUGGUCAAUCUGGAAGGAGAGAAAUAGACUAGCUUUUGGGAAUGAGGAACUCUCGCUUCAAAGAUUGAAAUAUUCUUUUGUAUGUAAUCUUUGGUCUUGGGUCAGGGUUUCCUUAGUAGAGAGCUCUUCUUCUCUUAUAAGUUUUUUAGACUAGAUAAGCUCCUAGUAAGGGAAGGCGGUGGGUAUAUUCCCUAUAUACUUCAAGAGCACUGGUUUUUUGGUGUUUCCUCUUUUUGAUUAAUAUACUUACUUUUUACUUAUCAAAAAAAAAAAAUACUGAUGGAUCAAAUUUUUUGGUUUCUCGAACGAUAAAACUUAAGUCAGCUCAAUGUAGCAGAGGCUUUAUCAUCCAUAAUCCUCAAUAUAAGUUUGCUUUCAAAAUUGGUUGUUGCUUUUCCUACAACUGCUCAACAAUUUAACUAAUCUUUACUCAGUUUAAUAGUUUGGAGAACCCAACAACCUCUUAGUUUUCAAAUAUUAGUUGGUUACUUUUCCUAUCCUUUCUUAGCAACCAAAAAGAAAAACAAAACAAAAAAAACUUGCAUUACCUUUCCCUCUAUGACUAUAAGGCUGUGAAGAGACGGAACCUCCUGCAUCGGAAACCCCAACGAUUCCCAGGAAUCAACCUGUAGCGCCAACAACGCUGAUUGAGACACCUUCCACGCCGACACGCUUUCACCGGUGGCAAUAACGUCUCGGCGAGCCUUGACAACGGCGCCGUCGACCCUGUCCAAAGCCUCUUUGUUCCGCUUUGGGGGUUGAGGCCUGAACCCCGUGAAAUUAGUGUUUUGGAUUGCAAAACUAGGGUUUUGUAAUGGAAAACUAGUGUUUUGCAUUGGCAAAUUAGGGUUUUGCAAUGGCAAAUUAGUGUUUUGCAUUGGCAAAGUAGGGUUUUGCGUUGGCAAAGUAGGGUUUUGGAGGUAUGGGAGGCCGAGGUUGGCCUGGAAAGUAGGAUUUUGGAAGUAGGGAUUUACGUUCUGGAUGAAAUAAUUAGGAGUCGGAGGUAGUGCUUGCAGUGGCGGCACUGCCCCACCACGACCGCUGCCACCGCCGGCGGCGGUAGGGCGGUGGCCAGGAGGGUUGUGUCCGUACAUGGCGAAAUCAGUUGAAGAGAAAGGAAAACAUUUAGCGGGGUGUUUUGAAUAUAUAUAUUCACUGGAAUCUCGCCACGUCAGCAAAAAGAAAAGUUGCUAUGUUGAGCCAAUUUUACUUCUUUUUUUUCUUACUAAUUUCUUUUAUUAAAUAACAUUGAUUAAAAACUAUUCAAAUUUUGAAAUUAUUUAAAUUAUGAAUUUUUUUUUAUAUUCUUCUAUACAUUUUUCAUUAGUAUUAGUCUAUUUAAAUAUAUGAGUUAUGUUUCAUUUGAAAAGUGUUAAGAAAGGAAAAAUAAUAAUUAAAAUAACUUGCUUUUUCAUAUUUGAUUUCAUCGUGAAAAAUAUUAAAAAUAAUCAAAUAUAAUUAAUUAAAAUCUAUAUAUUUUUUAAUUAUAUAAAUUUUACAUUGAGGAUGAUAAAUAAAUAAAAUAAAUUUAAAAUAUUAUAUAUAAAUAAUUUAUUAAUUUGAAAUUUAAUAAAUAAACAAAUGCUUUUAAGGUUUACCCAAUUAAUGUAAAACAUAAUAUUAGUCCAUUAUUAACUAAUAACUUAAGUCUUUAAGUCAAAACCCGAUAUCAUUUUAUUAGCUUUUUGUCUUCACAAUAUAUAUAAAGAGAGAGUCAGUUUGGAAAUUGUUUUUAAAAGUUUUUUUUUCUAAAACUAUAAAAUUAUUUUCCAUAUUCAAAAAUAGGUUUAAUAAUUUUUUUUAAUAAAAAACAAUGUUUUUGAGAACUUUUUUUGAAAAUAGUGCAUUUUUUAUAAUAUAUUUAAAUUAUUUUAAGUUAAUUUCACUUGUGUUUUUUGAAAUUGUUUUAAAAUUUAAUUAUAUAAAUAUGGAGAAUGAUUAAAAUAAAACAAUAAAAUAUUUGAAAACAUGAAAAAUAACUGAGAAUAUUUUAAGUUUGUAAAUAGACUUUUACUUUAUAAAACAUAAAAAAUUGUUUUUGAAAGCUAUUUUUUGAGAAAUGUUUAUUAAAACCAUUCUUGUACAAGCCUUGUAUCUUUGCGUAGAUUUUCAAGACUAAGAAUGAUGCAAUCAAUUUGGAGUAGCCUUAAACCUAAAUUGAUGAAGAGAUAUUGAGAAAACCCACCUUAGGAUGAGUGAUUAAGGUUAUGUCCCUAGGAAAGUUAUUUGGAUGUUGUUUAAGUCAUUGUGACUAAACUAUUGAAUCCUUAUGAUUUAAUUAUCUUAAUAACACAUAUAGUUCCUUUAGGUUCCACAUAAGUUACCCAUUUAAUUACUUGUCUAAGAUAUAAUUUUCGCAAUAAGAUUUUACAGUCUGUCUUAAGUGGAGUGUUGUGAUGUGUUCAAAAAUAUAAGACGUAUAUACAAAUAAGUCACCAUGAUUUUUUACAUGAAAAAUCUCUUUGCUAGGUGAAGCUAGUCUUCUUCGCAAUAAAAUAUUCCACUAUAAUCAAUCAAAAUUACAACGUUAUUACCUUGUAAGUUCUUUGAUCCUCCACAAUCAAUUAUAUUGUAUAUAACCUCUUUUUAUAACUCUUUCUUAAUCUCCCUCUACUUUAGAAUUGAACUAAAUUGAUCCAUCGUAAAGCAUAAGCUCUUAUCGAAGUGAUCUUUAAAGUUAUUUUGAAGGUUGAAUUGUUUCACAUAUAUAACCCUCCGAAAACUAUCAUUUUGUUGAUAAUUCACUUUGUGGGUUUGUAUUUUUUUUUUUUUUGUGCAUCCAUGCUAUGGUAAACCAUUUUUGGAUUUAUUAUUUAUUUAAAAAUUGAUUUUUUUUAUUCAUUUGAAGGCGACUUCUUUUAAUUAUUUUUUUUAAAUAAAAACAUAAUAAAAAAAUAAAAUUUAAGUAGAUGAAAUCACAAGGAUCCCAAGUGAAGAGAAGUAGGGAAUGAAUGCUCAAUACCUUUUACCGAAGAGAAGGUAACAGUCAGCUAGGUUCACCCAAUAGGGAAAAAGAAAGGGACAAGUCAAUGCAGACUAGGUCUGCAUGUUGAGCACUCUUAUAAUCACCAAAUUCCCACUGCAAUUGAUGAUUUCUCUUCUACUUGAUGAGAACACACUAACUCCUUUAAUAUAUAUAUAAAAUAGAAGGUAAAGUCUACAUAUCAAACAUAGGUUUGAGAACUAGGCUACUUAGUGGAAGAGUGUUAGACCAUUAAACCCGAAGCACUCUUAACAAUUUAUCAAUUAAUUGAUAAGCACAAAUAUGAAAAAGAAAGUAAUGAAAUGCAUACAGUGGGUCACAAAUGAAAAGAGAAGUAUAGGAAUUGCAUGACUUGAAUUAUAUAAAGGGGAUCAAUCUAAGUAAUGCCAGUUGUUCUCAUACCAUGCUCAUUACACAAGGCAUAUUCAAGGAUUUGAAUUUAUGAAAUCUCACAUUUCUAAAGACAAAUCAAGGUCCAUAAAUCUCAAAAUUUGGUUUCGUACAACCAAUGAACUAAUAUCCAAUUCUUGAAGCUUUAUUAAAUCUACACAACAAUCAAAGCUAGAAUAUCGGUGCAUCUCCUUAUUUUCUCAUCCAUUACUUUUCUCAAUAAAUGAAGGUUAUAUUUGGUUUCAGAAAAGUACUAAAUAAAACAAAAAGAAAAAGGAAAAGUUAAGAAAAAUGAUUUUCUCAUAUUCAAUUUUAUUAUGAAAAUUUCUAUAAAAAAAGUCAAAUAUAAUUAGAAUUAUUAAAAAAAAUUACAUAUUUUUAAAUUAUUUAAUUUUGAUAUAAAAUGGUUAAAUAAUAAAAAGAUUUAAAAUAAUUUAUAAACUUUAAAUUUAUUUUUUUUAUUUUUUUUCUAUUAUCUUUAUCUCACAUUUUUCUUUAAAAUUUUCGAUAACCAAACGAGAUAAACACUCUCAACAACGGAGUUUCUCUCUCCAAUGCCCAAGAAAUUCCUCAUAGUUUCCCCUCUCCACCCUAAAGAAGUGUCUCUCCCCUCUCGACUCUAUCAAAUGAAAACUAUAGUUCUUUUUAUAGGCAAAAUGCCCAGCUUCAUCUCUAAUUCGACUCCUCAAAGCACUUGUGCAUUCUAUUUGGGACCCCCAAGGCAUCUUUAUGCACCUCAUGUUAUUUGUUACAUGUUCACACAACUCUGAAUUGGUCCAACACCUUAACCAAGUCCUCUACCAGAUCAUCUCACUUUCCUACAGUUUAGGAACAUGUUCCACAAACUGUUGAUAAUGGUGGCAAAUGGCAAACGACGUGGUUUGAUGGGAACCCACAACUCGCUAUAUUUGGUUUUUGGCCCUGAACUCAUCUCUCUAUUGUUAUGUUCAUCAGUGAUACACCAUCUAACGAGAGAGAUCAGAGUUUGGAAAAUAAAAAAUCUGCAGCAACUAGUCAGUAUUGAAUUCAGAAACAGUGGUUGGAGGUAAGUAACUGAUCUUAGAUCUUUUCAGAUUUGCUAGUAUGACAAAAGUUUCAUAUACUUUGGAUUGAAUGUAUUAUUACAUUUGGUAUCAAAACCAUAUGAAUCUUACUUCUACUUUGGUAUUGAUUUUUUGCAUGAGAAACCUUGUUAUAUUUUCUGAUCUAUUAAAUCACUGCAUAAAAUGAAAUACCUUGCUUGCUGCCGGGAACGUAAAAAAAAAAAAAAAAAAAAAAACCCACUUGCAAAAUGCGCUUUCUUCAAUGACUAGAAAGUAACAAAUAAGGGAUGGCCAAACCUCCACUUGGAUCCACCACUUAAAGCCCAAAGUAGGAGUCCAGGAUAUACAAAUCUCCUAUUUUCUUGUUAAAUCGCAGUCUUAGCAACCUUCCACAUAUAUGUUCCAUCUCCGAAGCAAACAACCUCACACACUCAUUCCUUUCAGAAGUGGUGAUAGCAAAAUCAAUCUAUUUGCGACCAUCUCCUUUCCAUUAAGAACUCGGUUGUCGCCAACGCCGAUAUAGGGGCCUUCUCAUUUGGGGUCGAAAGCGAUACUCUCCAAUUCGAAGGCUCCGGUGACUUGGAUUACUUCUGAGGCGUGGAAGGGCUCGCGAGCGGACUCCUAGUGGAGCAAGCGUUGAGGCGGGGAUGGAGAAGUCGGGGUUGCACUCAGCCGAAACCACCUCGUCCCAUUUGUGGUGAUCGUUGACGCUGUCACGACCAACCAUGUUGAUCUGGCCUGUGAGAAUAUAGGUUGUUCCUGUUGGUGAUGCAGGUGGCUGAAGGGCACCUGUGAGGUUUUUCCUGCCCGUGUGAUGCAGGCGGCUCCAAGGUUUGGACUGUUGUCGGUGUUGGAAGGUUGUCGCGCUGAGUUUUGGUGUGGUGUAGCCGGUGAUGGAGCAGUUCACGCGAGUGGCGAAAAAAUAGGAUCAUAGGUUUGGUGCAGGUGAUAUUAAGAUGUUGAACUUAGAGAGAGAUUGGGUUUCCCUUGAAGCCCACUAAAGUUUUGGGCCAUGAGAAAAAUGAAAAAUUGGGUCAUGGAUAAAUGUGAAAGUUGGGCCAGUUUAGGCCCUUAUGGGCCGGUUUGAAAUAUUUUGUUGGGCUUGGAAUUGAUUGUUUUUUAUAUGGACUUGGGCACCCAAUCAAAAUCUGAAAUCUCUUUUACUUAAAAAAAAAUUAAUUAAUUAAAUUAUUUUGUGAUUUUUAUACAUGCAAAUUAAAUUAUUUUAUGCUAAUUUGUAUGUAGUAUGUGUAAAUUUGUUGCUUUAAUUGCAUGAAAUGUAGCCUAAAUUUGUGUUAGAUAAAUUAAAGUUAUGACAUAUAGUUUUAAUGUCUAGUGAACCAUAUAAUUUUAAAUAAUUAAAGAAUAGCCACAACAUCUUUAAUUAUGUAAAAUUAUAUAUGAAGUGGAUAAAGAUCACAUAAUAGACAUUAAUUGUAAUUAAUUAUAUAAAUAUAAUGAUUUUACCCCAUAGGGAUUUCAUUAUGUUUAUAUAAUUAAUUAGGAUAAAAUGUUAAAAUUGGUUUUUCCUAAUUUACCCACAAGAGUUAGGAAAAAUUAAUUUAAUGGUUUAUUAUAAAGCUUAAAAAUAGAAGAUAUCAAACUAUAUUCAUAAUAAAUAUUAUAAAUUUAGUACAAUGGUUUGAUAAAAUCUAUCAUAGAGAUAAUGAAUAUGAUUGAAUUAAAGAUUUAGCCCACAUGCAAUUUUUAAUAAAAUUAGAUUCAUUUUUAAGUGUGUUUUACAUUGGUAAAUCAUGAAUUUAUUUAAAGCCUCAAUUAUUAAUAAGCUUGUAAUCUUUUUGUGCAGUUAUACUUCACAUUUUUGAUAGUCGUUGUGAGGUUCUCAAACUUAGGAGAGAUAACUUUAAGUUAUGGAAUGAGAGAGUUCUUCUUCAAUUAGGGUGCAUGGACAUAGACUAUGUCAUAAGGAAACAUGAACCACCUAAGAUCACUGAUACCAGCACACCUGAUCAAAUUCUAUUGUACGAACGCUGGGAGAAAUCUAAUCGCCUCAGCGUGAUGUAUAUUAAGAUAAAUAUUAGUGUUGGUAUACGUGGUUCAAUCGAGCAGCAUGAGAAUGUCCGCGAAUUGCUAAAGGCUAUUGACGAACAAUUCGUCACUUUAGAUAAAGCCUUGGCGAGCACCCUAAUUAUGAAGUUCACAUCCCUGAAGCUCACUGGUAUAAGAGGUGUACGCGAACACAUCAUGGAAAUGAGGGACAUAGUGGCUCAAUUGAAAAAACUCGAGGUAGAAAUGUCUGAAUCCUUCUUGCACUUUAUCCUUAACACUCUUCCGCCUCAGUAUGGACCUUUUAAAAUCUCUAACAACACACACUUAUCCUCAAUGAAUUGAUGACCAUGUGUGUUUAAGAGGAAAAAAGGUUAAUGAUGGAGAAAGGAGAAAGUGCCAUGCUGGUGACACAAAAGAAAUGAAAGAAAGGAAAAUCUCAAGCCAGUCAGAAAGGGAAGCAACAAAUUCCUAAAAAAUCUAACAUUAAGAUAGACGAAAAGUGUUUCUUCUGUAAAAAGAAAUGACACGUGAAGAAGAAAUGUUUGAAAUUCUAGAAAUGGCUUGAGAAGAAAGGUAACUCUACCUCAUUUGUUUUUUGUGAAUCUAAUAUGGUUAAUGUAAAUACCAACACAUGGUAGAUUGAUUAUGGAUCUAUAAUCCACAUUUCAAAUUCCUUGCAGGGUAUGCAAAACCUAAGGAAGCUAGUGAACAGUGAGCAAUUCAUCUUAUCCAGAAACAAGAUGGGCUCGCAUGUGGAAGUAAUAGGGACAUGUUAUUUAACUUCAAAUGGUGGUUUUGUUUUGGAAUUGCAAGGACCUUUUAUGUACCAAGUUUCUCACAAAACUUGAUUUUAGUUUCUAGACUUGUACCGUUUGGAUAUUCCUUUCAUUUUUCAGAAACAUCUUUCAGUUUGACUUUAAUUAUAAAUCUGAUUGUGUUGGGAAUGGUAUUUUGUUUGAUGGUCUUUAUCGUAUAUUUUUAUAAAAUGAUAUCACUUAUAAUUCAUUACAUGUCCAAACUAGCAUUAAAAGAUGUGUUGUAAAUGAAGAUUUCUCUAUAUUAUGACAUUGGAAAUUAGGUCAUAUCUCCAUAGAUAGAAUCAAAAGAUUGAUAAAUGAUGGGGUACUUAGUACUCUAGAUUUUACCAACUUUGAGACUUGUGUGGACUGCAUUAAGGGAAAACAGACCAACAAGUCAAAGAGAGGUGUUACUAGGAGUUCCACCAUAUUAGAGAUCAUACAUACUGAUAUAUGUAGUCUUUACAUGGACACUCAUGGUCAGAAAUACUUCAUCUCUUUCAUAAAUGAUUUAUCACGAUACAUGUAUCUCUACAUACUUCACAACAAAAAUGAAGCAUUAGAUGCCUUUAAGGUUUUCAAGGCAAAAGUAGAGAAACAAUAUGGUAAACAAAUUAAGAUCAUGAAAUCAAAUAGAGGUGGAAAAUAUUAUGGUAGAUACUUGGAAGAUGGACAAACACCUGGGCCAUUUACGAAGUUUCUUCAAGAGCAUGGGAUUGUUGCCCAAUACACCAUGCCUGGUUUUCCAAACCGAAAUGGUGUAGCAGAAAAAAGAAACCGAACUUUAAUGGAUAUGGUGAGGAGUAUGUUGAGCAGCUCAAAACUUCCUAAAUUCUUGUGGACUGAAGCACUUAAGAUGACAGUGUAUAUAUUAAACCAAGUUCCAACCAAGGCUGUCCCAAAGACGCCAUUUGAGUUAUGGAAAGUGAGAAAAUAAAGGUUAUGCUUAAUUAAGAAAAACACCCAAAAGAGGGGGGGGGGGGGUGGAUUAGGUUUUUUAAAUUCUUUUCAAUCACAAUAUAAACAAAAUAAAGAGAUAGAGUUAGAAAAUUCAAAUUCGGCUUUUAUAGUGGUUCAACACUUCCUUGCCUACGUCCACUCUCCUCAAUCUCCUAACCGAGUGAGGGUUCUACUAACUUGAAGCUUCAACCAAGCUUCCAAUCUUCUUACACUUGGAUUCCGACUCCAAUGGGCUCUUACACAAUCUCUUCAAGAUUCAAACCUCUUCAUUAAAUCCUUAAAAAUAUGGUAUUGGUAACUUAAGGAGUCUUUGAAUCCUUUAGAAUGGUUUGAGUACUUGAAACUAACCUAAUGAUUUAAAUUUAUUACUAGCUAGUACCACAUUCAAAGACUCCUUUGGAAUGUUAAGUUCGAGUUCUUAAUAGCUACUAAUCCCUUAAUAAUGACUAUAACAAAAGUGAAGGGAAGUACGUCGAAGCCUACCCCCACUCCCCACCCCCUUGGAUUUUUUAUUUUUAUAUAAGCAAUACUUAAAAAAAAAAUAAAAAAUGGACCCCCAAAGUCCCAUAGUUGUCAAUCGCCCCUCAACCUUAAAUCCUAACUCCGUUAUUACUUAGAGCUUUACACCUUCAAGAACAAUAAUUUCUUGAAUUUAGAAUGAGUCUUAUUAUUAAAGAAUUCACAAUUUAAAAUUUCCCCAUGAAGAAACUUCAAAAUUAAACUCAAUUUUGUGUUAGAUUUGUAUCAAAGAAUUCUCGAAGGCAAGAAUUCUUUCACAUGAUUAGAGCAAUCCUUUUUAUAUUCGACAAUGUUAAGGGUUCAAUAGACAACAUUUCCUAAUUGUUUUCCAUCUUAACUUAAAAUUUAUUGAAAACUUUAAGUUAAAAAGACAAAUCCACGCAAAAACUUCUUUCAUCAUAUUUAUAAAAAAUGACUAAAAGAAAUAUAAGAAUCUUUCCACAAUAGUGAUUUGAUGUAAUAGGAAAACAUCCAAAAUCGAGAUCAUCACCAAUAUGAUUGUGGUCUCUGGACAACCAUUGUUCUAGCCACCAAGCCAAUGCCAAACAACCCUCAUUCCAUAACUAAAUUAAACCUAAUAACUAAGCUAUAACAGCCCAAAAACCUAACUUUCCAUCAUUUAAAAAAUAGAACCAAACUAACUUGAAAAUUGAUGCUAAACCAAAUUAAAAUGGAUACCAAACCAGCCUAAGAACUUAUGCUAAAUCAACCUAAUUUGAGUGUGUGGUAAAUUCUAAAAAGACUAAAUUUAUUCUUUUAUAAAUAGAUUUCAGCUUAAUGACUUUCAACUUUGCAACCAUACUAAUUGUUUUUUCUUUUAGAUAUUAGUGUAAAUAAAAGGAAGGAUUUUUCAUUACCUUCAUAUAUGUCUAAAAAAAUUCAAUAUGAUUGUUUUACUAGUAAGUUUUAUGCCCCAAAAUGUGAAUGAAAUUUCGAAUAUGACAACCACUCAAAGUUUCAUAGCCUAAGAUUUUUUUUACCUUCAUCUUCACAAAGAAAACCAAAAGAAAAAAACUUUUAAAGAAGUGCUUAAGGAGAAAACCCUAUUAUGUUGUUUUUUUUUUAUUUAAAAAAAAUGAUAUCUUCUUUUUAUUUCUUUCAUUUUUUUUCAAUGGUAGUAUGGAUAGUUAAAAAAACUCUCAGAAGUUGCUUCCUCUAUUUUUUAAGAUAUUGGAUCGGGUUAUGUUAGCCCACUUGAGUCCAAACCCAUGUCGAACAAUUACAUGCAACUCCUUUGACUAGGGACUGUGGAAAUAAAAAUUCUCUUUUAAUUGCAUUUUUUUAAAAGCAUAAAGUUAAACAAUAAAAUUUAAAAAGAGUGCAACAUGAGGGAUUCUUCAAACUUACAUAGUUUUGAUGGGAUAUAUAUUUUAAAUAAUUAAUUUUUUUUAGAAAGAAAAAAAUAAAACAAUAAAAUUUCAAAAAGGAUGCAAAAUGAGGGAAUUUUGAAACUUGGGAUAAUUUUAAUGUUAUGACUUAUAAUUUUGCCUAUGACUUGUAAUGUUAUGCAUUUUUAUGUACUUUUAAUCCAUAGGUUUUCUACUAACAAGUAAAUCAAAAAGAAAAAUAAGACAAUGUUUCCAUGUUCAAGUCUAUGGUUUACUUUGGAUGGAUUCUUAGAGUGUGUUUGAUAAUGAUUUUUAAAAAUAAAAUAACACAUGUCCACAGUCGAAUUUAGAUGGAUUCUUAAUCAACUUAAAAAUUGAAUCAAAUUAAUCAAUAUAGAUUAAGUCAAAACUGAUUGAAUCGUUUUAGUUAUUAAACAAAAUUGAUCCAAUUUACUAUCAAUUGGUAUUGGUUUAGUUCAUUUAGAUGAGCAAAAUUGGAUUUCAUAUUACAAUAUUGAAACAAAGAUAUCAGAAUAUCAAAAUAUUGAAACAAAGUGAAACAGAGAUUCAAAUAUUGAAACAUAAUUUUGAAAACAGAGAUGAUAUGCUGAACAACUAAUAGUUGCAACAACCCUAAAUAUUUAGGUAACUAUGAAAGAUCAAUUAGGUCAAUUCUAAAUUGUCACUUCCUAUGAUAAUAAUAUCAUCCACAUAGACUAGGGCCCGCAAUGGCAUAAGAUUUGGUUGUAAAUCGGAUAAAAGCUUUAGAGGAUGUAAAACCAAGUUGAAGCAAGGAAGACAUAAACCUUUUAAACUAAGCUAGAGGGGCUUGUUUCAAGCCAUAUAAUGCUUAAAGUAGCUUGCACACUUGUUGUUUGUUUUGUUUUAAACUAGGUGAUUGCUGCAUAAACAUGUCUUCUUGCAAAACCUUGUUGAGAAAUGCAUUAUUAACAUCAAGGUGUCUAAUCUCCCAUUUUCUUGCUAAAGAAAAUAUAAGAGCAAUUUUAAUUGUAAUUGAUUUCACCACUAGGCUAAAGGUUUCAGCAAAAACAGAGUCAACUUGUUGAUGAAUUAGCCACUAAACAGAGCUUUGUAUUUAGAAAUUGAACCAUUAGGAUUUCUUUUGAUUUUGAAGACCCACUUGUAGCCAAUAACUUUCCUAUUAGGAGGUAAAUCUACAAGGGACCAAGUUUUAUUUUAAAGCAAGACAUCCUAUUCAUCUAACAUAGUAGUAUUCCAAUGAUUACAACUUAAGGUCUCAUUAAUAGAAAUGGUUUCACUUGUAGAUAGAUUAGUUGUAAUAUAGACUUCCGACUUAAAAAUCCCUCUUUUAGUAAGGAUGAAAAUAUCAGUUUUUACGGAUAUAUCGGUCAUUUGAUUUUAUGAACAUAUCGACGUAUAUCAGGAAAUAUCGAUAAAAUUUUUUGUACAAAAUAUCAAUGAUGUAAAAAUUGAUGAAAACUUAUGAAAAUAUUGGGAAAAGUAUAAAAAACGAUAUAAGAAAUAAUGAUAGGCAUAUUGGGGUUGUUUUGUUGAAAAAGUUAAUAUAUGUAUAAUAUAAUUUAUAAUAUUAAGCAAUAAUGUUUAAAACAUAUUUUAUAUACAUCUAAUCUAAUUUGGAUGUAUUUAAUGAGAUAGAAGAAAUGAUGUUACAUACAUAAGUAUUUUUUAUUAAAAUAUUGAUAAUUUUAUUUAUUAAUUUAUAUUUAUUUUGUAUUUUAUUAUUAUGUAAAUGACAUGAUAAUUAAAAUUUAUUUAUUUAUAAUAAUUGGAUUCUAAUUAAUUUAUGAUAUCUAUAUACACAAAUAUAUAUAUAUCAAUGUUUAAAUAUAUAUUAUAUUAUAAAAAUUAUAUAUUGCAUUCUUAAAUAUAAAUAUAUAUAAAAUAUCUCAUUUAUAAAUAUAUAUAUAUAUAUAUAUAUAUAUUUAUAAAUGAGAUAUUUUGUAAUAAUGCUCCACUACCUACUAACAUACAUCCUACGGUUACUCAUUCUAAAAGACAUGGUCCAAAAUGUUUGGGCCUAGUUCUUAGCCCAUUAUUUAAUAAUAAUAAUAUAUAUUAUUAAAUGAGAUAUUUAUAUUUAAGAAUGCAAUAUAUAAUGUUUAUAAUAUAAUAUAUAUUUAAACAUAGGUCCAUUAACCAUCAAUCUAAAAGUUGGUUGGGUGGCACUUUAAAAGUUGAAAUGCAAUUACAUAUCAUAAUAUAAUAACACCCAAAAUGUGUAUUUAAACUGAGAGUAACUCUCUUGUGCCAACCACAUCAAACUACACUAGGCUAGAUGUGGAGUGGGCAUAAUGGGCUAAGAACUAGGCCUAAACAUUUUGAACCAUGUCUUUUAGAAUGAGUAACCGUAGGAUGUAAGUUAGUAGGUAGUGGAGCAUUAUUACAAACUUGAAUAGAAUCAAACACAACAUGUGUAGGGUUUAAUGAUCCAUAUCUUUUAGAAUGAGUAACCAUAGGAUGUAAGUUAGUAGGGUAGUGGAGCAUUACUACAAACUAAAAUAGGCUUAGACAGAACAUGUUUGGGGUUUAAUGAAGAAUCAAGUUCCAAAGUUAAUACAGGUGAAAGGGAAGUAACAAGUGUUGUAGUAGGAGAUUCAAUAGGAUGGUGGAUAGGUUGGUGACUAGAUGAAAUCGGUACAAAUGAAAGGGAAACAAUAUAUAGGUGUUGUAGGAGAUUCAACAGGAUGGUGGGUAGGUUGGUGACUAGAUGAAAUUGGUAUAGGUAAAAGGGAAGCAAUAGGUGUUGGAAUGGGAGAUUCAAUAGGAUGGUGGAUACAGGUAACUAGAUGAAACUAAAGGUUGGGGUAUAGAGGAUGGGAGGGGAUGCAUUGUGUUGUCAAUGGUAGAUGAGGAAAAGUUUGGGUAGUUGGUUUUGAAGCAAAAAUAAAUGUAAAUUCAUCAAAUACAACAUGUCUUGAGAUGUAAAUUAUACCAUUAUGAGUUAAGAAAUGUGCAAGGAAAAUAAUGAUAUUGUAAUUUAUGAUUAUUGUAAGGUCUUAAGUGAGGAUAACAAGUACAACCAAACACCUUAAAGAAGUUAUAGUAAGGUUGAAUGUGAAACAAUACUUCGAACGGUGAUUUCUACUGCAAAAUUGUGUUAGGCAAUCUAUUAAUAAGAAAUACAACAAUGACAAAAGACUUAGACUAAAAAUUUUAAAGGUAAGGAGGCUUGAGCAAGAGUGUAAGUCCCAAUUCAACUAUGUGACGAUGUUUACGUUCAACUAGACCAUUUUGCUUAGAGGUACAGGGACAAGAAUGCCCAUGAAUGAUACCACAAGAGUUAAGGAAAAGGGUGAGACCUCUAAACUCAUCUCCUAUGUUGGUGUGUAAGAUUUUGAUUUUCUGAUGUAGUUGUAGUUCAUCAACUCAAGUCUUAAAAUGAAGGAAAGAUUGGUAUACAUCAUAUUUGCACCUAAGGAAACAUAUAUAUGUGUAUCGAGAGUAAACAUCAACAAAUGACACAUAAUAUUGAAAACAUUCAAAGAAAGAAUAGGAGCUAAACCCCUCACAUUAGCAACAAGUAAUUGAAGAGAUGUAGUGCAUUUGGUGCAAGAUUUAAGAAAAUAGAGUUUAUAACUUUUUCUAUUUGGCAAGCUGAACAAAUUAAAGGAAUUUUAUUGAAAUAAUGUAGUAUAUUGUAAAAAGUUAGCACUUGUUGUACUACUUUUUGAGUAGGAUGUCCAAGCCUUUUGUUCCACAAAUGAAUCAUAGAGUUAUUAAAUUUAGGGGAAAUUGAAUUUAGAUCUAGGCUUAAGAUCCUAGACUUUAUUGAAUAAUCGAUUUCAAAAUGUUGAAGAUGAAUGACAUUAAGUUGACUUGAAAAGGAAGAAGAAACUUUAGCACCACUAUGAUGAGUUGUGAGAUUGAAUCUAUACAAUGCAAAUUUCAUUUGGGAAGUGUUGAUCCCAUCACUUCAUCAUUCACAACAUAAAACAAGAGGUAAAAUUUGAAGAAAACAUGAUUAUCUUUAGCAAAUUAUGAGACACUAAGGAGGUUUUUGGUGAUUGAAGGAACAUGUAAAAUUUUUUUUAAGAUGAAAUUGAUUAGAAGAAAAUGUUGAAAGAGAAACUAUAGAAUGAUCGAUAUAUUUAAUAUGUAAACCUACUCUAUUCCUUACAUGUAACUUGUUCUUACCAUGGUACUCAUUCCAAAGUUCAAAUUAUUUAGGUCAUUUGUAAUGUGAUUCAUUGCGCCUAAAUCAAGAUACUGGUUGUCAUCAUUUACAAUAUUAAGAGUAGCAACUAUUACUGUCAUUGAGGAUGAUCCAGAAGCAUGAUUAUUAUUUAGUCCUGUAAGUGAGUUGUUGAGACGAUGGUAGUAUUUGUGUAUACUAUGUCGAGACUUUAUGCAUAGUUAUCAUUAUGGUUUCUAAUUCCCCUAGAUGGGUCCUCUACACAAAUAUUGUCAUAAUCUCGAUUGCAACCACAAUUGAUUUGAAAAUAUUUGUUUCCUCCUUGACCUCCUUGGAAGUGUUAAUUGUUUCCUUGACCACUAUGUGUAGAUAGAUUUAUAGAUGGCUAAGUGUUUGUGAAAGAGGUUGAAUUUUGUUUGGCCCUAUGCUCUUGAGCAUGUAAUAAGGAUGAAACAACUUUCAAGGAAUAUGAAUCUUCAUAGAAAGUAAUCACAACAACAACAAAAUUGUAUUAUAGACCAAGACCAGUUAAAAUUGUCAAAAUUUGAUCUUCCUUGGAAAUAUCAUGUUUGGAUGAUGCUAAUAUGUUUGAAUAGGUUUCCAUUUUAAUAAUGUAAUCUCUUAUUGAUAAACUACCUUUCUUUCGAUUCUACAACUUAAAUUUGUAUUGCAUUACCUUUGCCUUUAAUUGAAAAGAAAAAAUUUGUUCUACUAUUUUCCAAACUUCUCUAGCAGUGUCACAUCCAAUGAGUUGAGACAACAUUUUAGGGCUCAUUGAGGCUAAUAGCCAAGAAACAAGAAAAUUUUCUUGUUUUUCGAAAAUAGUAUACGUAGGAUUGAUUACUUUGGUUUCACAUUCCUCAAGAAAUUCUAAAAAGGGACCUGAUUCUAAAAUAAAAUUUGCUAGUCUAUAACCUUUGAUUGUACAAGAACUUGAUGUUUUCGAGAAAGAGAUAAUUUGUAUCAUCCAAUUUCACAGUAACAAGUUGACUAAGAGGAUUGGCUAUUUGAAUAGCAAUUCAAGGUAGCUUUGUUACUUCAAAUGAAGUGACAACGUUUGUGGAAAAGACUUUUGCCAUGACUAGGCUUCAAAGCUUUGACACCAUAUUAUAUUAUUAAAACAAAGAUAUCAGAAUAUCAUAAUAUCGAAACAGAUUGAAACAAAGAUUAUAUUCUAACAACUAACUAUUGCAAUGACACUAAAUACUAAGAAACUACAGAUAUUUCUAACAACUAGCAACUGAGUGGUUAUCUCCAAUAUUUCAUAAAUAUUUUUCAAUAAGGAAAUGACAAUCCAAAAAACCUAUUCUAUUUAUAAAGAUGAGUAAACACAAAUAGUAUAAUACAAUCUAAAAUUAUGGUAAUUGAAUAUAAAUAUGUGAUAAUUAGAAUAUUUUUAUUCAUAGUUGAAAAAAAUAUUUUUAUCAUGGUCGAGAAAAAGAGUGAGAAAAGAAAAAGGAAAGUGUUAGUAUUGACUUUAAAGGCAAACUAAAUGCAACAUAUUAUGGUUUGUUUCGCUUCAAAUAAACAAAAUAUUUUGAACACAAAAACCAAAUAAAUAAUUUUUACUUUUCAUCAAAUUUAGUCAAUAAAUUUUGAGAAGUUUGAAAAAUUAGCUCUAUUAUGUAGGACUUUGAGUUAUUUGUCCAUCUGUAUGUAUUUUUGGCUCACUCUAAAUUAAAAAAAUAGAGUUUGUUUGGCCGUGUGAUGUAAUUAUGUUUGUAAAACAUAUAAACUAUUUAAAAAAAAAAAUUAAUAUUGUUUGACAUUUGUUCUCUAAAAAUAUAUAUUUUUAAAACAAAGCGAAAUAGAGAAUAAUUUUUAGGAAAUAAGCAUGAGAUGUUUUCACCAAUUUUUAAAAACAAAAGGAAAAAUGGGCCCAUUUAGCCAUGUGUUUCUAAAACUUGUUUUUAAAAAUGUUUUUUAUUCUUUAAUUUAAAAACAGUUUUGAAAAACAAGUUUAAGAAAACAUGGUCAAACGGGUCCAUAGUUUAAAAAAUAAUAAUUUUUGGUAAUAAUUAAAAAAAAAUAGUUUUGAGAAUAUUUUUAUAAAUAAAGUUUUUGAUGUUUUCUAAAAUAUAAGUUUUUUGGAACUUCAAAUGUUUUAGGCCUAUUUUUUUAUAUUUUUUAUGAAGUGUUUUAUUUUUGAUAUUUCUAUAAUUACUUUUUUUAAAUAAUCUUUAGAAAAUAAAUAAAAAUAAUUAAAAUAUGUUUUUACCAUAUUUUGAGAACUAGUUCUCAUUUUUUUAUCAAAAAAAUUACUUAAAGUGCUUUUGAGUCUCAAAAAUAUGUUUUUUUUUUAAGAACAAAAACCAUUGCCAAACAGAUGUUUUAGGUUCAUACCUCAACAUCAAAGUUUAUAUAUAUCUAUAUAUAAAUUCAUUGAAUCAUUUUUUUUUUAAUCAUGUGAAUGCAAUUUUUGAAUGAUACACAGUGGGCAGAACUAACUUUGUUUAUUGGCUCAACACUUCUCUUUGAAAAGAAAAAUACUUAAAACAAUAUUAGGUUUAUUUGGUAACUGUUUUUAAAAAUAAUUCUAAAAACUGUUUUUGAGAACAAUUUUUGAAAAUUGUUUUUUUAAUGCUUUUUAAAACAAAAGUCUAUUUGGAACCUAAAAUACUUUUAAUUUAUUUUUAAUAAUUGUAAAUAUAUUUAAAAUGAUUUUUAUAUUUAGAACUUUAUUUUUAAUUAUUAUACAUGUUUAUAUAAUUAUUUUUUAAAACAGCUCUUAAAAAACAAGUAAAAACAAUUAAAAGAUGUUUUAUAAAAACACUAUAUUUUUUGUUCUUUGAGACAAAGAAACAAGUUGAGCUUUUCACACCACUGAAUUUAAAAAAAAAUAGAAUCAAAUUUUGAAUCAACCACCACAUGUUGUCUCCAUUAAAUAACUAAUGACUUUACUACGACUUGUCAAUGUGGAAAAAUUAACAUUCCAAGGAAGACUUAUAUAUUAUUUGGUUAGUACCCCUUUGUUUGAUCAUUUUUUCUAAAAGUUUAAGGAAUUUUUUUUACCAAAAAUAAUUAUAAAAUAUUAUCUGAAAACAUCAUGUUUUUUGUUCUUGAGAAUAGAAAAUAGAAAACAGUUUUUUGGUUGUCGAACUUGUUUUUUAGUUUUUUUGUUCUAAAAAAUAUAAAAUUGCUCUUGGAAACAAUUGUCAAAUAGAAUCUUAGUUUUUGUAAAAGUCAUCAAAUUAUGUCAAAUAAUAAUACUAGUUUCUAUAUAUAUAUAAAGUCAUCAAAUUAUGUCUUUGAUGUGAAUGCAAUUUCUACCCAAUAUCUCAUAGGGCAAACAUCGAUUCCAUGAAUUUAUUAUAAAAUUUAAUGUUAAUAAAUAAUAAUGUUUUUAUCUUUUCGAAAGAGAAGUGUGAACCUAAAGAAACAAGUUCAGCUCUUCACAUCGCACGUGUAUGUGAAUUUCAAAGAAAAUGGAAUCAAAUUUUGAACCAACCACCACAUUAUGUUGAACUAAUGACUUUACUACGGCUUAUUAACGUGGAAAAAUUAACAUUCCAAGGGGCCUCAUUAAUGAACCUAUACGUGUUUAUAUAUAUAUAUAUAUUGGUCAAUGAAUUUCGAGAAGUUUGAAAAAAACAUAUUGUAAUAAAGUAUUAUAACAAUGUAAGAAAACAAAGUUAGAUUACAUUUGAUGCAUUGCCCGAAGCUUCAUUUGAUACUUCCUAAAUAUUUCUUAAAUUUUUUAUCAUACAUUCCUGAUCUUAUGUGAUACAAGUUUUUGGUGUUUUUUUAUAUUAAAAGCCUUUGAACUUCAAAUGUUUCUACAAAAGUCAUCAAAUUAUGUCUUCGAUGUGAGUGCAAUUUCUAGCCAAGAUCUCAUAGGGCAAACAUCCAUUCCAUGAAUUUAAUUAUUAUAAACUUUAAUGUUAAUAAUGUUUUUAUCUUUUCGAAAGAGAAGUGUGAACCCGAAGAAACAAGUUCAGUUCUUCACACCGCACGUGUAUGCGAAUUUCAAAGAAAAUGGAAUCAAAUUUUGAACCAACCACCACAUGCUGUCUCCGUUAAACAACUGAUGAAUUUAGAAGUUGUCAUGGUGGAAAAAACAAUUUUCUUAAAAUUUAAGUUUACAAAAUUUCGGUAAAGCUUCGACUCAUAGUACAAAUAUGCACAAACGAGAUAGAGGUUUUGACAAAGAAAUUGGAUCGAGUAGAGGACAAUACUGCACAUUGCUAAAACACAAAUGGAUCUGUCCACUUCCAACCACGUUGCAGAUCAAGAUCAUGCUACCCAGACCCAGAUAUGGAACCCGGCUGCAGCUCAAUCUGAGAUCAUAGCCAUGGAUUCAAGUGUGUACAGGGCGGCAGCGAAGGGAAAUGUCCAUGUCCUCAAGCAAUUGUCAGAAGAUGAUCUUCAGAUCCAAUUAAGCCCAAAGCAUAAUUCAGUGCUCCAUAUCGCAGCCCAGUUUGAUCAACCAGAAUGUGUGAAUUGGAUCCUUACGUUACCUUCAUCUUCAUCUUUACUGCAACGGCCUAAUCUGAAAGGGGAUACUCCGCUUCACCUUGCAGCAAGGGAAGGGCAUUUGGAGGUCGUGAAAGCUCUUUUAGAGGCUGCAAAAGCACUUCCUAUGGAUAUUGAAAGUGGGGUUGGAGCAGAUAAAGCGUUGGUGAGAAUGAGAAACAAGGGGAAAGAUACAGCCUUGCACGAGGCUGUGCGGUAUCGUCAUUCUGAUGUGGUGAAGCUCUUGAUUAAGGUAGACCCUGAGUUUAUGUAUGGUGAAAACAUCUCUGGUGGGACUCCUCUUUACAUGGCUGCAGAGAGAGGAUUUUCUGAUUUGGUGGAAAUAAUCAUAGAAAAUACCUCUACUUCACCGGCUUACCAUGGCCUCAUGGGUAGAACGGCUUUGCAUGCUGCUGUCAUUCGCAAGGACAAAGGUAGUGUGCUUGGGAUCAAAGAUGGGAGCAAAACAAAAAGGCUUCUCAUUACAUUUUUAGUCUUCUGAAAUUAACUUAUACUUAUCUCUAAUGUUCAUUUAUUUAUUUGAUCAGUAAUGACUAAGAAGAUACUGGAAUGGAAGCCAGCACUAACCAAAGAAGUGGAUGAAAUUGGGUGGUCUCCACUUCACUGUGCUGCAUACCUAGGUUGUAGUCCAACAAUAGUGAGAGAAUUGCUACAGAAAUCAGAUAAGUCAGUACCUUACCUUGGAAUCAAAGACGGCAACAAAACAGCCCUUCAUAUUGCAGCUAACCGUGGGCAUAUGAAGAUAGUAGAGUUGCUGGCAUCACAUUCUCCAGAUUGUUGCGAGCAGGUCGAUGAUAAGGGUAACAAUGUUUUUCACUUUGCCAUGUUGAAGAGACGAUGGUUGGCUACGGGUAAUCUCUUAUAUAAUAGUUGGCUAGGAGUUAGAGGAGUUGUGAAUGAGAAAAAUGGUGAAGGAGACACUCCUUUCCACCUGAUCUCGUCUUACCAAAUUGAUGACCCAACGUUCAUAUGUAACCUUGGAGUGGAUAAGAUGGCUUUCAACAAUCAAAACUUCACGGGUAUGGACAUACUUUCAAGGGCCAAUGACAUUUGUGGAAGAAGGGUACGUAAGCUGGCUUUCUAUUAUCACUUAGUCUAUUUGUUUAUCAUUUUAGUCAAAAUAUAACAACAAUGGAAUCAAUCCACUUCAAAGAUAAUGGGUUGGGAUGAAGACAAGCUGGACAAAAGUACUAAUAGCUAGAAUGAUUUAAGUAAGAAUGUUUGUAAAUUAAUCCAAUUCAACACCUUCCAUCUUCAUAAAGUUCGUGUCCUUUCAUUAUUGUUGAUAUAUAAUAAGGUGUUAAGCGGCUCAAACUAUAGCACAUGCACUAUAUUUGGCUUCAUGAAUGCUUGUUCCUUUGAUAAGGCCACAGGGCUAAAUGUUCCCUUUUUUAUUCUUCCUUUUUUUUUCUUUUCUUUUUUUUGUAAAAGUUGUUUAUACAUUUAUAUAUCACCAACUUGCAGGAUUUUGUCCUACGAAGAUUUUACCGAUUUAAAGAAGCGUAUGUUGGACCUUUGUGGUGGCGGGAGGAAAUAAAGGAAGACGAUGGUAGUAGUGAAGGCAAAGGCAAAGGCAAUGAAGGGGACAAAGGCAUUAAUAUUAAAAACGGAUCUUCUGACUUCUCAAAAGUCAUUCAGAGAAGAGGUGAAAACCAUCUGAUAGUGGCAGCACUCAUAGCAACCGUAACCUUUGCGGCGGGUUUCACCUUGCCUGGUGGCUACAAUGUCAAUGAGGGCACGGCAACUCUAGCAAAGAAAACAGCUUUCAAAGCAUUUGUGGUGAUGGAUACCCUAGCCAUGGUGCUCUCAGUGUCUGCUAUAUUCAUUUUCUUUUUUAUGUCAUGGCAUGUGAAGAAGGCGUCUCUGAACAAACACAUAAUCCCUGGCUUCUUCCUCACCAUGUUGGCAAUGGGGGCAAUGGUGAUGGCCUUCAUGACAGGUUUAUACGCUGUGCUACCUGAAUCCUCAUGGCUUCCAUUAUUCACUUGCAUCAUUUGCUGCUCCUUUUUUCUCUCCCUUUAUUUUGAACUUAAUGUACUUUUGAAAGGGUAUAAAGUGAUGUUUUACUUCAAGAAGAAAUACAAGCUUGGGAAGGCUUCCCAUUGAUUGUAUUUUUGAAUAAUGAUGAAGGCAAUAACGUAUCUAUUUGAGAAAAUUAUGUGAAGAUGUAAUUGAAUGAAAAUUUUAUACAAAAUUUGAUUGGACUUUUUCUUUUUCACUUUAUUUCAGAUAAAUUAAUCUCAUUUUAUUAUUGCAAUGUUUGGUAGGUUAACUAAUUCAUUUUUUAGAUCUAAUUAAGGUGUGUAAUGGUCUGCUCCUAACUAUGUACAUAUUGCCCGUUUUGAAUCCAAAGAGGCCCUCACUACUUUAAAACGUGUAUACAGGGUUAAGAAGAGUUUAUACUAGCAUAAAAAACUUCCUCCCUAUCCAAUGUGGGAUGUCACAAACACCCCAUUCUCCCCCACCAUCCCAUGUAGACACAACGUCCUCAUUAUGUUCCAUGGGAUUGUGGGGCCAAAUAAACAAAUACCCUUUAUGGGACCAAACAAAUGCCCACAUUAGAGUCGAGGAUCGCCCCUGAUACCAUUUGUUGGAGAAUCACAAAUCAUACAAAAUGAUUAUAGAAACUGAUCAUUUAGAUAAUAAAUAUGUCAAAAUCUCAUGCUAAAUCUAUUGGAUAAUAAUGUCGGAAGACAUACUUGAAUCCAUUGAGAUUAUGUACUUGAGUCUUGUUUUUGCACGUUUGAAAUGAGUAUUGCAGCCUCAAAUCACUCAUUGAUGGGAUGUGAAUAAUAAAUAAUUUUUUCUAUCUCCUCGUUUAGACUGGGAAUCAUAACCCUAUUUAUAUCCCUUAUUAUUUUAUUUUAUUUUAUUUAUUAACUCAUCAUUAAUAAAUAAAAUAAAAUUGGUCUCUACACAUUGCAAAACCCAUAUAGUCUAUAUAUAUAAAGAGAUGCUUUAAAGGCUCAUCAUUAACUUAAUUGAUCUACUUAGACCAAAAAAAUAAAAUAGCUUAAUGUACAAUGUGUUAAUAUAUAGGCUCAUAAUUACUAAAAUAUCCAAGAGGGUGCACUCCAUCCCAUCAUCCAUACAAAUCACUGUAUUUUCCACUAACUUUACUUUCAACUUUAUUUUGAAAUUCUUUAAAUUUUCUCAAAAUUUCUUAUUUUCACUUCAUAAAAGACACCAAUACAUACUUAGUGAGAAAUUAAUUAUUGAUGAAGGCCACCAUGUAGCACAUUCGUUAAUUAAUGUUGGUUUUAUUAAUAUUGGACCAAAACCACUUAAAUAAUAAAGGGAUAUUUGGUUAAAAGGGUUCAAAUAUUCUUGAAAUCAGAAAUAUGACUUCGUAAAUCAUUUCUUUUUUAGAGAAAUAGCCUAGCUUAGAUAUUUUUAUCCUUCUUUAUUUCCUUUAAAAAUAUCAUUUCCCUUUCAUCUCUAGCCCCUAUCCCUUCCAUUUUUUUUGAUACCUAGCUUUCGUCCUCUCUCUAAGUUCAUGUUCUCUUUCUUUUUUAGUAAACUCCAAACCCUAAAACAGAGAUCAUUGGAUAAAACAAAUAUUAGAGCCUUCUCCAUUCAAAAGUUGAUUAUAACUCAAACUUAACACUUGGAUAGCUUUAAAGAGCUUAUUGUUGCAUGUUUGAGGCACUCAUACUACUAAUACAUCUUAUUGUCACUAGUAUCUUAGAGAAAUAUUUUUGAUGCAUUUUGUGAGAAUUUUGUAGAUUUUAAGACAUUUUUAACCAUCAAAUCUUUCCUAGGAAAUGACAAAGAAAGAAAGCCCAAUUAAGGUAGAAUAUAGAGAUUGUGCACCUCUUAACUACGCAGAACCUCCAUAGUGCACUUGCUUGAGCACAAUCCUAUUUUGUGCACUUUGAAAGCGCAAGGUAAAUUGUGCAUCCUAGGGGUACCAAUCUGAAUAGCAUACUCAGAGAGGCAUACUUUCUUAACACACCUUUGAGUGAUUGCUUACAUUGCACCUUUAGAAAAGCCAUUUACAUUGUGUAGUUGUGGCACACGAUUUGAGUUGUGCCCCAUGAGUGUGUUCUUUUGGUGCACUUUGAUGACUAAGUGUUUGCCUCUCAAGCACACAUUUCAAGUGCGGUAAAUAAGAUUAUGCACCCUACUUAGGCACCUCUACAUUUAUGCACCCUUUAAGUGUGUUAAACCAGGAAGCACACUUUCUCUACCUCAACCAACAAACUUCCCACAUAGUGUUCCUCUUUAGGACCUUAACACUUCCCUCAUUAAAGACAAAGUGCACUUAUGGCUGCACCAACACCAUUAGGUCUUCAACAUGGGCGUGAGGCAAUUCUAGACAAGGUGUCAUUAGAACAUUUGGACAAAGGGGAUUUUUGCCUAUAAAAGAGGGAUUAUGAAUAUACAAGUAGAAGGAGAUGAUGGAUAGGGAAUAUGUUAGAUAGUUGUGUUAGAAUAGAGCCCUUAAAGGCAUGACGUGAUGUAACAUAUUUGGAAUUUAUUGUUUAUUUAAUGAUAUUCUGGUUUCACUUUUAUUUAUCCUUAUUCCAUGCAUUAUACUUUAUGAACAUUCUUGCUUAACAUAUUUUGGAUUGUACAUGACUUUGGUGUAUUAGGAGUUGCAUGGAAGAUCUAAGUCAUGGGUUCCUUACAAAUAGAUGAUUUGUUAAUAAUCAGUUCAUGAAUAUAAACCAUAUAUUUGAGGUUGUAGUACACUACCUCCCAAUUAGAAGGAUGGUUGGUCUUGACUAUUAAGACAGGGUUCCCAUGGCGAGUACAGUAGUAUGUAUGAUAACACAUUGGACAAAACCUAUGGUGAAUCACGACGUAAGGCUAUUGGGCAGUUAUGACUUCACCAAGCUACUAUACUGUACUAUUUCUCAACCUUAAGAAAAUAUUAUAGUUUGCAGUGGCUUUGACUUACAACUGAUAUCCUAAAGUAAUCAUAUAGAUUGGAUCAUUGUUGAUGGAGACCAGUAGCAUAAAACAUUCUCAAUAAAGGCACCAUGAUAUUUCAUGGACUUUGAGAUAGUAUUGUCUCCUUUUAGGUGAUCUUAAGAGCUUGUAAUCAUGAAAUCUAUGGUGUCAUAGUAAUUCCUUUGAUUCCCUUAAAUGCAUAAGAGCAUUUUAAUAAAUGUGCAAGGUUGCACAAAAGUUAAUGAAUGGUAUCUCUAUAUUGGACUAAUUGAUUAAUCGAAACUUUAUUGGAUUAAUUAAUUAAUUAGAACCCUUUUUGGAUUAGAUUAGGUGAUCAAAGCCCAAGAUGGGUUCAAGUCACUUAAACCCAAUGGAGAACCUGUAAAUAUCCCCUUAGGGGUUAGGGAUUUAGAUUUUUAGCUACUUCUCUCUUAAGUCUAGGGAGAAAACCUUAGCUUAGUUUUUUAGUCACCACCCCAAAGAUUUCCACCAUCUCAAUGUCUUGAUUUAAGGAGUCAUCGAGUAGAAGAUCAGUGGUUUGUGAGACUUCCAAUUAUUAAUGUGGUAUUUUAUUAUGCUCUUCAUUACAAGGAAUUGGUUUGGGAACAUUUAAAUCUUAGGUAUAUAACUUUAACUCUAAAUCUAAAAAAUAGUAUGGUUUCUAUUGCCAUAUUAUUCAGCUAUAAUAUAUCUAGAGAGUCUAGGAUGAGAUUGCAUGUAUCCUACGAGAUUUAGGACUAGUGAACAGAGUAAUCUGGUUUUCGCUAUAAGUCAUUCUUAGGAGUAGAAGUAAUUUAGUUUUGGUUGUAAUCUUGCAUUUAUUUUUUAUUUUCUUUUGUAAUCUUUCCUAGUUUUUAUGUUUAAUGAACUUUCAACCCUUUAAUUUCAGUAUUCUAAUUUCAACUUGCAAAUUAACAUUUCCAAUUCUUUACUAGUUUCAACAUGUGUAGGUAGUCUUUACACUCCAAGGGGUGAGAAGAGCUAAGGUUUCCCAUUUCCCAAAUUUGCUCACCAAUGAUUUGAUUAUGCAUAAUUUAAAAGAAUAUACCUUUCAUCAGUGGUUGAAUGACCAAAAGAAGUAACCAUGAGAAUAAUGUUGUAUUGGUUGUGAGGGUUGCAAGUCAAGCAACCCUACUUAAUUGAAAUUAUUAAUUGAUUUAAAAAAAAAAAACCUAUAAGCAUUGUGAAUUCAUAUUGCUACUUUAUUUGACUUCUAAAGUUGGUUUAUAACAUUGAAGAUGCUAAGAAUACAAUAUGAUAACCCACAAAUGUCAGUUUCGUUAAAAAAAAAAAAAUCCAAUAUUUUGCAAAUUGGAUAUGUCAAAAUAUACCAUAAUGUUAAUAUACUUGUAUUAUAAUUAUAAUGCAUUUGUAUCUUACCUAUAUUUUAUAACAAAAGUAACAGUUUUACAGAAACAUUUAUAUAACUAAUUGACAUCCAACAUAUCAUACCGGUGCAGUACUCAUACAACAUAUUGAUCGGUCAUCACCUUAUCAAUUUGAGUUAAGUUUGAGUUUUUUUUUGGACCGCACCUAUAUCGAUCGGUCAUCUUCUUAUCAGUUUGAGUUUAAGUUUUUGGGACCGCAACUAUAUCAAUAUGUCAUCACCUUAUCAGUCUGAGUUGAGUUUGAGUUUUUUUGGGAUUGCACCUAUAUCGAUCGGUCAUCUUCUUAUCAGUUUGAGUUUGAGCUUUCGGGACUGCACCUAUAUCGAUCGGUUAUCUUCUUAUCAGUUUGAGUUUGAGUUUUUGGGACUGCACCUAUAUCGAUCGGUCAUCACCUUGUCAGUCUGAGUUGAGUUUGAGUUUUUUUUUUGGGACCGCACCUAUAUCAAUCAGUCAUCUUCUUAUCAGUUUGAGUUUUAGUUUGAGUUUUCGGGACCGCACCUAUAUCAAUCGGUCAUUCAUUUUCCAUGUCAGUUUGAGUUUAGUUAGAGUUUUCGUUCCAUGUUAAUUUGAGUUCAGUAUGAGUUUUUCAAGACCGCACCUAUAUCGAUCAGUCAUUCAUUUGUCUUGUCAGUUCAGUUUGAGUUAAGGCCGCACCUAUAUCGAUCGACCAUUUUCCCAUUAGUUUAAGUUUCGAGACCGCAACUAUAUUGAUCGGUCAUUCAUUUUUUUUGUCAGUUUGAGUUGAGUUUUUUGGAGUCACACCUGUAUUAAUCAAUCAUCGUCUUGUCAGUUUGAGUUUGAGUUUUUGGGACCACACCUAUAUUGAUCGGUCAUUCAUCUUGUCGGUUUGAGAUUUCAGUUUUUGGGACCGCACCUAUAUUGAUCGGUCAUUGUCCAUGUCAGUUUGAGUUUAUGUUUUUUGGAACCGCAUCUAUAUCAAUCGGUCAUUGUCUUAUCAGUUGAGUUAAGUCUGUUCGGUCUUGAGCCACACUCUAUCCUCUCGAUCUUUGAGUUCACGACACAUAUUUCGGUCAUGUUGUUGGGCACCCUACGCUUAACGUUUUCAUGUGGUUCAUAUAGUCGUUCUCUUUGAAUGCAUUCUUUCCUGUACUCUAAGGUGGUUCGACCGUUACUCAUCUUUGACAUUGACCUACGAGUCACUUUUGGAGACGUCUUAAGGGGAGCUUGAGUCUUAAGUGCAGCUUUAGAGGCGCUUUGAGAUAUGUUUUUCUCUUAGGAUUAGAGCCCUUUUGUUCAUCUGUUGGCCUAAGUGAGUUCGUGUUUUACUAGUGUCCCUUUGAGGGUCUCCUUUGUUCUUCGGUAGAGUUCAUUUCAUUCCACUCACUAUUCACACUCACUUUUCACUUCAGUGUUCAUAUUCCUUGCACUCGUGAGCUCUACCGAAGAGGGGCAUAUUUGUAGACCUCCAUUUUGGGGGCUCAUUUUUCUCACUUUUCUACAGGUUUUUCUUACCAGAUGGAGGGCUCUCAAGGAGCCACGUGUCACCUUGUGGUUAGCUACUAGGGUAUCAUGUUAGUGGUUUGAAGAAGCAAUAGGGAAGGGACACGUAUUAGGGAAUAUUUAGCAAAAGAGCGUAUUUUUUGUUAUAGGGACAGUGAGGCUGUUAAGGAGGGAAGUGACUUGGUUGCUGGUUAAAGAGAUAUUUUGGGAUAGCUUGGAGGGCAAGAUAGGAGAAGACAUGAAAAGGAGGAAAGGGUAUUGAGAGAGGAUGAGAGGGAGUUUUCUAAGAGCUAGACGGGAUUUUCUGGUGAAAAGCUUGAGAAGAUUAGUUGAGCAAGGGAAUGGGUUUGAUGGGAUUUUGAUGUAAGACUAGAGAAAGAAGGUAGAGAGUUGGGUGAGGUGCAUUUCAAAGGAGAAAAACCAGAGAAAGAGAGAGUUGCAAACAAGCUAGAGAGAGGAAGAAAAUGAGCUUGAAAGGGGAAUAGCACAGAUCUGAUUUCUAUCAGAUGGAUUCCUUUGUUUUCAUACCAUUUUGUUAUGUUUUCCGAGAAUAAUAGGAUUUUUAUUUUGAUGAUUGGAUGUGAAUAUUGGAGACUUUUGCAUGCUUUUGUGGAAUUUGAGCUUGCUUGCCCUCACUAUACGCUUGAUUUCUAACCUGUUUUCUUGGCUUUAUUUUUGGCAUUCAUGUCUUGAUUUUUGCUUUGAAACCCAUUUGAGAUCCAUUUUGGCCCACCCCCAACAUCUAAGCCUGUUGAUUAAUACAUGAAACGAGGCUUACAUGGGUUCAUUUUGUUCCUAUUAUUCGUGCUCUAUUUUUCUAUUUUCCCCUGUUCCUGGUACCUAUUCAGAGGGUGACACAGUUUUCUCAUCUGUGCCUGAGAGAGUAAGGGACUACAAGGGGUGUAUUCCCAGUCCGUGGGUAUGAAAAGUUGUUCCACAGCCCGAGUCCAAGUAAGGAAAGUCAUUGAAAGCUUCUAUUAGGAAGUGUCUUCGCCGUGGUAAUCUUGGAGACUCUCAGGAUACAGAUUAUGGGGUAGAAAAGCUACAUGGAUGCUCAAUACUCUGGUGAAAUUGGUAUUGGUACCCUCCUCUCUCUCUCAAACGUUCACGGUAAUCUUUGACACUACUGGCUCAAACCUGUGGGUUCCAUCAUCCAAGUGCUAUUUCUCGGUUCCUUGCUGUUUCCAUUCAAAGUACAAGCAAUGCUAAUCAAAUACCCAUUGGAAGAAUGGAAAAUCUGCUGAUAUCCAUUAUGGUACCUGAGCUAUCUCAGGUUUCUUUAGUCAAGAAAACGUGAAAGUUGGUGUUCUUGCUGUGAAGAAUCAGGAAUUUAUUUGAGGUAACUAGAGAGCCCAGUGUCACAUUUUUGGUGGCUAAGUUUGGGAGGUAUAUGAGGAUGGAUUUCAAGAGAUUCCAGUUGGUAAUGUCGUCUCAGUGUGAUGCAACAUGGUGAAACAACUGGGUAUUGUGCUGGGAGGUUGUGCAGCAAUUGCAGAUGUUAAGAAUCAGAAGAACCUGAAACUGAUGAAAAACACCAAGAAACAGAGGAUGCAAAAGAAAAUGGAUUGCAGAAAAAACUAACUAAAAAAUUACAUCAGACUUGAGUCCUAUUUAUAAUACAUCAAUGACACAAUAACAAAGUAAAAAAAAAAAAAACUGAAAUAACAACUUUUCUAACUAACUCUUCUCAUCUAACUUGCUUUCUAUUUUAAUUCUUUCUUCUUUCCUUUUUAGUUUCAUGCUUUCAAUAUGAGAUGCAACACUCCAACACCCCCCUCAAGAGGAACAUGGAUGUUAAUGAUGUUCAUCUUGCAAAGAUUGUGAUGAAAAGGUAAAGAACCGAGAGGCUUUGUAAAGAUAUCUGCGAGCUGUAAUCAUGAUGGAAUAUGGAAGAGCUUAAUAACAUGUUGCUGCAAUUUUUCACGAAUAAGAUGGCAAUCAAUCUGGAUAUGCUUUGUUCUCUCGUGCUGAAUUGGAUUUGUGGCGAUGGACAUUGCUGAUUUACUGUCAGUGUAUAGUAAAGCUGACUGUGAAUGUUUGAUAUCCAGGUCUUGUAAGGCAUACAAAAGCCAUUGAAUUUCACAAGUGGUAGUUGCAAGGGCUCAGUACUUUGCCUCUGCAGAGGAUCGACUAACUAUAACUUGUUUCUUUGAUUUCCAUGAAAUCAAUAUGUUGCCAAGAAAAAUUGCAAAACCAGUGACACUCUUUCUAGUAUCGACACAGCCUGCCCAAUCACUAUCGAAAAAUCCUUUAAUUGAAAAUCUGAGGAAAAAGGAAAAAAGAGACCUUGCCCUGGUGUGGCCUUUAGAUACCUCAGUACUCGAAUGGCUGCUUGAUGGUGACUAACAACAGGUUUUGCUAAAAAUUGGCAGAGUACUAGUACAAAAUAGGCUAAGUCAGGCCUAGUGAGAGUUAAAUAAAGUAAUCUGCCAAUGAGUCUUCGAUAACCUGAUGGAUCUUCAUAGAAAUUGGUAUCAUUUGCUGAUAACUUGAGGGUAGAUUCCAUAGGGAAGGCAGCAGGUUUGGAUCUAGUUAAACCAGUGUCUUCAAGUAUGUCAAGUAUAUACUUUCGUUGGCAUAAGGAGAUACCAGUCUUGGACCUUGCAACUUCCAAGCCAAGAAAGUAUUUUAGUGGGCCUAAGUCCUUAAUAGUGAACUUGGCAUCUAAAAAGGUAUUCAACCUUUCAAUUUCCAGAAUGUUAUCACUUGCCAAUAGCACAUCAUCCACAUAGACUAAUAAGGCCAUAAAAGAACUUUCGGAUUUCUUAAUGAACAGAGAACAGUCAGAAUUACCUUGAAUAAAUCCAUAGGAAAGAAGGGUCUGGGAUAGUUUGGCAUACCAUUGCCUGGAAGCUUGCUUCAAGCCAUAGAGGCUCUUUAAAAGAUGACAAACUUUCUGUUCACCUUGGACAGCCAACCUAGGAGGCAAUUCCAUGUAUACCUCUUCAUGUAAAUCACCAUGUAAAAAUGCAUUAUUGACAUCUAGUUGAUGAAGAUGCCACUGUUUGACGGCAGCCAUAGCAAGUAGUAAGCGAAUGGAUGUAAUCUUGGCCACAGGAGAGAAAGUAUCAAAGAAAUCAAGGCCUUCUUGCUGAGUAUACCCUUUUGCCACCAAUUUAGCUUUAUGUCUUUCUAUAGUUCCAUCAACUUUAUAUUUCACUUUGAAUACCCAUUUACAACCAAUAGUCCUUUUAUUUUUAGGAAGAGUAACAAGCUCCCAAGUUUUAUUUAACUCUAAAGCAGUAAGUUCAUGUUGCAUGGUAGUUUGCCAUUCAGGGAGGCGAGAAGCUUGGGUGUAUGAUUUGGGUUCUAGAGAGUUUGUGAUAGAGGUGAGAAAAGCUUUAUGGGAUGUAGACAGUCUAAUAGUAGAAAGAAAAUGGUGAAGAGAAUAGAAAUUACCUUUAGUGGGAGAACAGUCAAUUGAAGUAGAUGUCUGAGUUGCAUUUUGAGAAGAAGAGACAUUACCACAAUAAUAGUCCUGCAGAUAUAAAGGUUUUUGUUCAAUUCUAGUUGAUUUUCUGAGCUGUAGGACUUUAGGGUAAGUUGAAUCCAGAUGAGAUGGAGAGGGAAAUGUAGGUGAGUUGGAUUCAAGAAGGGCAGGAGGUUCAGAGAGAGAAGGAGAAUUAUUAGGUGGUGAUGCAGAUCCCACAUUAUGAUAGGAAUUGAAGAAGGAGGUGGUAGAAGGUGAAUUUGAAAAGGAUUGUGAAAGAGGAAACAUAAAAGAAUGAGUUUCAGGAUGUUGGGGCAACACUUGGAAAGGAAAAAUUGUUUCAUGGAAUAUGACAUUCCGAGAAACAAGGAUCUUAUUGGUGUUUAGAUCCAUGAGUUUAUAACCCUUAAUAUCAGAAGGAUAUCCUAGGAAGAUGCACUUUGUGGCUCGUGAAUCAAAUUUUUGUCUAUGACUAGUUAAAGUGGAUGCAAAACAAAGGUAGCCAAAAACUCUUAAAUGAGAAAGGUUAGGUGUUUUGUUAAAAAUCAUUUCAAAAGGGGUUUUAUUUUGAAGUAGAGGAGUGGGAAUUCUAUUAAUUAUGUGGGCAGCAGUAAGCACACAGUCACUCCAAAAAAUUAAUGGUAGAUUUGCUUGAAACAUUAAGGCUCUAGCAGUGCUUAGUAGAUGUUGAUGUUUUCUCUCCACAACACCAUUUUGUUGAGGAGUUUUGACACAACUUCUCUGAUGCAAAAUACCAUAUUUAUGAUAGAAUUUUGUAAGUAAGAAUUCUGGUCCAUUAUCAGACCUUAUAGCUUUGACAGAAGAAGAAAAUUGGUUUGCUACCAUUUUACAGAAAGUUUUGAUUAAAGAUGGCACUUCUGAUUUAGCUUUAAUCAUGUAUACCCAAGUACACCUUGUGAAGUCAUCGACUAUAGUUAAAAAAUAUCGAAAAACCAGAAUAAGAAGUAGUGCCAAAGGUACCCCAUAUAUCACAAACAUUUGUAUGAUCAAGAGUGAUAGCAGAGUCAAUCUGUUUGAGGAAAUGGAAUCUUGAACUAGAUACAUCUCCUAAUCUACAAUGCCAUAUAUCUAAGUGUUUGUGAAUAGAGGACAAAGCAAGAGGAGCAUAAUUAAACUGAAAUGAAUUGCAGGUUUUAGCUUGUGAUGAAGUUGGAAUCAGAUGGUAAAGUCUUUCUUUUUCAAGAACAAUCCCAAUCAUCUUCUCCAUUGACUAGUCCUAUAAAAGGCAAUGAGAAACAAUAAAGGUAAGAGAAAGAUUAGAUUGUUUAGUGAGUUUGGAAACGGAUAAUAGAUUGAAUGAAAAAUGAGGAACAAACAGGACAUUAUGUAAAAAUAAGGAAUCUGAGAGACAUACAGUACCAAUGUGUGUGGCUGGAACUGUAGUACCAUUAGGAAGAUUGAUGGAUGCAUUAAUUGGUUUAGGUGUAGAAUGGUAUAAAAGUGGUGAACAAAUCAUAUGGUCUGUUGCACCCGUAUCAAGAAGCCAAUAUGAAGUGGAAUUUGGCUUAGAAGUAACAAAAUUACAAGAAAAAAUUGGUUUAAGUGUAGGUUGAACUUUACCAGAAAAGUGAGAGGUGGUGACAAGGUUAACAGCUGGUUGGACAUUAUUCUGAUUGGAAGAAUUGGGUUGAACUGAAUUUGCAAGCGCCACUAGUUUAUGAAAUUCCUCUGGAGUGAAACAAAACUUUUGUUGCUCAUUGCUAUUUUGAUUGGGAACCUCUGGAGUAGUAAUGGCAGCAUGAGCAGAAGCCAUAUUUCUUUUUCCUUUUGGUCCAUUCCAGCCAGGGGGAUAACCAUGAAGUUGAAAACAUUUGUCCACUGUGUGACCAUUAUAGCCACAAUGAGUACAGUGUAGGGCAGAUUUCUUUGGUUUGUCCUUGAAAGAUUGUGGCUGGUAUCUCUGCUGAUUAGAUUGCUUUGCCAUCAAAGCAUGAGUCUCAUUAUAUGUAGCAGAAUUUGUGAGUUGCCUCUAACUUUCUUCUUGAAGCAGUAGAGAGAAAACCUUGGACAUGUUUGGUAAUGGAACCAUUAGUAGCAAUUGGCUUCUGAUAGAGGCAUAAGAAUCAUUUAACCCCACCAAGAAUUUGAGUACAUAAUCAGAUUGCUGUCUGAUUUGUAGAAAGUUGAAAAGUUCACAAGUGCAUGUUGCCAUCUUGCCACAAGUGCAUGUUGGAAAUGGCAUAUAGCUAAUGUACUCAUCCCAAAAGGUCUUAAAGGUACUGAAAUAUUCAGUAACAGACAAAGCACCUUGACUGAUGCAACUCAAAGAUUUCUCAAGUUGGAAAACCCUUGGUCCAUCACUCCUGAGAUAUCUUACUUUAAGCUCAGUCCAAAGAUCAACAGCAGAUACCACAAACAGCAAGCUAUUUCGUAUUUCUUUUGAAAUGGAAUUCAUCAACCAAGAAAGAACCAGAUUAUUUGCCCUUAACCAGGUUGUGUGUUUAACAAGCUGAUCAAUAGAGGGAGAAACAAUUGAACCAUCUAUAAAUUGUACCUUGUUUUUGACUGUCAAUGCAAUGACUAUCGAAUGACUCCAUGCAACAUAGUUUUCUCCAUUGAAGAUUUCUGAUACUAACAAAGCACUAGGAUUGUCGCUUGGAUGUAGGUAAUACGGACUCGAUGAGUCAUCUGAAGGAUUGAUAAGAGGCUGAUUAAAAGAAUUAGAUGAAGAAGGAUGCACAGGAGAGGGAUUGACAAGAGGAGAAUCACCAAAACUCAUUUUCAAGAAUUUAUUCAAGAAAAUGCAAGAAGCUGGAAGACAAUCAAUGUAAGAAUUCCAUAGCAGAAUUUCGCAAGGCAGAAGUUGAGAAGAAAUUGAUUGAUUUAGGUUGCGGAAGCUUUAGGGUUUGGCUCUGAUACCAUGUUGAGAAUCAGAAGAACCUGAAACUGAUGAAAAACACCAAGAAACAGAGGAUGCAAAAGAAAUGGAUUGCAGAAAAAACUAACUAAAAAAUUACAUCAGACUUGAGUCCUAUUUAUAAUACAUCAAUGACACAAUAACAAAGUAAAAAUAAAAUAAACUGAAAUAACAACUUUUCUAACUAACUCUUCUCAUCUAACUUGCUUUCUAUUUUAAGUCUUUCUUCUUUCCUUUUUAGUUCCAUGCUUUCAAUAUGAGAUUGCAACACUCCAACAGCAGAUUUUGGAACUUCUUUGUUGGCAGGCCUAACAGCCGCUGUCGUUAUGAUAUAGUCAUACCAUUGGAGCCACCAGAGUUAUUAGCCAAGCAUGUAAGGCUGUAGUUGCACGGUGGGCAAACAAUCAUGGAUUUACUGCUAUUAGAGGCAUCACCCCUGAAGAUUUGCUUGCAAAUUGGGUUGGGCACCUUUAAUGAGACUCGUGGUGUUGACAUGGGCAUUGAGGGUGUUGUGGAUGAGGAGCAAUUUGAUGAUGCUAGUCAUGGGUUGAAGCAGCUGCAUGCUCUCGGUUACCCUCCCACUUUUGCAUGGCCAUGCAUGGCCCCACCAAGCCUUUGCAAAGCUUUCCAACUUCAUACUCCACCAUACUCAUCACUGUUCAUGCUCACUAACCUCCACUACCCAUUCCACAUAUCUCAUGUCCAAUCCUCCUACACCAUUCAUAACCCCCCUGCGUAUCACUAUUUCUUUAGUACCCACUAACCCAUUUCAUCCUUCAUCCUUGAUCCAUCAUACCCUCCAUCAAACCCAUCACUACACUCUCACCUUGAACCGCAUUCACAUGUCCAAUUACCAGCUGCCACUACUCAUUUCCCACUCAUGCACGCAAGAAUUAUGCAUCCAUGUCUGUCCUUCAACACCACGUACCCUUCAUACCCAUCUCCCUAACCACACCACUAAACCCACUUCUUUCUCUAAGUCUUCAUCCUUCAUUACCCAUUAUCUCCACUGUCAAACCCAUAUCUCAAGCCAAUCUUCUUCAUGUCCAACAUCUCAGGACAAACCCACCAUUCGGCCAUCCUUGAUGUUCAUCAACUCACCACCAUGCUCCUCAUUUCCGUCCCAUAUUCUGGAUUGCCUUCAGGCAACGAGGUCCAUAACUAUUUAGUUCAAGGUGAUGAUCCAUAACCCUUCGUCACUGUGAUGGUCAAUGACCGAAAUGGAGGAACAGAGCAGUUGUGGAGCUUAAACAAUUCAUCAAUGGCAGCCAGGAGUGAGCAUGCAGUGGAUAACCUAGAUGCAGUGGUUUCAAUGGCAGACAGAGCGUUCGGAACAGCACAGAAAGAAAAUUAAGUUAUUUCUUGUGUGGAAUGGGUAAUAGGUUAUGUUUUGUUUUUAAAAAAUUUGAGAGAAAAUGUAAAAGAAAGAAAACAAAAAGAAAAAAAAAAAAAUAAAUAAAUAAAUUAUUUAAAUUUAAUAAAUUAUUUCCAUUCACUUUUUUAAACUCAUUUGACUUAUUUUUCAUAUUAUAAUAAAAUUAAAUAAUUUUAAAAUAUAUAAAUUUUAAAUUAAUUUUAAUUAUAUUAUAUUUUUUAUUUUUUAUUGUGUAACCAAAUAUGAAAAAAUUAUUUUUUAAAAUAUUUUUUUUUAGUAUUUUUAGGAACCAACAUAACCUAAUUAUUUAAAAUAAAAGAAAAUAUGCAUAAAAAUAGAAAAAUAAAAAUAAUUAUUAUUAGAGCAAUAAAAAGAGAGUAAUACGAGAUUUUCAAUAAUUGGCGCGCUCGCGCAGAAACCCAAGCCCUACGCCAACUCCCUUGGAGAAAUCGCCUGCAAAAUCCAUAGGGAUUUUCUUCAUAGGGUACGUUUUGACUGCUGAAAAGUUCCGGGUUUCUGUUUGUUUCCCGAGAAAGUGGGCAAAAAUGGUGUCUUUUUCUUCUUUUCUUUUUUCUGGUUUGUUGAGCAAGGUAGGGGGUUUUGUGUAUGGUUGUUCUGAAAGUGGGGGAAAGUAAGAGGAAUCGAAGUUUUUGUUUUCUUUCUUCCCCAUUUUAUGUUUUAUGUUUGUUUUGGUUGCUGAGAAGUGAAGAAUUUUGUGUUGGUUGCUGAUAAACCGGAGGAAAUGAGGAUUAAAUGAAGCUGUUCUAUUUUUUCUUUUUUCUUUUUUUAACUACUUUUAGUUUCAAUGUUUUCGGUUGUUUUGGUUGCUAAUCAUGUGUGUAUUUUCUGUUUGGUUGUCUAGAAAAGGCUGGAAAUGAAAAGAAAAUUUAGUCUCUUUAUUUCAUGUCUAGUGUUGUUUUGGUUGCUAAGACAAUUAAGGGAUUUUUGUUUUCUUGUUCUGGAAAUUGAGAAAAGGAAAAGGACCAAUGAAGUUUUGUUUUGUUAGUUUUAAGUUUCAGGUUUUCUAUUUCUGUUGGUUGAGAGAGUGAAUUUUUUUUUCCUUUUUCUGUUUAGUUUCCUAGAAAUGCAUGAAAAGAAGAGAAAAUGAAGUUUCUUUAUUUCAUGCCUUGUGAUUGGAGGAAAUGAGAAGUUUUCCCAGCAUGUUUUAUGUUAGCUUUUGGAGAUGAUCUCAAGGAGAUAAAAUGAAGCAACUGACUAUGAUAUGUUUUAUUCACUUUCAGGAUGGCAAAUACAGGGGAAGAUUUAUCUCAAUUUGAUAUUUCCCAAGAGGUGCACAAUGCUGUCUUAGUUCCUCUUAGUGAGUUCAAUCUCUUUAUAUUGCUGAGCUGAAUGAUCCUUUGUUUUUUUUGGUGCAUCCAGGAAAAGGACAAGCUUGUGGCAGAAGUAAUUCGCUAUGUCCUAUUUAAAACCCACCAAAAUUCAGGGUGCCCAAUCAAGAGAGAUGAACUUACUCAACUCGUUACUAAGAAUUAUCGCCAGCGUGCUCUCCCUGCUCUUGUAAUCAAUGCAGCCAGAGAGAAGCUAUCCACCAUUUUCGGCUAUGAAAUGAAGGAGCUUCAACGAUCUCGACCUUCAUCCACCAAUCAGGGUCGCACUUCACAACAGAGUUAGAAGCUUUUCCUCCCACUUAAUUUUUUAUGGUAACAAUUUUGUAGCUUCAACAUAGUUUUGUGGAUCGGAUGUAAGUUGAUUUGAUUCACAUUGUUAAUGCAUGCUUGAAGUUUGAAGUUGCUCCUAGAUUCAAUGGGUUUCAAUAAAUUGGGUUAAAUUUGAAACCUACUGUUAAGGAAUAUCCAAUCUCAUUUGCUAUUGAAUAGGUGAAAUCUAAAUACUGCAAGUUCUAACCUUCAAAAAAGAAUGGAUAGCUUCUUGUGAAUUGAGAUCCAUGAAUUACUAGUUCUGAUGCACGGUUUGGCAUGGAAAGCAAUCUAGGGAAUGGUUGGUUCCCUUGUGCCAAAUAAUGGGCCUGAGCUCAUAUAACAGGUUCUUUAGCAAUGUUACACAUAGGCUAAUUGCGCAUGCAUCAUAUAUUUAGUCAGUUUUCAGGAUAAAUCUAGUGAAAUAUAAAUGAAUUUAUGCAUCAUUAUCUAUUCGGGGCAGAUCUUUUUCAUGUUGAAUUUAGAACAAUCAAAUUGUACCAGAUCACUGACAUAUGAGUGUAUAAUUUGUAUGAUAUGUCCAUAAAAGUCCACCAACAUCAAGAUCAUGAUUCAUUUCAUUGCUGCAAUAAGUUGUUGCCAGUGCUGUUGUGGUUCCCCUGAACUGCGACUUCCACUACUGGUGUAUUCUCUUUCAUCCCAAGGCCAGUGCCACCUUAGUAAAUCUGUUCUACCCACAUCAUCUUUACAACAUCGCUGGUCAAUGUCAAUGUUACCACCUCGCAGCCAGCCUCUCUACCUCAAUCGUUGAUAACAAAUUUAAUUGUCGUCUCCACAUAGCACUCUUUCAUCUUCUGUUUCACCAUUUAAACUAGAUUUACCCUGGUAGCGGUUUGUAUGCAUGAAUAUGUAGGUGCAUUUAAAAAGUAGAAGAAAAUACACUAUGUUCGGAAGUUCUGCAUCCAGUAAACUAUUUUAAAAAGAUCUUUGAAGUGGCGCUGUUAGGAAAAUCAAUGCCUAAGUAUGUAGAACUAUGAAAAUUUGGCUUCAGUGGCAGGUGUACCUGCAUCCCUUCAUUUCCAAAGCCCUCUCAAUUUGUUCUUCUGAAGAAAAAAACCUGAUCUGAAUGCCCAUCUAUUUUUCCUGAUGAAAAUAUGCAUUGUUGAAUGAUAAACCUAUCAUUUUUUCUUUGCAUGAUUUUACAGAUAUAUUUAUCCCAUACAUUUUAAUGAGCAACCAAAAGGAUCAGGUUGUGUGUGUGGAUAUAUUAGGUUCCACCAUUGGUAAUGCUGGACAGGUGCCUGCCCCUUUUUGUGCUUGCUUCUUCUGUUUUGGCUCUAAUUAUGGUCUAAUGAUGCAUUUUUUCCAGGUUUUGCAGAUGUAAAAUCUUAUGUGAUCAUAAGUCAGCUACCUGCUGAUGUGUAUCGGAAAUAUGUUGAGGAUGUAAAUACAGCACAUCUGACUGGAUUUACCUUCGUCAUUGUUAGUAUUGUAUAUCUUGCUGGAGGGAAAAUUGCAGAAGGUAUACUUUCUAAUUGAUUUUUUUUUUAAUUUUUUUAUUUGAUAGGUAAAUAUGAUCAUAGUAUGCUUUCUAAUUGAAUUGUUCUGGAAUGCUGAUCUUUUGGAUGGUAUUUCUAUGUAAUAUGAAUGCCAAGAUAGAGAGCAAUAAUUUGGGUUGGAACCAUCCUUACUCCGUUCAGCCUGGAUGUGUAUGUGGUUGGAACCUGAAUCUGUUUGGAAAUCUGGGCCAUCAGCUCAGUGGGUGUUCCGCUUUUCUAUAAAUUCAUUAAGAAUGUGUAUAAAAAUUGAGCAGAUGGCUAGGAUUUAUUUUUCAACUUGAGAAUCCCAUAUGAAUUUUGAAGGUCAAAAUGUCGUUAUUAUAAUACCCUGCUUCUAGUUCUUUACCAACAUGACAGAACCUACUACCAUUGUGGUGAAAGCAUUGCAGAUGGUCUUUGGCAUCAUAUGAGGCGGAUGGGAUUGUAUGAAAAUGAAGAAAACCAUCCUGUCCUUGGAAACAUUAAGCAGGCGUUGGAAGCACUUGUCCAGCAAAGGUUAGACCAAUUUGAUAAGGUGGAUUUUAUAUUUAUUAUGAGUUCCUUCACUUGAUGGACCUUAGUUUGCUAAGCCCAUAAUUGAACUGAUCUGUAGGUAUUUGCAGAAGGACAAAGUGAAUGGUCCUGAGGGCAAUACUUUGUUUUACGAGCUUGCUGAAAGAGCUUUAGAUGAAGCCAUUAGCAAGAAGAUUAAAGAGUAUAUAUCACAGGUAUUAUUUGGAGAAUAAUAGGUUUGUUAAUGCUUUUGGUGGGUUUAUUUAUUUCAUGUUUAUGUUUCAAUUCUACUGGCAGACUGAAUUCCUUUGGGGAGUGUUAAACCCCAUCUUUUGUAAAGCUAUUCCCAUUGUCAUCAAUUUGGCAUUCUGAAGGAAUUUUGUGAUGGCAGAUUGUGCAGAAUGAUGGUGCCUCGGCAGAUGUUGAAUAGUGUCUUGCACCUAAUUUAUGCAGGUAUGCUUGAUAGUUUUAGUUUAUAGCUGAAUAGCUUUCACUCGAUGUACAAAUUCUAAUUAACAAAAAUGAGAUGUUUCUGAUGCAGAAAGAUGUGGUGGCUGAUAAAUAGUGAGGAGUUGGAUUGACGAGGACAUGCUCAACAGAAUGGAUAGAGCUGCAGCUGAGAUGCCCAAUUGCCCAUUUUUGCUUGAUGAGUCUUAAAACAUCUUUGUUUGGGAAUUUUGUGGAAUUGUAGUUAUUUUAUAUGCCCUAGUGGGACCCCUUAUGUUUACAUUUGCCCAAAAUUAAAUCAGAACCUUCAGAGUCUCAACUUGGUGCUAGUCAUAGCUCAACCAUUGCGACACUCCUUGUAGAAUCUUACAAAAGAUGAAAAGAAAAGAAUUCUGACGAGAAGAUAUACAUCAAAUAAAUGAAAAGAAAAGAAAAAGAGAAUAAAUUUCAGAGACAACAAACACUGAACCGCUAGAGAGAAUCCUUAUGGCAUCCCAGUGUAACUUUUAAGAACAUGGUUGCACGAUAUAUGCAGAAACAAGCUUCAGAUGAAUUGCUUUAGAAACUCUGUAGCUACAAGCCUCCCACGUGUGUUCACCGACAAUUUCAAUUCGCUUAUCUCUUUAUCGAUAUCCUGCAAUAUGGGAAGAUGCAGUUUGAGAAACUCAUCACAAAGAUACCAACAGUAUCAGAACAAAAAGAAACUGUUAACAAAUAACCAACAGGAAACAUUCUAGUUUGAUACUCAAAGAAUCCUAUUUUGUAUUGCAUGCUCUGCAAAAAGGAUCACCCAACAAUACUUGGAUCUCACCUUUGACAUCUGAACGGUAAAUCACAUCAGAUUUCAUCACAUCAAAUGGUGAAAGUCUGAGUCAAAAUGGGAAACGAAAAUCUAGGGAUUAAGUUUUCUGCGCAUGUUGGUAUUUGAAGAAUGAAAGAAGUGCAUGUUUUAAGGAAUGGUGCUUAAGAACCCAUGCUUCUGGCCCCAUGCCCGGAUUGCCUAUCAUUCUCCAAUUCUAAGUAAAAGAUUAGCAGUACUAAAAAUACUAGCAAAUAGAGAAAUAGUACUGGUCAGAGAGCAAGCAUGUGGCUAAUUAUCUUACGUUCCCGUGGGCCCUGUUUUCCACUGUCAUUGUGGUCUGGUUGCUCCUGAGCUCAGUAAAUGAGUCUAAGUAGAUAGCAUGGUAGCUUAAUGGAGUUGAGGAGAAAAGUGAGGGACACAUCCCCUUGGCCUUAGGUGCAUUUGGAAGGUAACAAAAAGGAGAAUUGUUGAGGGGGAGUCAUGGAGGAGCUACAGGUAUAAGUUUUAAAGGACCAGUUUCUCAAGCCUUUGUUACUCUGGUCCAAGGAUUCUCUUGGGGAUGGUGGUCUAUUUGUUUGUUCAUUUUAUUGAUUUUAUUGAUAGAUUAGGGUUGACAUAAGUUGAUUCUUAAUGUCCAUUUCAUUGUGGGGUGAUUGUUUGUUACUUUCUGAAUACUAGGGUUUGCUGCCCUUUAUGGUGCUUUAUUAUAUUAUAUAUUUGCUUAUAAAAUAGACACAUGUGAUUCUCGACUGUUUCGAGUGAAACCCACAAUCUUUUGAAAAUAAAAAUAGAAAGCAAACAUUCCCCAACCAAAAAUACUGGUUGUUUUGAUCAUCCUCUUAGGAAGGCAAACAAUGAAGGAAAAUCUGACAUAAACCCUACUAAUGUGAACCAUGACCAAACUUGUAACAACCCACUCUCAACCAUGUAAAUAUUGUCAGUGCUAGGCCCAAAGUGUCAUCAUAGUUUUAAAAUGUGUCUAAAAGGUUAAAAGAGUUCAUACAUAUACAACAUCGGAAACUUUUUCCCCUAUUCAAUGUAAGAUAUCAUAAUCACUAUCUCCCCAAUGUAAACACAACAUUCUCAUUGUAUCCCAUAGGAUUAUGGGACCAAACAAGCAGAUAAAGUUUCACAUUGGGAUCAGGGAUAGACUUUGAUACCAUUUAUAAUGACUCAUUCCCAACUGUAUAAAUAUUGUCUCCUUCAAGUCCGAAAGACCAAUAUGACUUUAAAUGAAUCUACAAGAUAAAAAGUUCAUAUAUAUAUAGUGUCAAAAACUUUUUCCCUUAUCUAAUGUGGGAUAUCACAAUUGGAUAUCAUUAGUUGAGGAUCAAAGAUGAGGAUAUACCAAUACUACUUUUCAAACAAGAUAUGAGCAUUAUGAGUUUUUGGUGAUACCUUUUGGUUUGACUAAUGCAAUUACUAUAUUUAUAGACUUAAUGAAUAAGGUAUUCAAACCCUAUUUGGAUUAGUUUAUGGUGAUUUUUAUAGAUGAUAGUUUGGUUUUACUCAGAGUUGAGAGGUACAAGAGUAUCGUUUGAGCAUUGUAUUGCAGACUAUAAGGGAUAGGUUGUAUGUUAAACUAAAGAAGUGUGAAUUUUGGUUAUGCAACAUCUCUUUCCUUUGGCAUGUGGUAACCAAGGAUGGCAUCUCAAUUAACCUUAAAAAGUAGAUGUUGUAGCCAAUUGGAGGAGACUCUGUACCAUGAUUAAGAUUCAAAUUUUUUUGGGACUUGUCGGUUACUACAAGCGGUUUAUUGAGGGGUUUUCUAAGAUCACCCUACCUUUGACCAAAUUGACACAGAAGGGGAUUAAGUUUGAGUAGUUUGAUAACUAUGAGCGUAGCUUCCAAUAGUUGAAAAGCAAAUUUGUGGCAAAUCUUGUUUUGACUAUUCCUUUAGGUUUAGGAGGAUUCGUAAUGUAUAGUGAUGCCUCCCACCAAGGUUAGGGAUUGAGUUCUUAUGCAGCAUGGGAAAGUUGUGACUUAUGCUUUUAGAAAGUUAAAAUCUUAUGAGUGAAACCACCACAUCAUGAUUUAGAGGUAGUUGUAGUGGUUUUUGCUCCUAAGAUUUGGAGACAUUUCCAUUUUGGUGAAACUUGUGAGAUAUUCAUGGAUCAUGAGAGUUUGAAGUGCUUGUUUUCCCAAAAGGAAUUAAACAUGAGACAGAAGAAAUUGAUAGAAUUACUUAAGGACUGCAUUAUUCAAUAUCAUCCAAGAAAGCGGAGUGUUGUGGUUGAUGCCUUGAGAAAGAAAUCAAUUGGCUUCUUAGCAACUAUAAGUGUUGGUUAGAAGCGAUUAUUAGGAUUUGAGGUGUUUAUAGGUCUAUAUCAGAGUUUUGGACUAAGGAGCUUAUGUGGCAAAUUUCAUAGUACAACUAGACUUAGUUGGGAGAGGGAGAAUUAAGACCCUACAAAAGAAUGACCCUCAAUUAGUGCAACUUAUGGAGACAAGGCCUUGAGAUUUGGGACAAAACUCUAUGUCCCAAAUGACGGAGACUUAAUGAGGGAGCUUUUAGAGGAAGCUCAUUGUUCUAGGCUUACGAUCCACCUUGGAGAGACGAAGAUGUACAAAGAUUUAAGACAUAAUUAUUAGUGGUCAAGCAUGAAACAAGAUAUUGCACAUUUUGUGGCUAAGUGUUUGGUGUGCCAAUAGGCGAAAGCUAAGCAUGAACAACCAACACAGUUUGUGCAACCACAUUCUAUUCCUAAAUGGAAGUAGGAACAUAUUACCAUGCAUUUUGUGACAAGGCUGCCCAAAACCUUAGGAGAUAAUGAUGCUAUUUGGGUAAUUGUUGAUCAAGUAACAAAGUUUGCUCAUUUUCUACCUAUGAAAGCCAAUUUCUCCAUGGACCGACCGGUUUCUCUUUAUGUCUAGGAGAUUGUGAGAAUGCAUGAGGUACCCAUUUCUAUGGUAUCCAAUAGGGAUCGUCAUUUUACUUUCAAAUUUUGGCAUAGUUUUUUUUUUAAAAAAAACUCUCAAUAUGAAGUUUUAGUACUACUUUCCAUCCUUGGAUCGAUGGCUGGUCAAAGAGAGUAAUUCAGGUUUUAGAAGAUUUGUUGAGAGCAUGUGUUUUGGACUUGAAAGGUAAUUGGGAUGAUUACUUACCUUUGGUAGAUUUGGCCUAUAAUAAUAGCUUUCAAACUAGUAUUGGGAUGACCCCUUCAAGGGGGAUGUACGGAAGGAGGUAUUGAUUAUUUGCUUAUUGGAUGAGGUUAGAGAGAGGAAAUUUUUUGGUACUAAACUUGUGUAGUUAAUUGUUGAAAAAUUUGCUUUAGUUAAAGAAAAAUUAAAACCAACUCAAAGUAGACAGAAGAGUUAUGUUGAUAAUCACGGGAUGAGAUGGAAUUUGAGAUUGAAGACCAAGUGUUCUUAAUAGUUUUGCCUAUGAAAUCUAUAAUGAGGUUUGGGAGGAAGGAAAAGCUUAGUCUUUAGUUUGUGGGAUUGUAUGAAAUAUUAGAAAGAGUAGGCACUUUGGCAUAUAAAGUGGUCCUACCCCCAAGCUUGUCUAAGACCCAUAAUGUAUUCCGUGUAUUAGCUUUGAGGAAAUAUGUUUUUAAUCCCUCUCAUGUUAUAGAGUUAGAGCCUAUUCAAAUUUCAAAGGAUUUGACUUAUGAAGAAGUAUCCAUUCAUAUGGUAGAUAGUAUACGGUACUAUGUCAUACUAUUAUCAAGUUGGUAAAGGUCUAGUGGAUCAAUCAUAAGUAUUCAAGAGACUACGUGGGAAUUAGAGGAAGAGGUGAGAAGCAUUCACAUCUAUUUUGAGUUUUUGGUAUGUCAAGUUUAGAAAACUAAAUUUUUGUUAAGGAUGAGAGGAUGUAAUGCCCAAACUUGAUUUUAGGUGUAAAAUGGUCAUUUUAAAAAUAAAGAAAUUAAUUAAUAACAUUAAAAGGGUAGAAAGGUCUUUUCCUAAUAAUAAAAAACCCUAGGUGUAAAUAAUAAGUUUUCUUUACUUCUCUAUAUAGACAUCAUUCUGCAUAAAGACCAAAGAGAUAAGAGAAUAUAUAGCUAAAGAUUUGAGAGCCUAGAGUUCGAAGAUCAGUUUUUCAAGUAAUAUUCUAACCCUUUGAUGAGUAUUUUCGAUUCAUUAAAUGGAUUUGAGCAACUUAAAUGUUCUUUUAAAAAUCCAAAUUUAGAUUAGGCCUAAAAUAUAUUUAAAUUAAAUCAUUUGAAAUAUAUGGACAUAGAUUGGAUUUUUCUUGGAGAUAGGGAAUUCCAACCAUUAUAUAUAUAUAUCAUGGUUGAAGUGAUGAAAGUUUCAAAGUGGACUGGAACCACUGUGAGGAAGAAAAAAAACAUUGUGUGAUGAUUGUAGGAAAAGAAAAUAAAUAAAAGAAAAAAAAAUGAUUGUGUGGUUUUGCGUGUGAUGAUGGUAGAUGGCAGGAAAAACAGGAAAAAACAAACAAACAAACAAACAAAAAAGAAAGAAAGGAGUGUGUGCAUGUGAUCACUGUAGGCAUUGGAUUGGAGAAAAAAAAAAGGGGAAAGAGAAGAAGGAAUGGAGUGCAUGAAUAGGAAAGUGAAAAAAAAUAUAUGCAUUAAAAAUGGAAGGAGGCAUAUGACAGCUGGUAAGAUGUGAAGUGCAGUGCAUGGCUGUGAUAGUGAAAAUUUGUCAGCAUACAAAGCCUAACAAAUUUGCAGGAUUUCUUGGAAUAUGCCUGAAUCUUUUGACAAGAAAACUGAGUAUAAGCAAAAAUAAAAUUUUGAAUCCAAACUUUAGUUUCUUCAAAAUUCAAAUUUUAUUUUUUCAUUAAUGGUCCAUUUGAUGAAGUUGAGACCACAAUGGACAAAUCUACACCAAUAAUUCUUUGUUCAUUUGUGGAGAAAAUUGACGAAAAGAAAGGAAAAAAAUCUCUCAGUCGUGUUUCAAAAAAGGAAGAAGAAAGAGAGACACAUACAAAGAAAUAAAAUUCAUCUCAACCAAGUGGCAGAUCAGCCACAAUGAUGACUUCUAGCAGCUGCAGACCUGUGGCAGAGGUGAUAACUAGUAGCCUCUACCAGUGACAUGGUGAUUUGAAGUAGGAUUAGUGAAGCAAAGGAUGGAAUGAGGGAUUCAGGAAAAUCUGUUAUUUGUGAGUGGAUAUUUAUUUAUUUUUGAUAGAUAAACAACAAUAUAUAUUAAAAAAGGGCCAAAAAGCCACAAGUAUAUAGGGGUAUACACAGAAGCCCAAAACAAGAAACUGAAAGAAGAAAGGGGAGUAACCUCGCCCACCCUCAAGUGGCCGCGAGCCACUCCAAAAAGCCUAAGAGAGAAUAGGUUUCCUCUCCAAUGUACACCCUAGCCCAACUCCACAAGUUACAUACAAAAGAAUUUUUGAAUUUCUGAAUAGCUAACGACCCCCCCCCCCCCCCCCGAGUGUGGAAGGUGGUUAAACAUUUAAUUUCAUGCUAACACGUUCUCACUACGCUUCUUCUUACUCGAUCAAGAGGUACCUUUAACAAUCAGCAGGGGAGUUGCCUAAAGAUAUUUCUAUCACACCUAGGGUAAAACUCCACUACAACACUUUCCUNNNNNNNNNNNNNNNNNNNNNNNNCCCCCCCCCCCCCCCCUGAAAGCUAACCUAUUAGUGAAAAUUUGUCAGCAUACAAAGCCUAACAAAUUUGCAGGAUUAGUGAAAAUUUGUCAGCAUACAAAGCCUAACAAAUUUGCAGGAUUUCUUGGAAUAUGCCUGAAUCUUUUGACAAGAAAACUGAGGAUAAGCAAAAAUAAAAUUUUGAAUCCAAACUUUAGUUUCUUCAAAAUUCAAAUUUUAUUUUUUCAUUAAUGGUCCAUUUGAUGAAGUUGAGACCAUAAUGGACAAAUCUACACCAAUAAUUCUUUGUUCAUUUGUGGAGAAAAUUGACGAAAAGAAAGGAAAAAAAUCUCUCAGUCGUGUUUCAAAAAAGGAAGAAGAAAGAGAGACACAUACAAAGAAAUAAAAUUCAUCUCAACCAAGUGGCAGAUCAGCCACAAUGAUGACUUCUAGCAGCUGCAGACCUGUGGCAGAGGUGAUAACUAGUAGCCUCUACCAGUGACAUGGUGAUUUGAAGUAGGAUUAGUGAAGCAAAGGAUGGAAUGAGGGAUUCAGGAAAAUCUGUUAUUUGUGAGUGGAUAUUUAUAUUAAUGGAUCAGUGAAGACAAAUAUAUUUUUGUAUAUGAGAUGGGGCAUAAAGAACCAUACCCUGCCUGAACCUGGCCCAGUUUUUAGAAAACCACCAUAAUCCCAUCCACACCCUGAUUGAAUCCUUCAUAUUUGGGACCGGGCUAGGCCAGGUUACCCAAAAAUCUGGUUCAUUGUCAUUGCUAGGCAAAACUUUUUGAGGCAUCCUUAGCAUCCAGAAUAGUGUAUGAGCACGAAACCUGAGAUUGCAAGAGAAGUUGGGAGUGUGGAAGGUGGUUAAACAUUUAAUUUCAUGCUAACACGUUCUCACUAGGCUUCUUCUUACUCGAUCAAGAGGUACCUUUAACAAUCAGCAGGGGAGUUGCCUAAAGAUAUUUCUAUCACACCUAGGGUAAAACUCAUCUACUACACUUUCCUUGAUGAUGCAUAGUUCUAUCUAUAUACCCAGUUGAUCCAUGCUUACUUGAGUUCGGAACCAGAACCCAACAUGAACUUGUGCUUGUAGGUGAGCUAAGCCAGCCUACCACCAAGUUCACAAUAUUGUUUGAAGACCCCAAUAGGGCAGCUAGAAGUGGGUGCCAUCAAGCUGAUAAUAGUCAGAAACUGCCUGAGUUCAUGUCACUGAUUUAGAGGGAGUUGGGGCCACUGGCUUUCAUGGAACACAUUGUAUCAUUGCAUUUUCCACUAGAAAUGUCAGCUAGCCGUCCAUUUAAUGUUAUCUUGUUAAUCUAUGAACUCAUAAUUCACUCAGCUCUCAUUCUGAAAACCCCUAUUCAGAAUGACAAGGAUUGGGACUAAAGAGUCUCACACCACCUUCUUAGAAUUGUCCAAGAAUUCCCCAUUUGUAAGACCCUUGAGGGGCUUCUGCCACACCUGCCAACCAACCCCAUCUUAGUUCUCAGCCUGCUUCCCUUUCCAUUCGAAUUUGGCUAUCUACAAGAUCGACUUCCUCUCCUACUAAGAACCCCAUAUGGACAAUGUGAAAGAUAAAGCCCUUUGCUUUGAAUUUCAACCUUUUAUUUAUUUAUUAUCCAAGUCCAAAGGACCAGAAACUGAAGACUAUAGCAAUGUACUCUGAACCCUAGAUCUCAAAUUAAAUUCAAGAGGAUUACAAGGACUUUAGAAUCAAUUUCUAUUAAAGUUAGCUAAAUAUUGGCAGACUGCACCAUCAUCUGGGCAGUCUACAUGGGCAUCAUAGUGACAAAUUUUAGAAGUCAGGGAUCAUUACAUGUAAAAAGACAAGUUUCAGGGAUUAAUUGGGAAAAGAUAGUGAAAAAGAGAGGGAGGAAAUCAACUAUCCAGUGAUUAUGCAAGAAUAAUGGGAAUAGCUCUGGUAAAAAAGAAUCUAGAAUGAAAUUGAGACCCAAAAAAGAAAACACAGUUAAAAUGAAGUAUAUUGAAUCAAAUUGGCUAAAGAAAUUUUGAAAUUUUAGUUUCUUUUCUUAUUUUUAAAAGUGAUAAAAUAUGGUUGUCUACUUAGUAAAAAUUAAGUAUCUACUCAUCAAAAAACAUUUUACAAGUUGCUAGAUCUGUAAUUAUGUGCACAUCAAAUAGAAAUCAAAUUACAAAAGGAAGACAUACCAGAGCCACCUAAUAAAUAUAAGUUAGGAAAAGAAAAUGGUAAAAAAAAAUUCAUUAGAGAACUUGCCUCCAUAAAUUGCACGAUAAAAUCAAUAAGCUUGUGUUUUUGCAUAUCCUCACAGUGAUAGUUUGUUAUAAGAAAGCUAAUGUCAUAACCCUGCAAAGUGAACCACCAGAGAAACAAAUGAAACUAAGCAAAAAUUUGCAAACAGGAAACUGUUCUAAGUAAAAAAGAAAGAAUUCAAGAGCUAUGACUUAUCAAAAAUGGAAUUCAAGUGAUAUGACCUACAUUAUAAUCCAGAUAUUGAUGUACAAGAUCAUUAAUCAAUAAUAUCAAACAAAUAAAAAAAACAUCAGAAUAAAGAAUGGGUAACAAACAAACUCUUGCACAUGAUAGCUAACACAAGAUGCACAAAGAAAUUCAUCCCAGGUUCAGGUGUUCAAGUCAGGUGAUGUUCUAGAAGACCAAGCUUUAAUCACUAAAGAGAUUUUGGGGUUCUUUUCCCCAGUUUUACUUGGCCAAGGUUGAGCAUGAUUAGUAUCAAAAGAAAGGAUUGGACAACCAUUUCUUGUGGUGUGAGGUGUCCAGACUUACUUCUGACCAAAUCAUGCACAACAAAGCUAUCCGAAUCAAAAAUACAUUAUACUCAUUAUUGGCCCAUGCCAGCAUUGUAAUAACCCAAAACUUCCAGCACAUACAUCUUUUUUUCCUCAGAAUGUUUUGGUAAAAAGGUCCUUCUAAAGGCAAAUUACCACCAAUCACUCUGAGAAUCAGGAAUUUAAAGUGCAUGUUCUAUGCCAACUCAUGGAGAUGAGACCAUACAUACCUGCACUGGUUUUCUCCUCAAUACUUGAAAUGCUUCUGCCCUCAUUGACAAAAAUCUAAGAAAUUUCUUAGUUAAUAUAUUUUCUAGUUCAUCAGCCUGCUUUACCUAUACAACCAAAAAAGAUAUGCAUAUAAGGAGACAGCCGCAUGGCAAUUCAAUAGAAUAAUAAUUUUAUAUUACUAUGAAUUCUUCAAUACGAAAGAUGGUAUGCAAUCCUAAUGAUAAGGAAAAGAAAAUGACCACAAAUGAUCUAUUAUCUGCCAAAAUGCUGUUUUUGAGCCAAGUUCCAGUUCAAUUGCAAGCUAAGAAGCCAAUUCUGACACAAGUUUCGGCCAAGGUAGGGUGAAAUGGUUUCAGUGGUAAACGCAUAUGAACCCACAUUUGACAUUCAGCAUUAAUUAUCUAGUGUAAUAGAAAGUUACUCUAGAAGGUGUCUAAGCUUUGUGCCUUGAGCUUUGCCUUGAGGGGAAAUACAAGGGAUAAAGCCUCCACUUUCAGCCCUUGUAGCAUAAAUUGUUGGAAGCUUGCAUUAGAAUGUUAUGCUCAUAGGAUGCAUACAUGACUUCAAAUAACAUUUUGUGCUUGAAAAAGAGAUUUAUGAGAAAUCCAUCAAGGGAUUUACGUAAUAAUGAUUUGAGUCCAAAAAAGGCUCAGGAAAAUACUUACUCUCUCCUUCCUAUUCUUUGAUGCCCAUAUUGGGAUUGUACAUGUGAGGAAGAGAAUUCUUUUAAAAAUAAGUACACAAUUUAAGGACUAUAUGUGACAAUGACUGAACUCAAAAAAUGCCCCAGAUAAAUACUCUUCCUCCCUCCUUGAAAUCAAUUGGAAGAGGUUAACAGUAUCUUGCUUAGAAUACCCAAUCUUUGAUUCCAAUAUUAAGAUUGUACAAGUCAGGAAGGGAAAUGUCAUCAAUUUCAGAGUUUUGGUAGAUCAAACAUUGCUUUGAUAGAUCAAGCUAGCACAGAAGAGGUAGCAACAGCAGUUUUGCUCCAAACACCCAAUCUUUAAAACCCAUAUUAAGACUGUACAAGUCAGGAAGGGAUUUGCCAUCAAAUUUAGAGUUUUGAUGGACCAAAUGAGCAAGUACAGUUUUGGUAGAUCAACCUGCACACUAGAAGAAUUGAAGGGUUUUACGUGGUAAUGAUGCAGUAUGUGAUAAAAAUGCCCCAUCCAUCCCUUAGAUCAAAGCUGCAUAAUAAAGAAGAAAUCAAUUGGCAGCUUACACUUUUGGCGGAUCAAACUUCCAUGAUAGAAGAAAAAGAGGAGGGCCUUACAUUAUCAUGAUACUUUGUACGAUAAUAAAUACUCCCUCCUUCACAUCAGUUAGAAGAUGAUCAACCAAACCCUAACUCCAUAUUAAGAUUGUAUAAGUCAACAACUUGAAAAUUGUGGAGGAUAUGGAGAAAAGUGAGAUGCUGCCCACAGGAAUUUUUGGAGGAUCUAGCUUAUGAGCUAGAUUGCAGGAGAGUUAACCUCCAUUGAUGGUACUUGGGAAUGCUGGUGGGCGCUCAAUCCAAGCCCCUUUGGUGUGGGAGUCAGUAGAAGACAAUGUUUUUAAGUACUUUGAAGGCUUAGGUGUUAACCUCAAGUACCUUCUUAAGCCUCAAUACAAUGUACUUGAGGCUUAAGCCUCAUCUUGCUGAGGUGCACAAUCCUGAGGCGCACAAUCUUGAGGCUCAAGCCUUGAAGCUGUUGAGGCUUAAGCCUUAGAUAUUUAUGGCUUUUUAUGAAUAUGGGCCUUCUUGGGCCUCAAUAUCCAAUGGAUUUUAAUGUUUUGGGCUUUUGGUAUCCUAUUUUAUAAGUUUUGGGUCCUAGGCUUGACUCUUGGGUUAAUUUUUAAAAAGUAGGGGUUAAUUGGAUUCUGUUAACCCUUCAAAAAAAGGAACAAAAAGAAAGAAAGAAAAAGAGAUUUAGAGGAAAAAAGAAGAGUUCUUGGCUAUCAGGUGUUAGGUUUUUUAUUUUGGAGGAGAGCUAAUUUGCUGCUGGAGUUGCUUAAUUAGCUGGUUUGGGGUUGCUAUACUGCCCCUUACUACCAAUGCUUUGCUUGAAGCCUGAACUUCUACCACUACAAUUGUUGGAUGAAGAAUAAGAAUGGGCAAGCAUUAAUAUUGCUAGAGAGGAUGCUAAAGAGAAUAAUAGAGCAAUAAUGUGAUGAUUCCUUAGAUUUAUCAAAAAAAAAAAGUGAUGAUUCCUUAGAUGCUCCCACUAGUGAUAACGGUGAUGUUGAAGAAUGAAGACUAAUUUGAUCGAACCAUGACUUUGGAUUUUGAAAGAUAGAGGAACUAAAUUAGAAAUUAUUACGACAAACAAAGGAAAUUCUUAUAAUAAAUUCUAUGGUUUUCUAAUUGCUCUAUUUUUAUGUGAUUUUAUUAAAAGUUUAUCCUUUUUUUUGUUUGUUUUUUACCCCUUUGAGGCUGAUGUCUCAUUACACUUUGCUUCCUUUGAGAAAAACACUUCAAGAUCACUCUUAAACUUUUAAAACACCAAUUGAAGAAAGAUUUCGGAAAAGGCUAACCUCCUAGAAAUGCCAAUAUCUCUCCAAGGGAGAAGUGCUCAUUUUGUUGAAAAACACUCUAUCUAGGCCUACCAAUCUAUUUCUUAUGGGCUUUUGUAACACCUCAUAAGUAUAGGAUAGGCUAGAAAGAAUUCAAAGAGAUUUUUUAUGUGGUGGAGGUCUUCCUAAAAGGAAAAUUCAUCUUUUACAGUGACUGAUUGUUUGUUGUGGAAAGUCCAUAGGGAGUUUGGGCAUGAGGAGCCUUUGAUCAACUUACCAAGGCAUUAUUAGGAAAGUGGUUGUGCAGAUUUGCCUAUGAGUGUGACAGCUUUUGGAGAGAGGGUGAUUGUAUAUCUUGACAGCUUUUGGUGGAUUGUUUGUUUGCAAUGUACCUUGAAAUUAAUUUUCAAAUGCAUAAUAGCAGAUCUUUUAUGAGCUUGAAGGGGUGCCAACCAAGUUUUUUUUCUGAUAGGUUUUCAAAGUGAUGCAUUGCUUAUGAAAUUCACAUGUUUUGUGUGCUCAAGAUAUUACAUAUAUGAUCUGCAUGCUGCAAAUUUGACCUAGAAGAGAAAAAAAAAAAAAAAUUAUAGACUCGGAUGAACCAAAAAUGAAAACGCCCCACAAUUACAUAUUCUUACUCAAUAAAACCAAGUGAAUUACCAAAAACUAAAAGCAUCACACCAAUUAAGCUUCAUAGAAUUGUAAACAAAUAUGUUUUCAAAGUGAUGCAUUGCUUAUGAAAUUCACAUGUUUUGUGUGCUCAAGAUAUUACAUAUAUGAUCUGCAUGCUGCAAAUUUGACCUAGAAGAGAAAAAAAAAAAAAAAAUUAUAGACUCGGAUGAACCAAAAAUGAAAACGCCCCACAAUUACAUAUUCUUACUCAAUAAAACCAAGUGAAUUACCAAAAACUAAAAGCAUCACACCAAUUAAGCUUCAUAGAAUUGUAAACAAAUAUAAAUAAGUGAUAACCUACACAGAUAGUUUGAUAUGCAGUCGAUUUUAUCAUAUACACUAGAUGGAAACAGUUACACUGAUGUUCCUGAAGUGAUAUAUUUGAUCCACAAGCAACAAGAGACAUAAGAAGCAUCCAAACAUAGUUAUCAGGUUUUACCUUGAGGCUUAUUCGCAGUGAAUUGAUAGAUGUUUCUAUCAAGCAUUUUUCAGCUUCAUUCCGACAAAUCAAAACCUGAAAUGAUAAUUUCAAAAAUAAAAAUACAAUCCUUGAAAUGCAAGUGACAUCCAUGGUUUAGAUGUAAAAGAACACAAAACAAUGUACAACAUUUAUAGGUUCAAGAAUCCAUUGCUAUCAAUUUUCAAAAGAAUAAGUGUAAUCAACCAUAAAAUUCAAAUAGCAAGUGAAAGAGAGAGAUGGAUAGAGCCAUGAACAGAAUAUUUUCUUCUUAUUCCUUCCCAAACAUGAUAUUCACUUCAUUUACCAUGGUUUCUAUAUCACUAUUCUGGAAACAAUGGGUUCAAACUUCUGAUUGCAACAGCUAUUUUCAGCUAAAAUACAAGCUUUCAGAAAAAGAGAACCAAAAAAAAAAAAAAAAAACAGCAAAAAGCUAAAGCAAAGAAGUGAUAUUAAUCAGACCAUUUAUGAAAUUGCAUGUAAUAUGGCAUGUAAAACUCUCAGAGGAAAGUGGCUGAUACAAUCAGAAGUUUGAACCCAUUGUUUCCAGAAUAAUGAUAUGGAAACCAUGGUAAACGAAGUGAAGAUCAUGUUUGGGAAGGAAUAAGAAGAAAAGAUUCACAGCCAAUGCUUAUGAGUAUGCCAAAACUUGGAUAGCUGAUACAACUUUGUAGAUUUUUAUAUUAAAUCCCUUACAAAUGGAAAAUGUUUCCAUCUAUAUGUGUCUUUUUGUGUGUGGUAAUCAACUUCCUGCAAACCUUAACAUCAAUAUAAAAUACAAAGCAACAACCAGAAAGUUAACCCAGUGUGAUUAAGAAACAACAUGAAAUGUAAUAGCAGCAGAGAUACAGAUUGGAAAAUUCUUUGACAAUUGAUGAAAAUGGUAUUAUGAAUGAUGAGAUCAAAUUGGUGGCAUUUUCAGGAAGGAUGAAAUUAAAGACAAAACUUAAAGCAAUAUUCUUAUUGAAAAAGUAAUUUCCAAUUUUCCCCAUGAGCUUAUUGACAAACUGAAACCUAGGAAACUUGGCCCUGUGAAGUUGGAAAGAGUGAUUCUAAUGCUAACAUGGUGGAGUUGACUGAUGAUCUCCAUAACAGUCCUAAGCUUAAUAUAUAUGAAUUGCUCAACUUCUAUGAGUUUAAUGAUGACUUUGUUAUCAUGUAGCAUAGACCAAGUAACUCAUUGAGAGGCCUAGAAAUGAUCUGGGGUAGUACUUGUUUGGUUUGGAAAGAAAAGAGACCAGAGUAAAGUGAAUCAAUGCAAGAAAAAAAGCUCAUUGUUUCCAAUUAUUUCAUCAGGCCUCAGCACUAGUCUUAACAGUCAAUAAGAACGCUUUUCAGUAUUCAAUUGGUGAAUGGAAACAAACAAAUCUGCAGAAGCUUAGAAACACUAAGAAUUGCAUUGAUGUUAUUACAAAACUUCAAAGAAAAAUGAAAAAAUUUUCUGUUAGAUCUGAUAUAAAGAAGAUGGUUCUUACUGGAUUUAGCAGAACUUCUGGACUUGUCCUGAAAAAUACAAAGAGGAUAAAAUAUGAAGAUUAUCCCAGUGGAACAUUUCAUGUAAAUGGAAGUGAUGCUGGAGUAAAUAAACAAAGUAUACUAAUAGGUCAUGAAACAAAUAUGGUGCAUAGAAGAAAACAUGCCUACAAUGUCCAAUAUAGGAUGAUUCUGAUGAUAAACAUGUAUGGGACAGGAAAAUAAUUGAAAUGAGAACUUAUGCACGUUCAGCGUGGUGCCUAACAGUUGCAAUUUUUAUCAAGCAUCCACAAAAUACCUUUGUGCUUUCACUUAAAGUUAUUACAAUAAAUCAUGAUACUUAUAGUUGCAAAUUUACCAGUGUAUCCAAGCAAAUGCAGUAAGGUAGUAUCACUAUACUUUACAAAUGUGUGCUCAUGCACGCACACACACAAUGGGUAUAGCUGAAGGUAAAGAUGAUAUAAGAUUGGUGAAUCAAGUAAAACUGACAAAGAUAUUUAUAGAACUCUUGGUUUGAGAAAAGGAGAAGAUGAUCUCUAAAACAGAUAUUAUGUGAAAACAUUGGAGAACAUAUAUUACAUAGAAAGAUUAGAGAUUAUAAUGAAAAGAAAUAUAUCAUGCACACACAAAAAGGAAAAGGGAACCAUCUGUGCCUACAUCUCCAAAGAAUAAAGGGAGAAUCAAUAUCUUAGAAUCUGACAAUCCCUUAGGAGGUCAAAGAAGGAGUUUUUGAAGUAGCUUAUUUUUGUCAGAUCAUCUGAUUAAAACAGAUUGCCCUGAUGACGAAAAUGUACCAGUUGGAAUCCCUAUUUUUCAAAAGCCUUCAAUGAUUGGGAGGUGGAGGAGGCAGAAAGAUUCUUGGAGUGGCUUCAUGGGAAGAGAGUGCGGAAAUGUGGAUGAUAUGGUGUUUUGGACCGAAACAAAGAGUGAGAAGUUCUUGGUCAAGUCCCUCUACCUUGCUCUAGAAGCGGGCUGCCCUUCUUUGUUUCCUUCUAGCUGCAUUUGGAAUGUGUGGGUGCAGCCCAAGAUUAGCUUUUUUGCGUGGGAGGCUACGUGGGGCAAAGCCUUAACCCCAAAUCUUAUUCAGAAAAGAGGAUGGGCCUUGGAAAAUAGAUGUUUUAUGUGCCUUGAGAAAGAGGAGAUCAUAGACCAUCUUCUUCUACAUUGUACAAAAACAAGAGUCUUAUGGGAUUUGCUUUUUUAUUUGUUUGAGGUGUCAUGGGUGCCGCCUUCAUCAAUUAGAGAGACUCUCCUUAGUUGGCAUGGUUCUUUUGUGGGCAAAAAGCGCAAGAAGGUGUGGAGAGCAACUCCUCUUUACAUUUUUUGGACGGUUUGGAAGGCGAAAAAUAGAUUGACCUUCAAGGAUGAUGUGUUGUCAAUCCAGAAACUCAAAUACUCUUUUGUUCUUUCUCUUUGGUCAAAGGCCAAGUUGUUUAUAGUCAAUUGCCCUCUAACUAUAGUUAGUUUUAUUGAUUGGUUGGGUUCUAACUAAGGUUGUUUGUUGGGCCAGCUGGGUGUUUUUCUUCUUUUUUGGCCAUUUUGGCGGUGGGUGUAUAAGUAUUGUAUACUUUGAGUCGCUUUUUUGGCACCUCUUUUUAUAGUAGAUCUUUUCUUACCUAUCAAAAAAAAAAAAAAAAAAAAAAAGAAAGGAAAAAGAAAAAAUCCUGUCAAGGUAGAUAUGUAUAUAAGACUUUAAAACUUUUCAAGGAAAACUAGAGUUUUAAAAUUUGACAGCAUGACUAUACCGUACAGGGUCAGUCUUGGUUAGACAGUAAGGUUAUGAGGAAAUGCCAUCAUCACUUGAAAAACAGACUAGAAUUAUUUAUGUAACCGUCAGUGACUUGGAUAAGCUCAAUAAAUUUAGAGAAGACGACAUUUCCCAAAUUCCCAAUCUGAAGUUAUUAGAUUUUUCCACUUCUUCCUCAUUCCAUAUUACCUUAAAUAUCCAAUGAUAAAAGAGCAUAAGCUCCAUCGUAUUUCUUGACAAUAUGUACAACUUAAAUGUGAUCAUCAGCUCACCACAUAUCUAUGAUAUAAAUAUAAAUAUAUACUAAGGUUUGCCCUUGAGGUCAGCUCAAGUGGUAAAGGAUUCAAAGGAUUUGUGAAGAUGGUUCCAGUUUCAAGUCCCAAUGGAAACAAAAAAUUUACCUAAAAAAUUCAAUUUAAUUGGCGUUUGGUUCGUAAUUCAAAAGGGUUGGACAACAAUGAAAGGAAUUGUGUUUGGUUUUGAUAAAUGGCCAUAAUUGAACUAAUUUUUGCAUAGGUGUCCUUUCAUAGUGGAGGAGCUUCAGUCAUAUUCUGAUCAGAUUAUUGUAUUUUGUGGAGAGGACCCCUCACCCUUCUCUUGUACUUUUUAUCAAUGUCUAUUAUAUCUUUGUUUCUAAUCAAAAAAAAAAAAAAUACAUAUACUAGGGUUUGUAAAGUAAAAACAAUUUUAGCAUUUUAAUAUGGUGAUACAUACUACUUUAAGGAAUAAAGUUUCCUCAGACAAAAAAAAAUCUGUGACUUUACCACUUCUAGCUAAAGAUUCAAGCUUUUAACGUGUGAUCAAAAUUUUGUGAUGAUGAUUGUUCUGGGGCUGGUAUUAUAUGUAAAUGAUAUAGAAAUGGAAUCUAUCCAGUACUCAUGGACUAAGAUUCCAACAGAGUCACUUAAUUUUCAUUGCACCAUCACCAGGAUUUAAUUAUGAUAGCACAAUCACCAGGAUUUAAUUAUCAUUGCACUAUCACACGGAACCCUUGUUGAAAGCCGAAACCAGUCAACCGCUACAGUUCAUAGCAGGUCAUACAUUUAAAAGCUACAAGUUUAAAUUAUGCAAACUGAAAAUAUGGUAAUGUCUAAAUCUAAGAGAAAAAAGAGAUGGAAAAUAAAUAAAUAAAAAGAAAAUCAAACAAAGAUGAUGUUUUCAACUAGUUUUCUAUCUACCAGAUUGUAUAAGGAAUAUAGGACACUUCCACCCAAGAAAAAUUUUAAGCAAUGCAAAAAAUAGAUACUAUAUGCAUUUUAAAAAAAAAAAUUAUCUUCUGAUGUGAGAGCAUAUUCGCUUUCUCUUUCUAUGACAUAUUCAAGAGUUAAAAAGGAAAUCAGAAUUCUAUAAUGAGCAAAAGAAGAAAGGAACACAAGCAUAAAAGGAAAAAAAUCCUUCUGGAACCAAUGAACAUACUUUAGUUCAACCUCUGGUUUGUUAUGCCUUUCAACUUCUUGACAAGGGAAGUUCUGCAACCAACACAUGGAAACAUGAUGAUUAUCUUGGCAAGUUAGAAAACAGUUAGACAUCAUAAUCAUGCUUAAGUAGAAUGGUUGAGCGAAGAAAAAAAAUCCAAGGCCUAGAACAAUAAUUCAAGGGGAAAUUCUCAUGAAGCAAGGGAAAACGGCAAGCUUGAUCAUAUUGACAAUCAUGAGCAACCACAAAUAAGAAAACUAACUAGUUGGACAUAAAGAAGAUCCACCCAGCAACACCUUGUCAAGACAUUUUGUUGCAAUCUUAAUCUUAUGUGUUGGUACCAAAAGCAAUACAGUAGAUUUUUAAGGGUUAGCAUGGUUGUGGAAAGGAACAAGAAUGGCAUUCUAUAUUCAUUAUAGAAUACUUCAAAGUUUAUGGAAUGGAAAAAAACCCAGACAGGACCAACCUCCAAACAUUAUAGAUAAGCACAAACCAAUAUAGAAAUAGACAGACAGAAAGAUAAAAUCUCAAAAUUUUGACCAACAACCCAAAUAAACCAUGAAACGGUGGUACUCAUGCAGAAUUUCAUAAGUUAACAAGCAACUGAAUGGACAGACAAAAAUCUACUACCAACUUGUACAAAUAAAAAUUUAUUCACUUUUUGAAAUUAUUAGCCAAUCAUGCACACAUUCAAUUUUAUUUUAUUUUUUGAAAAAAAUAAAAAUAAAAACACACACGCACACGCACACAAACGCCAUGAAUUGAAAAACGGAUUAUGUCAAGUCCCUGUACUCCCAAUCAACCACUAUAUUCAAUUCAAGAUAUGCAAUCAAAAUCUGAUGUCUGAUAAAAUUACAGAUACAGCAUACCUGCAGGCACAUGGCAGCUUCAAGAGUGUUCCGUAUGCAAGUGAAAUACAAUCGAGAUGUGUUUGCCUGAAAAUAUUAAAAAACUGAGUAAACUUACUGGUAAGGGGGCAGAAAUAGAACUCUACGCACUGAGCAGCCAAACCCAAAACUACAACAAAAUUGAACAUAAAAUUUUGCAACCACAAUUGAAACUUUUACAUAUUCAAAUUUAUUCAGUUCCCCAUAGCAUUUGAUGCCAAAUGAAUUGAACAAACAAACCAACCAAAAGUAAACACCAAAGUUCCUAACCCUCGGUUCAAUUGCUGAGAAAACUAAACAAAUCCUAAAUCCAAUGUUUGGUUAAUCAAUAAAAAUAAAAAUGACCUUAUUAAUGACAAAAAUUUUGUAUGAUACAUUUGUCAAUCAAUCACAUAUUUAGGAGCUUUCAUUUCUUUUCCUACAUCAUAAAAGAACUUAUCUAAAUAAACCAUGAUGAGUUCAAAGGUUUUCAUAGCUUGCAAGAUCCCGCAAAAUGACAAAUUAAGAACCCUAAAUGACAUUAAGGAGAUAAAUUGCAGGAAAAAAAAAAAACGAAGCUUUGAAACUUCAAAUUUUGAACAGAAUAUAGAUCCGGAUAACAAAAUGACGCUAGUACAUGUGAGUAGGGGAAUUGAGAUGAGUGUUGUAACUUCCGGAAACACAAGAACCAAACAGACAAAAGAAAUUUUAUUUCCGUAAUUUCUGAUCAAGCAAAGAAGAAUGAAUAGGACAUCAGGGGUUACCAUGGAUCAGGAUGGCUGCUGCGGAAAAGUGGAGGUGGUGAUGAAAAGGAACCACUUCAGGACCCAGUUCUCCUCCUAUGCCACCAUGGAUCUGGAUGGUGGAAACCUUGACGCUAUGACGCCUGCUGGGGAAACUGUAGGUGGCCCAACUGUGAUGGUGAUGGUGAUGCAGAUGAACCACUUCCCCUCCUCGCCCAACCAGGGAAUAGGCCCUGAAAAUAAACUUCAAAAUUUUAAAAUAUUUUUUUGAAAAUAAUCAAAUCAUAAAUAGGGAAGAAAAAGAAUAAAUUCGAGUCACGUUUUUCAUGUUUUUUUCCAAAUACGAUUUUUGGAAAAUUAAUAAAUAAAUAAAAAUAAUAACUUGGUGUUUAGAUAUUCAAUUGUUAGUAGUGAAUAAGUCUUUAUUUGUUCCGGUUUUUUAAAUAAUUUUAAAAAAUAAUUUUUAAGAUUUUUCAAAAUUAUUAUAUAAUGUUUUAUAAAAUAAUUUUUUUUUUAAAUCUAAAAUAUUUUUAACUUAUUUUUAAAUAUAUUUUAAAAAUAAUUUUUAUGUUUAGUGUUUUAUUUUUAAUCAUUUUACAUGUUUGUAAAAUUAUUUAUUAAUACGAAACGAUAUAAAAUAAUUAAAAUAUGUUUUUUAAAAAUAACAUGUUUUCUAUUAUUAAGAAUAGAAAAUAAAAAAUAGUUUUUGAUUGUGAAACAUGUUUCCUAAAUUGUAUGUUUUGAAUAACAAAAGAUUGUUUUUUAAAACAGUUAUCAAACAAUUCCUUAAUUUAUAGAAUUUUGUGUCAAAAUGACCUUAUACUCAAACAAAAUAUAUUGUCAUGAGGCAAAUUAAGUCAAGUUUUUAGUUUUUAAAAAUAAAAAAAAAUUAAAAUUUUUUACAUGUUUGAUGGUAGUUUUUAAGUUACAAUUUUAAAAAUAAGAUUAAAAAUAAUAUUUUUUUAGAGAACAAGCUCAAGUUGUUCUCUAUUGUUUUUUAUAAGUAAAAGAUGAUAAAAAAAAUUUUAAAAAGAAAAAAAGAAACUCACGAUAAAAAGUCAUGAUAGAGAAAGGAGAGGUUCUUGGUAUUCAAAAUGCAAAAAGAUAGAAUGAAGAAGAGACGUGUCUCUUAGGUUAGGGUUUUCCUCUCAUAUCAUGCACAUUUCUUUGGCUUCCUCAUAAAGAUUUCUUCUAGUUUUAACAUUUUCCACUUUUUUUGAGUUUAUGAACUUUUAUUCUUCGUUUUUUGUGUUUGAUUUAUACAUUUUAUAUAUUUUUAUUUGCAUUGUUAGAGAAAUCUAACUUAUGAUGAUUUGAAAGCAAGCCUUUGAUUUUUAGAUUAGAUGUGAUGUGGGUUUUGCUUGUUUGGAUGCUAUUUUUGUGAAAUGAAUUAUAUGUUUCGGCCUAAUUUUGGUAAAUGUAUUAUGUAAUUUCCUAAUAAUAAAUUUUUUUUUCCAAUUUUACUAGGUAAUUAUCAAUGAUUUUGGUUUGAUUUUUCUUAUUAUGAAGGUUUUCUAGCUAAAGUUAGAUUAUUUCAAAAGAAAAAUUAUCAUUUGAUUGUCAAAUUAAUCUAUUGUAAAUAUUGUGAUAUUAUAUUAAAUAUCAUCUAUCAUGUUAUCUAUAUUUGAAUCAUAGAAUUGAUCUUUUGUAACCUCAACUAUAUUGUCGUCCUAGACUCGAAAGCUUUGAUAUUAGUACAAAUUUUAUUUUCUAAAAGUGAUUUUUUUAAUGGCAUUGAAUCUUGUUGUAUAGACUUACAUGUUGGAAAUUGUCUUCCACUUAUACCAUUUUACAUCAAUUAUAUCAUCUCUUUUAUCUAUGUAAAACCCACAUAGAGUGGUUACAAUCCUUUUAUGUUCUAAAAGUACCAUAUAGGGUGGGUUGGGUGUGAAAAUGACCCGAAAGGGUCACUCAAUGUGAUAGGUCCUCGGAGGGUCAGGAGAAAUUUUGAAAAUUCCGCCAAAUGCCAAACUUUUUUAAAUUGCCAAAACUACCCUUAACAACCCAAAAAAAAAAAGAACAAGAAAAGGAACCUAUGUGAAGUCAAAACCCUUAAAAAGUUGUUGUCUAUGUAUAUCAAGCAAAGAAAAAAAGGAAAAUUACUGAUUCGUCCCUAGCAGCGGCAGUGGCAACGGCACCAUUUGAUUCGGGGUUCGAUCCUCGGCAACGGCGCCAUUUGAUUCGUCCUUAGCAGCGGUAGUGGCAACGGCACCAUUUGAUUCGGGGUUCGAUCCCCGGCAACGGCGCCAUUUGAUUCGUCCCUAGCAGCGGCAGUGGCAACGACACCAUUUGAUUCGAGGUUCGAUUCCCCGGCAACGACGCCAUUUGAUUCGUCCCUAGCAGCGGCAGUGGCAACGGCACCAUUUGAUUCGGGGUUCGAUCCCCGGCAACGGCGCCAUUUGAUUCGUGCCCAAUUAGUGUCUUAGCUGAUUCGUGUCCAGCUAGUGCUCCUUGAUUGAGGGAGUAAUCAACAAAAUUUAUAACCUAUUACACCAUAUACUAGGGUAGCAAAGACAAAGCUACUAUAGCAUAGUGGCUCUAGGAUCGUUCACUGGGAUGGGUUUUCACUUUGCAAAUGAUAUUAAUUCAAAGCUGAAUUGGUGUCUUUUCAUUUCAAGGUUAGCUUUAAAAGAAAACAUAAAGAUGUUUGAAUGAAAAAGGUUUAGAUUUAAACUAACCAAAAAUAGUAACUGAUUUUACUUACAAAGAAAAGUGUUUCUUGGAGUUUAGAUCACUAGGCUCAGGUUCCUCAUACAAAAAGGGAGAGUUCCGGUCACUUGUUUCUUUUCCUCACAUUAGAGAAUUAACAUAUAGUUAAUUCUCUAACCGGUGUUGUACAGAUGCUUCCCAUUAAUGGGUUCAAACACUAAAUCUCUCUCACUGAUGUACCUUGCAAUGACUCAUACCUCUCACCUAGCACUUGCCAUUCAAGAUGAUCUUUAACCUUGGACUUCCCUUCAAAAGCUCGCAAGAGAUAACUAAUGGAUGUCUCCUUGGAGUCCAAAAGCAUACCAAGUGUUGGCUAUUCCAGAAAAUCCUACCUUCAAGUCACCUCCCAAAGGCUCGCAAGAGAUAAACUAGUGAAUCUUCAUGGACGGAGAUCACUUGCCUUACCAAGUGUUGGCCCAGGUGAUUUAAAGGUGUUUUAAGUUAACUAAAAAGAUAAAAACCAUUAACGGGUCACACUUUCUCUUCAUUAAAAACUAAAAUAACAAAACUUCCAAUUUAUGCAUGUGGAAACUUACCCGGAUUUCCUCACUCCAAGAGACAAAGAAUCUAGCCUCUCAUCCUCUAAGGAAAAAUCCUCAGAGUUUGGUUGGCUAGAAAAUGAAAAUGAAAGAGAAGACAAGAAUAUAUAUGAAAAACAGAGCAAGUGCUCUGUUAGUUGAUUCUAUAUAUGAUAUAUCUAUCUAUUGAUCGAUUACAUGAUCCUAUAUGAUGGAUCUCCUGGAACAAGCUCCUCCGAGAGUCCCCCAAGAGUCCCCUUUUUUAGUGUUUACAAGAGAGUUUAUAUAGGAAGGUAAUUUACCCAUCCUUGGAUACUUCCUAGCUAAGGAAUUACAUGAGUGGUUGAAUACAAGGAGAAAAUGGAAAUUUAGACACAAAAAUCUGAAGAAAAAUAUCUCAAAGUGUCGGUCGCAAAUAUCGGGAAGCACUAAGGACCAUUUCGCAGGUGAAAACGAGGUCUGCAAGAUUUCGCAGACGCACAAAAAGGGCUGCGAAAUCACUUCGCAGCAAAAGGUUAUUCUCGCAGGGCUGCGAAGUUGGCUUUCAUCUUGAGGUGCUCAGCUUCCAACUUGCGGCAUAUAUCGGGCAACUUCAGGAGGAAUUUCAAAACACUGUACAAAAAGGCUGCGAAAUCAUCUCGCAACAAAAGGGUGAUUUCGCAACACUUUGCAAAUUUCUUCCUUCAGCUUGGAGUGAUCGACUUGUAGUGGCUGUAACUUCUUCGUUUCAACUCCAAAUUGUGCACCGUUUGAAGCAUUGGAUUCUUGACUUCCUGAGCUUUGAAAUGGUAUAUAGCAUGUACAAAAUGGACUUUGGGAAGUACUCCAAAAGUGCGCAAGAAGACUGCAGCUACUGUCCUCUGUUUUCUUCACUCUGUUUUUCCUCUCUCCAUUGUUCUUUCCUUGCAUACUUUGAACGACUAAGGCAAAGGAAUAUGAGGCUCCAAAGCUUGGUUCUUCAUGAAUUUGAGCUUCCAAAAGCUUUGCCAUAACUUGUCCAAGUAGCUCCUCCAUCAUUUGGCAUGCUUGAAUUGAUUCAUAAGCUGAUAAAAACAUGUAAACUUGCCACAAAAUGGUUAAAACCAAUUACUAAGGACCUUAAUGAAUUAAUUGGGUUAAAUGAAUAUGAUUACUACUCAAAGGUGCUUAAAACCAUUAUAAUUAGGUCUACAAAAUAACACUUUUUGGUAGUAAUCAAUUACUAUAGCCCAACCUUAGGUUUGUGAACUUCAAUUUCUGCAAAAAGUUUUUUUAUUUAUGAAUCCAAUAAAGAAUCUAUCAAGGGUAAGAAGAAAUAAUUUUUUAAAAUACUCAAAAAACACGAAAGUACCCCUGUCUAUGAAGUGAAGAAUAGAUACAUGCUUUAUUUAUUUUUUUCUAUAUGUAAUUUUUUUUUUAAAAAGGAAUAGUUUAAAACUUGCAUUAAAGAAUGAGAUGUUCACGAUUUUAACAAUAUAGAUCUAAUAAAUUAGAUCUGAUAGAUUAAAAAGGGUUUAAGAAAAAAAAUGUCCAUAUUUUUUUUAUAUAAAAUGUUGUCAAAUAUUUUUUCUAAUUGUUUGAUAUGAUUUUGGUCAUUUUGAGUGUAACGGUCAGAGCAUUUUAUAUAAAAAAAUGUCCAUAUAUUUUUUAUAUAAAAUGUUGUCAAAUAUUUUUUCUAAUUAUUUGAUAUGAUUUUGGUCAUUUUGAGUGUAAUGGUUGGAGGCCUUUUUUUUUUUUCCUAAGUGUUUGAUAUAAUUCUCAUUGAUUCUCAUUAAAAAGGUUUUCACUCUAGCUUUGUUGUUAGAGACGGUUUAAAAUGACAUAGAAAAAAAAAUCUCAUUUAUUUUAUGCUUGUUUGAGACCACUUCCUUUGUAUAAUUGUGAACUAGUUUAGAGUGUCAUUGAAAAUUGGAAUCACUUUGGCUAUGUUUUGUUUCCGAAAAAUUCGAGGGAAAAUGUGAGGGAAAGAAAAUAGAAACGAAAAGUGGAAGAAAAUAAAAAAUGAAGGAAAAUAAAAAAUAGAUUCAAAAUUAAUAAAUUAUUUUUACAUGUUUCUUCAAACCCAUUUCACUUAAUUUCCUCUAUUAUAUAAAGAUUAAAUAAUUUUAAAAUGUAUAAAUUUCUAACUAAUUUUAAUUAUAUUUAAAAAAAUUUAUAGUGAAACAAAACAUGAGAAAAUCAUUUUUUUUUUUUUUCUUUCCUUGCUACUUUCCGGGAACCAAACAUAACCUUUGUAUAUGACAACUUUGUCUUUUAUUAUGAAUUUGUUAAAGGAUUAGGAUCAUUAUAUUUUUGUUAUGAAUUUGUUACCUUUUGUACGAGUAAUAUAUUUGUAUAAUGUGUUGGAUGCCAACUAGUUUGAAGGUUUUGUAAAAUCAUUACUUUUAUUAUAAAAUACAAGUACGAUACAAAUUUGCUAUAGUUACAAUAUAAACACAUUAAUAUUACAAUACAUUAUAAUAUACCACUUCACAAAAUAUUGAAUUGAUUUUUACUCAACUAAUAUUUGUGCACUAUUAUGUUGUAUUCCUAGUAUGCUCAAUGUUGUACAACAACCUUGGAAGCCAAAUGAAGUAGUAAUAUGAAUUCACAAUGAUUUUAUGCUUUUUAUAAAAAUUAAUUAGUAAUUUCAAUACAUCGGGUUGUUAAUAGUAAUUCAAUAAUGUAUAAAUAGACAUCUAUAAAAUUAUUUUUUUUAUAAAAAAAAAUAUAUGGGUACAAUACAAAUACACUACACUUACAAUACAAAUACAAUAACAUUACGAUAAAAUAUAAUUUUGAAAAUUUAAAAUUUCUUACAAAACUAGGUAAUUGUGGGUUAGUUUGCUAUAUCUCUAGCAUGCCUUAUGAAUUACAAAUAUUGUUCUUUAUGAUACAAGAUAUUUUAAAAUUAAUUAUGAUUUUUAUUAAUUGGUUUUCUAUUUAUUAUAACAUUUACCUUGGUUGUAAUAUUGUAAAAUAAAAUGAUUUGAUUGUCAUUGAAAUAAGGCUUACUUUUCCAUUGGUAAAUGGACUUAAGAAAUUCUAUUUAUAGUUACCUUUAUGAAGGAGGAGAAAUUGUACCUAGAAUGAUAAACAAAUACAAUACAAGAGUGAACAACAAAAAGACAUACAUUGAAUUAGGAAUGUCAUAUAAUGAUUUUGUUUCAAAGGCAUGUGAAUGGUUGGAUAUUAAUCCAAGUACGCAUUUUAUUACACCCCUCAGUUUGAUCCAUCCACACUUUAGCAAUUGAAUAUCUACUAUACCAUAAUUGUAUGUGUAAAUGUACACCAAUGCAUAGGGUGACUAUUAGAAUUUCUAAAUCAAAAGAUAACCUAAAUAAGUUAUAAUUUUGUUGUCAAUAUGCUAAUAUUAUAGACAACUAUCAUAUCUUUAAAUGGGUGUCCCCUGAAGAAUUUGGUGAUAAUAACACCUACCAAGAACAACAAGAGGUUGUUGAAAGAAGAAUGUAUGCAGUGAAUAAAGAUGGCAAAAAUAUUUUAACAAAAACAGAGUUAAUGCAUAAAGCAAUUUUAGUUGGACUAUUUCUUUUAUUUUUGGUUGUAUGUUUCAAAAUUAAUUAAUUGGAUGCUUAAUGUCUAUUAUGUUUUAGACUAUAUCUAUGUAAUGUUUUAUGCUUUUAUAUUUGGAUGUAUUUGUAUUUGGAGUUGUUUGUACUUUUGAACAUUAUCUUCAUAAUAUAGAUUUGUGUUAGAUUUUUAAUGGCAAUAUGUUAAAGUACUUUUUUGGUACUCAUAUUACAUUUACAACAUAAAUUUAUUAACAUUACGAUAUAGAAGCACUAACAUUAUAAUACAUUACAACAUGUUCAAAUAAAGUGGUCUUAUGACUUAAUCAAGUCCAAAUUCUUGGUUCCACUAGCAUUUUUUAUUAUAUAUGAAGUAGUUAAAUGACAAUAGUGGUUCAACAAAUAUGAAUCAAUUAAAAGCAAAAAAGGAAAAGUUGAUUUGUCAUGUCAAAAUGAAAAAUAGUAUGCAUUUGCAAUUGGAAUAUAUUCGUAACACCCCAGUCAAGUUAUUCUUUUGGAAAAUUAAAAUACUUUUUACAUAUACAAUCGAAAUUGUAUGGUCUUUUCAACAUGACCAUAACAUAGAAGCUUCAAUUGGACAACCUUCACUUUAAUGCUCAAAAAUCAAGUACCAACUUUUUUUAAACAAAAAAAAAAUUCCUAUUUUGGAAAUAAAGUGAACCAAUAUAGCAAACAAAUAGAACAAAAUGAACUUUUAUAAAUCAAAGUUUUUAGAAUAUGAUAUAUGCAGUAGUCUAAUGAAACAAUAGUAACUCACAAUUUUUUUAUUUUCCCUUAACAAAGAUGUUUUGGCAAAUAACAUUCUUAAUAUAAAAGCAAAUUAUAGACAGAAGAUUAAACCUACAAAAUAUGAAGCCCAUGGUCCAAGUACCAAUAAUACAAAAUAUAACAAAAACUAUUGCAGUUUUAAAAAAAUAGCUCAAUGUUUUUAAAGUUUACAUCAAAUUGCUUAUCAUAUUGGAAUAAAAUUCAUCCACCCACACUGAUCAUGAACUAGCUACAUUGUCAUCUAUCGAUCAGUAGAUCAUUUCUCUAACUUAAUUUUGUUGAGACACUAUCAAUUGUACAAACACAUUUUCCCUAUACUUGUCAUCUUGUCAUGGAAAUGAGAAUAAAUAAUAGAAUAUUAAAAAAAAUCAUAGUUUUUUCAAUGAAAUUAACAUGGUUUUCAUAUUAUAGUAUGAAUGAUAUAAUAUAUUUGUAAUGGAACGAGAAAGUCCAUUACUCUAUAAUUGUAUAAACUUGAUAAUGAAUACCCACAAUCAAUCCUACAAAUAAUAAUUAAGCAAAUCUUGAAUAAUUUACAAAGUAAAUAUGUACGGUCAAAACCUCCAAGUUUUCUUGUCAAUCAUACAUAAUUUAUAAAAAUUAGGUAUGAAAUUUAAAAUAAGUUGGAACUUGAUUUAAUCCCAUUCAAAAAUUUCAAAAGUAAAAUACAUAAAAUAUCUUUAUAAUUUGUUGUACUUCUAGUGUGAUUGUGUUGUAAGUGUAGGACAUUUGUGUCAUACCCUUAUUAUUUCAUAUAGUCAUUGUUAGUAAUCUCUAUUGGAAUUCCAUUCACAUUGCUAUAAACACACCAAGUCAAUGUACUAUUGGAGAACAUGUAUAAGAUGUUUAUUCUCUAUUUACAUACAAUAGAAUUGGUUAAAAGGGUAGUGAUUUAGUUAAUUGAAAUGAUUAAUAAUAUUGGAAAUUCAAUUUUGAAAUCUAAUUUUCAAUUCAUACAUCAUAAAUGAUUAUAAGUAGGUGACCUUAUGAAUGCAAUUGAUUUAAAAAUUUACUUUUAUAAAAACAAGUAUGCAAAUCAAAUUAAGUUGGAACUUAAUUUGCCCUCUAAUGUCCAUUUAUGACAUAAACCAUGCUAGGCUUAUGGAUAGAGAGUUGAGAACAUCAAAUUUCAUUCAAAAUUUUAAAACUUCAAUACAUAAGGUGAGUUAUAAUCUAUUGUACUACUAGUAUAAUUGUGUUGUAAGUGCAUGACAUUUGUAUCAUGCCCUUAUUUAUUUCUUAUAGCUACUGUUAAUAUCCUUAUUGAAAUUCCAUUCACACAGCUAUAAAUAUACUAAGUUAUUGUAUCAUUGGAGAACAAGUUUAGAGUGUUUGUAAUCUACUUAUAAAAUAAUUGGUUAAAAAAGUGGUGAUCUAAUUGAAUAAGGUUAAUUGAAAGGAUUAGUAAUAUUGGAGAUGCAAUUUUCAAAUCCAAUUUUCGAUCCAUACAUCAUAAAUAUGUAGGAAAAGGUCACCUCAUGAAUGUACUUCAUUUAAAAAAUUACUUUUAUAAAAACUAGUGCGUAAAUUAAAUUAAGUUGAAACUUAAUUUUCCCUCUAAGUUCAUUACUAACAUAAACCAUACAAGGCCUAUGGAAGGAGAGUUGAAAACAUCUAACUGGAGUCAAAAUUUUAAAAGUACAAUAUAGAAGGUAUUGUUGUAAUCUAUUAUACUAAUAGUGAAGUUAUAUUAUAAGUGCAGGACAUUAGUGUGUGUUGUACCUUUAUUUAUUUCUUACCCUAAAAGUUUUAGAUUUUUUUUUAUGAAAAUAGUAUGACUAUGUAAUACUACAAUGUGAUGAAUAAAAGCUCACAAAGCAUCCAAGAAUUUUCCUUAAAUGAAAAGCUCACAUAACAUUACCUUUUGGAGAUGAUAAUUGUCUUUCCCAAUUAAAACCCCUAAAUCAACAAUCAAGCUCAACCAAGAAAGAGAUGUUUGGAUUGAAGGGUACACAGUUGUCUGAAUUAUAGGGAAACUAAGCAGGUAUUCAUGAUUGAAGGGUACACUAUGAUUGAAGAGUUUUUGCCUUGAUUAACAAUUAAAUUCUAUGUUUGUUUGCUUUUUGGCUUAUAGAAGCUAAGGUAAAUUGGGAAUUAAUCUAGUGUGAUUAACAUCCAUACAUCUAUUAGGCCCUGGAAAUGAUGACAUGAUGUAACAUAUAAAGAUUUAUUUAUAAAUUUAUUUAUUUAUAUUUUUUGGUUUAUCAUUAUCCCUUUUGCAUUAAUUGGUCAUUUGAGCAUACACACCUCAUACCACUUGCAUUGUACAUGACUUGGGUGCAUUAGAAAUUGCACAAAAGAUCCAAGUCAUGAGUUCCUUAUAGAUUGAUGAGUUGUCCACAAUUUUUUCAUGAAUUUGGGUAAUUCAUUUGAGACUGUAGUGUAUUACGUUCUAAUUGGAGGGAUGACUUGUUUUGACUGUCAAAAUGGUUUUCCCAUAGUGAGUGUACUAAUGCAUGUGAUGCGCACUAGAUAGAACCUUCGGUGAAUCAUGAUGCAAGAUUAUCAAUUGUCAUAAUUUACCAAACUAUUAUACCACAUGGAAUCUCAACCUUGAAAAGGUAUUAAGUCUAUGCCAAGGUCAACAAGAGGCUUUCACCUAUGGGUAAGACUCUAAAGUGGUCAUAUAUUCUUAUGGAUCAAGUCACUAUUAAUGAAGGCUAGUGACAAUAGAUACUCUUAAUAUAGGUACCAUGAUAUCUCAUGGAUUGAGAUAAUGUGUCUCCAUGGGUGAUCCAAAGGACAUGUGAUCUAAAAGACUAUGGUCAUAACAUUUCCUUUUAUAGAAAUUUGACAUAUGUUUUUUGAUAAGUGAUAAGUGACUCAAAUAUUGAAGAGGUAAUCUUGAUAGGUGAUAACACUACCUUGUUAGAUUACGGACACCCAUUCAUGGGGAGUUUGCAUAUAAUGGAUAAUAAGUCAUUGACUCGAGCUUCGUCUUGUUGUUAUUUACAUAGGGUACUAGAGUAUAGUAGAUUCUCUUUAGUGGAAUAUUGAAUCAACUUCAGAAUUGGAUUUUGAGGGAGUUAGUACUCCUAUGGGUCCUAAUGGUCCCUGCUUUGAGCUCAUAUACCAAGAUGACAUAGUUCAUGAGGGCUAGAUUGACUCUUUGGUUCACUCUUGUGCAUAAGGGUAUUUUGGUAAUUAUAUAAUAUUGCAUAAGGGAUAGUGAAUAAGUUAUAUAGAUUAGGCUAAUUGAUUAAUUAGAUGACCCUGCGUGGUUAAUUAAUCAAUUAAGACUCGUUUUAGGCUAGAUUAAGUAACUCAAGCCUUCCUUAGUGGGCUCAAAUCACUUAAACCCAGUAGGGAUUAGGGUUUCCAUCACCCUUUGAGAGAUAGUCUUCUUCCACCUCCAGAGAGAAAGAUAUUAGGAUUCCUCACUUCUAAAGCUCACACUUUGGAGUACCAAGAUUGUGAUUCGAGUCAUCGAGUGGAAGAUUUAGAGUGUACAAGAACUUCUAAUUCUUAAGGCUUCAUCUUCACCAAGUGAAAUUGACCUAGGAACAUCCAAAUUGCAUGUAUAAGUUUCAAAUAUGUAGUUAUUUAUUCUAAAAUGGUUUUGAAGUUUUUUUUUCUAUUAUAUUAGAUCUAGAGAUCCCUUGGGAUAGAUGCAUGCCUCUUACGAGAUCCAGAGUAUGAGAACAGAGUAAUUUAGGAUUCCCAACAUUUUUCUAAUAGAAAUAAUAAAAAGAUGAUGUUAUUUUAAUGGUAACUUUUUAGUUUUAUAUAAAUCUUGAAACAUUGAUGAGAAUAUGAUGAAGUAUGACGAAAAAAUGAAAAUGAAUGGAAGGAAACCAAAUAAUAGAUUUAAGGGACUUUUGUUUUUGUUUCACUUAUUUCUAAUUUAUUAAUUAAUUUAAUUAAUAUAUUUAGAGUGUGUUUGACAAUGAUUUUAGGAAAUGUUUCUACCCCUUUUAACACAUGAAUGAUAAAAAAUUUCAAGUAGUAAAAAUAUUAUAAACACUUUCUAGAAUCACUACCAAACAAGCUCUUAAUAAAAGUACAUGUAAAACGAUUUUUUUGCCAAGAUAUAAAUGGGAUAGGACAGGGUUGAGGAAGGCUUCCCCAUCCUCAUCCUUGUUUGUAAAUUUAUUCUCCAUCCUUGCCCCAUCCCAAUUUUAAACCAUGUGAGGCGGGGAUGAGAAUCCCUAUUAGGCAAAUAAAUUCCUCAUAUUUGAUGGAGAAUUAUCAUUAAUUUUUUUAGUUUUAGAAUUUUACAUUUAGCUUUUAGUUGUUAAAAAUAAAAUUAUAUAUAAACUAAACUAUUUAAUAUAAAUAUUUAUGUUUUAAAAAUAUAUAAAUAUAAAAACUAUAUGAUGUUGGUGAUAAUAAUAGUGAGAAGGUGGUUGGUUUAGGACAAAGAAUAGGGGUCCAUGUUCACACCCCUUCCCCAAUUUUUUAAAAUUUUCCUAUCCGUAACAUUUAACCUUAUUCCAUCCCAUCUAAAACCCUUAAGCCUUUACAUUCACCAUUUUCCCUUUCCUCUACCCUCUUUCCUUCUACAACAUCAUUUUCUUUGACUCAUUGAUUUUCUCUUUGUUGCUUGGAAAUUUGAAGUUUUAAGAUAUAAAAUGGUCAUGGUUACACUUCUUUCCAAAACUAUGGUUAUGAAAGGGACUGUCAAAUUCAUAUUCCAUAACAAUGUGACAAGCCCCUACCACCCAUCAUUUUGUGGGUUUCUACAAAAGUACAUGAUUUUUUUAAAAUAUUUAUUAAAAUGUCAUUGUCCCCAAAAUAUUUCUAAAACUACAACAAUUUGCCUUGAGUGGGAUUCCAUGUAGACCUUGUAUGUUGAAAAGACAAGUUCAAUGUAAAAUGUAGAACUUGUCUGUUAAGAAGACAAGUUCAAUGUAAAAUUGAAAUUGGUUUUGUCAAUAGAUGAGUUUAAUAUAAAAUUCAAAACUCGUCUGUUGAAAAAACGAGUUCAGUGUAAAAUUGGAAUUCAUUUUCUCAAUAGACAACUAAUGUAAAAACUCAGAACUCGUUUGUUGAAAAAACAAGUUUAGUGUAAAAUUGGAACUAAGAUCGAUUAAGUAAUUGAGAUCUUUGACUCAAAUCAGCAAGUGCCACACUCAAAUUGAUAAAUAAAUUUUCAUAAAUAUGCACUCUUAGCCAUUGCACAUAUCUAUGAUCUAUCUAUGAAUUUUAAACCAAUAACAAAGCUUAUCCUGAAAUUUUUCCAUUAAUUAUUACCAAUAAACUAGAUAGGAUCCAUCAAAAUGUCACUACUAGUAAAACAUCACAUUUUGGUAAAAUGUUUAGUGUAAUGAUCUCAGAUGGAAUAUUAAAUUCUGAUUUUCCUCCACCAUAAGUAACCAUCAUUUUGGCAUCAUCUUAAAGCAAAUUGAAACAUACCCUCUAACCCUUUUAUGGGAUAAUUUCCUUGCUUAGGAAGCUCAGUUGCAUCACAUUGAGGAUGAAAUAGGUAACAAACAACAACCCAAUUUAAUAUUCAUUCUUGUCAUUUACCAAAGAUUUUUCUAUCCUUACUUGUAUAACUUAUUAAAACCAAAUGGAAAAUGUACAAUUGCUAAAAUUCACUUCAAUACCCAUCAUUCAGUACUAAUCCCAUCCCCAUUCAAAUCAUUGUAACUGUAUAUUAAAUAGAAAUCCUGUUUAAUUUUAAUACAUUAAAGAACUAAUGAGAUUUGGGACCAUUAACUUUGCUUGUUUUGCAAGCUCCACUACUUGAGUAUUAAUUUAGUUUCAUUUUGCCAUCAUCUUGCAAGACGAAGCCUAAUCAUACCCUACUCUGCAUCUAACUCAAAGUGGGCUCUAGAGAAUUGAGUGCUUGAAAAUAAUGGUUUAAGAUCAUAGAUUUCAUAAUCAUGUGCCUACUAAAAAUGAAACCAAUUCCAAAGUUUAAGAUGGUCGUACGACCAUUUGGUUGAAUUAUAUGAUGAUGAUAAUGAAGAAGAGUUCUAAUUUCAUUUCCUUGCUUUGCAACUCCUCCACAUUUACAUCAAUAUGGGUAAGUCCUAAACUUGACCCAGAUACAAUUUCUUCAAAGUGUAGUGCAUUCUUGACAAGCCCUCUUAGGAGAUACAAGAGCAAUUCAUUGUAAUCCUUUUUUAUGGUCAUGUACUUUUUGAAGCUCUACAACAAAUUCCCAAUACUUUUAAACCAAUUAUCUGGGAAAUGAAUUAUUGAUAGACUUGAAAAUUUUAUGUAACAAGCUGCAAUUGAUUCUUAGAAAGGUAGAAUUUCACAUGUUUAAACAAGUCAAGUCAUCUACAUGCAUUCCCUAAGUAUGGCCAUUGUUAACUUCUCCUACUUAGCAUCUAUAGAAAUCCCAAAUUCAUGACAAAUCAAUAAACUAGAAAAUUCAACCAUCCAAACCUCACUUUAAGAAGUUUCUCAUAUUGUUGACAAAACUUGAACUUGACCAACCAAAUCGACGAUGGUUGUUUGGAACCACCACUGGUUUAGAAUGAAGUAGAGUAAACUUGCGAAACAACUCGCCUAUUUGAUAUAAACAAGCUAAAAACAAGUCAUAUUUUGAAACCUAAUAGCUUUACGACACAUGCUUCUACAUUAUGUUUUCCUAAUUCGUUACAAUAAUAAAAAAUGAAAGCAAUAGAAAAUGAUGCAACUUAUGUUUGUAUGCAAAUCUUUGAUGUGCCUCAAAAUCAAUGGUAAUUAGCUAGGCUAAAAACCUAAUUAGCAUUGGUGAGAUGCAUGAGCCACACAUAAGCCAAAACAUCAGUGAAUGUUGAGUAAUAAAAAAUGGACUACAAACUUCCCAUGGAUGAAACUCAAAAUUCGGUACAUUGUGCUUAAGGCAUUUUCUAGAAGAAUUGCCCAAAAACAAAAAAAAAACCUCCCAACACCUAUAAUAAUUGAAGAGUUAGUAUUCAAAUCAAUAUAUGUUAAACAUGGUUUAAAGUAAAUGAAAUAAUAAGAGGUAGGAAUUGAAGAAGUAGCUAUACAAAGUUGAGCAUAAGUUAAUUGACCUAGGAAAAAUAUUAAUUUUUAUGUUCUCAAUUUCAACCCAGUACUCCUCAAUUUGAUUUAAAUUAGUUGAAAAUUUUCCUUACAUCACAUUGAGAAUAAAAUUAAAAUCUUUGAAUACUUAUAUAUGAUCUUCAACUUAACACUAAAUAUCAAAAGCAAAAUGUAUUCACUAACAUCCAUACAAAAUUAAUAUGUGCUUAUAGAAUUCAAAUUAAAAAGAUGAUAGAAAUAUUUUGACAUAAGUUCAUGCAAAAUUUACUAGGUUGAAGAAAGAUGGAUCAAGAUACUAAACUUGGUUGUUUGCAGCAUCUAUAGUCUAAUUGACUAAGGCAAGACCUUCAUCAGUAACACGCUACACCAUGGAAAUUCUCAAAAGUUUUAGCAAGUGAAAAUGAUCAUAUAAUAGAUGUUUUUUUGAAUAAUAAACCAAUUGACUUGUAUAAAUAUGCUAAAAGCAAGUUCCAAGCCUUGAGGUAUUUUAUGAUAGAGCCUAUAUAUCCUAAAGAGAUCAUUCACCUAAUACAAAAAUAAGUGGACAAUUUAUAUAUGAUUUGUUUAUAAAUUGCUAGAGCACAAUUUUUUUUAAAAAAAAAUCAAUUGACGAGAUUCUACAAAAUACCUUGUCAUCUCUAAGCAAGGCAUGACAAUUAUAUUGCUACUUUCCAAGCAACUGGUUUGCAUAUACCACUAACAACUCAAUUUUCACUUUCUAUAAAAAAAAAACAUUAAUGAAAUUGAAAACAAAUAGAACCUUACUGAAACCUAAAAUAUCAAGUAUUUAAAGUAUUCAUUAAUUAUAUUUACAAGUUACUCCAUGAGCUCCUUAAGACAAGUUUUACUUCAUUGCAAGUUAGGAAUUUAAUGUCAUUAUACAUAUAACAUGAUCAAUUGUUCAUGUACUUGGUCUAGAUCUACUAGGAAUUUAUAUAAAAACACAUCUAUAUGAAUUUAUACAAAAGUACUUGUUAGCGGUGCUUGUCUUCCAAUCUCAUAAUGUCUUCACUAAUUUCUUCAUCCUUCAUAUAUGCUCUGUCAAGAUGAAAACAAAGGGAAAUGAUAUCAUAGGAACCAUUAACAGGUCUCAUACCAAAGUUGAAAAGCAGAAAGUGAAACAAAUCAUUUGAAGUACUGCAAUAAGAAAAAGAGGGAUAAAGAAAAAAAAAACCGCAACUUCAUGCCAAACCCUAUAAAUAGUCCACUUCCUAUCAAUAGUUAAACAAAAGAAAACUUGAUAAAACCUUAAGCUAUAAAAAAAUAAAAUAAAAAAUAAAAAAUUAACAUAGGAUUGUUAUGUAACCACACCUAACAAUAUCUACCACAUACCAUAUCUUAAUUACAAUACAUUCAUCAAUUGUUCAAUGACAAUCUCAAGUGUCCUUAAGCAUAAAAGAAGUUGUCAUUCCAAAUAGAAAAAAACAACACAUGUAGAGGUAAUGUGGACUUAAAAAUGCCACAUGAAAGGAUCAAGUGGCACAUGGAGAGGCUCUUCUCUUACAUCUUAGAUGUCUUUAGUAAGUCACAUUAAAAGCAUCGAUAUUAAAAGUAAUGUGGACAUUUAAAGGAACAUCACAAGCAACCUAAACAUCACAAACAACUUGAACAUCAUAAGCAUCCUAAACAUCACAAGUAGCUUAAACAUCACAAGCAAUCAAAUCAAUAGAAGCAAUCGGAACAUCACAAGCAAUCAAAUCAAUAGAAGCAAUCGGAAUGUCACAAGCAAUCUGAUUAUCAAAAGCAACCAGAACAUCACAAGCAACCUGAACAUCAAAAGCAAUGGAAUCAUCAGAAGCAACUAGAAUAGCUAAAACAAUAGGAACAUUAGAAGCAUUUACAACAUCAGAAGCACUUAGAACAUAAAAAAUGACAUCGGUAUCCUCUACAUCAUUUAUAGGGUUUACUACGACAUCAUCAAGAGGAAAAUCGAUAGCAUGAGAACUAAUCCAUCAUGCUCUGGACGUGUACUCCCUUGUUCUCAACAUCGAACUUGAUGUUGGCCUUUAUGAGGUUCUACUAGAAGUGGAAUAGAUGAGGAUGAUAUCAUGAAUGAUGUCGAUUAUUGAUGACAUGUUGCAAUUGGGGUGCUAUAAGGCUGAACAAGUGUUUGCCCUGAUGUGGAUACUCGAUCUUGUAUAGGAAUCUAUUCCUAGAUAAUAGGUGCUAUAGGAGUCUAAGAGUGUUGAUGUUGCUUCAUAACAUGUCCUCUACACCCCCCUCUUCUUCUACCUUGUCAUGAAGAUAACUAUGAGACUGUGGUAGUGGGACUAACAUGUAAUAGACUCAUCUCAUCCAUUGCUUGCAAGGUAUUGUAAGAUAAUGAAUGUAUAUCCUUCUUUGUUGUUGGUGGGGUAUUUGGCCUUGACAACUCAUUUAUUCGUUCCAAGUUGUUGGCCUACAUGUCCAAAGUAAAAUAUGUUAAUUAAAAUUGAAGAGAAACCAAAAGAGAAAGAAUGGAAAAGUGAUGUUCUUGAAAUUACCAUGAUAUCAUGGAAGGAUCCCUGCUUAAUGAUAAAUUGACAUAUGAUUGAACGAUACCACUCCAUAUAAGGGGUCAUAAUAUGAAAUAUCCCCAGAUACUAACUCAUUACUAAUUACAUGAUCACGAUAGUAGCUCCAUCUCUCUAUAUACUCUUUAUGCUCAACCCUUCAAUCAAGAUCAUGUCGACCUCGUAAGUCAAUGUUAUGUAUUUUAAUGCUAGUAUCACAUGACUUCAAUAUAUGCUGACUCAUACCAAAUUGGCAUAAAACUCGAUUUGGCCUGUCACUCAACAAUAUGGAAACAAAUAAGUGAUGAUGCAGUACGCUAAAUGUCAUCACCAAUAGUACAAUAGUCUGUCCAUGUAGACAUGAUAUCAAACGUGUAAGGCUGCCAUAUAAUGUGACUUGGCCUUUGUAUUUCAAAGGUAAAUCUAUAUUGGCCAAGGACAAACAUAGAUACCUCUAUGACAGAGAAAACAUCUCUUCACCUAAGAUUAAGUAGUAACAUGUUAGUUGAGAUCAAAUGUAAGUAAAGUUCUUAAUGAAUUUUUUAUACAAAAAAAAAAAUAUCAAUUGUUGUAUAUAUCGUGCGCCCAAUGGAAGUGGUGGGAAUGGAAGACCAUCAUCACCAAUUAUAUCAUGUGGAAAUACCUCUAAUUUCUUAUGGACAAUACAUGGAAAUCUCUCCCAUGCCCAUAGUUGCAAUAAUAUAGGUGGGCCAAUUAUAUCACACGUUUGAACUUGGGAUGCUUGACACAUCUCCCUAUAAAGCCAAGCUAAGCAAGCACUAUCCCAACUAUACCCACCAAGAACCCUAAAAUCUGAUAAAAAUUGAAGAAACAUGAGAUGCACAAAGCAACUAGACUUGUAUACAAAUAAACAUCCUCCUAUAAGUUGUAAGAUAUAUGCUUUGGCAUAAUACUAAAUAGCAAUAUCAUCAGCUUCAAAGGGUAGAGUGGGAAAUUUUUUUGUUAAUCAUGUUAUAUUAAGUUGUGAUCCAUCUAUGUCAUCCUCUUCAAGUGUGUGUCCUAACAAAGACUCGCAUAACUCAAGCCAAUAUUGUGACUUCAAACGAAUAAGAGGAAGUCUAUCAACUGGUAGUCCAAGUAUAAUGAUGACAUAUUAUGGAGUAAUCGUCAUCUCUCCAUGUGGCAUGUGGAAUGCAUGGGUCUCAAGGCUCUAUAUUUCAAUUAAGAUAAUGACCAAGUGCUAGUCCAAUGUAACAAAUCCAAGUCAUGCUAUACCAUAGAAGCCCAUUUGCUGCAAAUAUGGAAUAAUUUGUCGAUCUAGGGACAUUGUAUGAUGGAAUAUAGCCUCAUGUUGUCUACAAUGAAGAAUUUGUGUCCUAGCUACCUUUGUAUCCUAUAAAAUGCACGAUUGAUGUACAUGUUGUGAAGAUAACACUAAUGAGUCAUAAGAUUGGGGAUCCAUGAGACUUACAAAACAAGGUUUCUUAUUAUAUGUUUUUUUAUAUUUUAAAAGUUCAUACAUAUGAAGAGCUCAUACAUCAUUAAGUAAGAGUUCAUAUAUUACCAAAAGUUCAUACAUCACCAAAGUUCAUACAUCGAUUAAAGUCAAUACAUUAUGAAAAGUUCAUACAUCAAUAAGAGUUACAUUGGUAAAAGUUCAUACAUUACCAAAAGUUCAUGCAUCACCAAAAGUUCAUACAUCAUUACAUAUUUCAAAAUUUUUUAGGACCUUGUGCCGAUUAUGACUCUCUUACUUGCAUGCACCACACCUAACCUUUACACUAGGUUUUCUCCAAUCCAUCUCAUUUUGUAUGCAUGAUGAUCUAGGUCGCCCGUGUUCUCGUAACAUUGCUUGAUCGAGAUGCAAAAUUGGGAAAUCUGGUUUAGGUUUAUAGUCUUCAUGUGGUAUUGGACUAAAUUUUGGGGCAUAACAAGCUGCAUAUUUUUCUAUCCUAUAAUAAGAAUCCACAAAUUGCCAAUUGUUUAACAUUGCAUACACACAAAUAGUUAGGACAUAGGAACAAGACAACCCAAAUGAUUGCCAUUUGUUACAAGUAUAAGUACCUUCCUUAAGCUUUAUGAUUUGCUUCUUAUUGUCCUUAUCCAUAUGGAACCCAUGAACAUUAGUGGUUACGUCAAAUACCUCAUUUGCUUGAUGAAAUAUUGUAAUACUAUGUCCACUUGCCUUAACUUCCCAAAUAAUGAUUUUAUUCUUCACAUAAGAAGUAUACAUUUCAUAUUUUUUGCGUUUAGAUUGUUUUUUUGCUCUAUGCCUUCCAAUAUAGGCAACAGACAUAUAGAAAGUUAGUUGCACCAAUGCAGUAAUAGUUAACAUACAAGCUCCCUUAAACACCCCAUUAAUGCUCUCUGCAAUAUUUGUUGUCAUACAACCAUACUAAAAUCCUUCAUCAUAUGCUUGUGUCCAUCCUUUUAUCUACUUUAUCAAAGAAAUGCACUAGUCAUUCAACUUCUAUAGUUUCUCCAUGCACAAUUGAAACUUGCGAGGUUGAUGUUGGGAUCCAACCUUGUACGCUAAUUCUUUCAAGACUUUGGUUCUAUACUUCUCAUUGAAAUUGCUUGCCACAUGUUUUAGACAAUAUCUAUGAUAAGCACGAGGUGGAGUCCAUCCAACUUUAACAUUCUAUACUAUUGUCAUGAUUCCUGCAUGACAAUAAAAAAUUAAAGAUAUCUCAUCUCUUUGAGUAACAUGAAACCUUAAUGCAAAAAGGAACCAAGACCAACUGUUUGUUGUUUCCUCCUCAACAAGUGCAAAGGUAAAAUGGAAGAGAUGUCUAUUGGUCAUCAAUUUGAAUGAUUGACCUACAAUGCUUGAAUCCUUAUAUAGGAGCUCUAAAUGCCCAAAACAAUCUUUUAAAUCUUACAUUGCCAUUAAAGUUUCCUAAGGGAGUUGUUUUCCAAACAACUUUUGUACCAUGAUUAGUUGCUUGAAGAACAUUCAUCCACUUGGGUAAAAGGUAGUAAGAUGUAUCCCAAUCACCAAACACUACCAUAAGUCUUUUUCUUUUUGCUUCCCAAACUCUUCUAUUGUGAACUUCAUAUCCAUAUUUAUCUUUUAUUAUAUGAUGCAAUGUUGGUGUUGACAUAGAUGGAUCAUUCCUUACAACAUUUUGGAUCUCUCUAGCAAUUAAGAUGGACCCCAAUUGAGAGUGGUCGUAGGAGAGUUUAGGAUAUACACAAGGGUGAAAACUUGUGUACUAUGUUAUCUGAAACAAGUGGUGAGUUUUACAUCGAGAAGCAUGAAGUUCCCACUUAUAACCUUCAUCCCACCUCUCGCAUUUUAUCGACAAUAAAUGUGACUUUGAUUUAACUACAACCACAUCCUAAUUGUUGUAUAUGCAAUAUCUUUUAACAACAUACUGUAAGUCUUUCUUAUUCUCAAACUAUAAGCCUUUGUACAAUAUAUCAUGGUCUUUCCACAUUCCACUACGUGACUCUAAGUUCUUCAAAGGCAUGACAUUUAUCACAUCCUAAUUCAACUCACUCAACAUCAAGGAAGGGAUGACAUAUUCAUGAUCAAGGUGUGUAGACUCAUUUCCUAGAUACUCCAAUUUCUCAACACCUAUCUUCAACAUCAUGGUUUCCAAGGGCCUCAUAAACAUACCAUUCACUCAUGACCAUAUCAUGCACCGCAUUGGAAUCUAUAUUCAUUAGAGGAUCAUCAUCAUCUUUACUCAUUUCAAGUGCAUCAUCAACAUCUACCAUCUUUUGUGAUGGGAUAGGUGGUACAUCAAUUGACAAUUCAAUGGUGCAUUCAACAUUCUCCGUUUGUACUGAUAGGAUUUCUACAUACAACUCAAUAGUAGGAGGUGAAAGGAACUUUGUUGCUAUACUGAACUUAAACUCACAUCAUCAUUGUCAUUUAUGGAUAAUGCUACAAAGUUGAAAUUACCAUGUCCAAGAUUAAUUGAAUAAUGAUAAACCAACUUCAACUUCACUUGAGAUGAGCCUUUGCAUAAUGCAUCACAUAAACAUGUAACUAAGUCAUAGAAUGUUGUGUUGCUUUUUACUAACACAACCUUUGAUAGGGAAGAAUUGUAGCAAAUCCCGUUAAGUACAUUGAUCAUAUUACUAUUAAUGUAAUAGAACACCGUGAUUGAAUUGUCCCCCAUUUUUUAUCCUAAAGUUUUUAGAUCAACACAAGAAUUCCAUGUUGGUGUCACCAAUAAUCCAAUACACAGUAACCCCACAAUAAUUCCCAAUAACAAUAUCAAUCAAAUGAUACACAAUCAAUAGGAACAUUUGAGGCUAGAACAUGAUUCAAUCCUAAAUAUUAUUCACUUUUAGAUGUUUAUCUAAGAACCAUUGCAAUACCAUAUUGAAAUAAAUCUCAAGAAUUAAGGAAAAGCUUUAGUAUGACCUUAAUAACCUCAAUGGAAUAAAAUGUUGUCUAACCUAAAAAAACAAUACCAGAACCAUAUUUUUAAUUUUUAUUGUCAAUUCAAUAUUUAUUUGAUUUCAAUAUGGUUCAAUUAGUUCUUUUCUUGGGAGUUAUUUUUAAUUAGUAUUCAACAUUGGCAACACAUUCAUAACUCAUAAUCAUGGUUUUACAAUGAUGUUUGUAACAAUUCAAAAAGCUAAUAAAAUCUAGGUAGAAAAAUAAUUACUUUCAAACCCAAGGAGAAUUCCAUUUCAAAUGACACAAGCACAACCUCAACAAGAAAUGUAUCUCAACAUAUCAUAAGCCAUGAGAAGCCUUAAAUGGGCUUUACCUACUACUAUCAAUAGGAAGAUGAAUAAACAUUUACAACACAAUUUAUUAACUAUAUUUGCAAAAAUAUGAAACAUCUAAUGCCAAAAAUUUAUUUAUUAAUUAAUUAGCACAAUUUUAUUGCAUGCUUUACCUUAAUUUGAUUUAAAAAUAAAUAGUGGAAAAUGAAAUAAAGUUGGAAAACAACAUUUUGGAGACAAAGAAUUAACCUUCAACGAGUUUUUACCAAACAAUGGAUGAAAUUGUUUGUGUCAUCCUACCCUCAUUUGCACAUAUUUGGGACCCUCCACCUGUAUAACAAGAAACCUUAAAUCUAAAAUUUUUCUAAAAUAAAUAUAGAACUAAUUACAAAAAGAUGAGGAAAAAUUCAAAAAGAUGAUUUUCAAGCUUACCUUGUUGACAGUUGAAAAUGGUGAAAAGUUUUGUGGUUCUCCAACAACUUCUGUGCGAAAUGGAGUUAGAAUAUGAAAGCGUAGAAAAUGGAUUAGGAUUUUUAGAAAAUGGGAGAAAGGAACCACUUUACAAAUAAAGUUAUUAGAGAAAAAAAGGUGAUAAAAAGCAAAAGUGAAGAGAAAAUCAAUGGUCUACAGUAACAAGAUCCAGAGAAUGAUAAGUAAGAUGAGCAGAUAACUUGAUUGAAUAAGGAAAAAAAGAUGAUAACUUGACAACUCCUCCUCAACAACCCAUAAUCAUAGAAAUCAGGUGAAUCAAGUGAGGAAUAUUAGGGUGAAGAAAAGGGAAUAAGGUUUCAGAAAAUGAGAAAAA